rnacentral:lncRNA from 1 species
AUGGAUGUUGUAUUGCAGCAACACAACAUAGCGCAUGGAAGAUCACAAGUUUUGCAACAAAGUACUUACCAGCUGUUGCAAGAAUUGUGUUGUCAGCACCUAUGGCAGAUCCCUGAGCAGUCGCAGUGUCAGGCCAUCCAAAAUGUUGUUCAUGCUAUUAUUCUGCAUCAACAACAAAAACAACAACAACAACCAUCGAGCCAGGUGUCCUUCCAACAGCCUCUGCAACAAUAUCCAUUAGGCCAGGGCUCCUUCCGGCCAUCUCAGCAAAACCCACAGGACCAGGGCUCUGUCCAGCCUCAACAACUGCCCCAGUUCGAGGAAAUAAGGAACCUAGCGCUACAGAUGCUACCUGCAAUGUGCAAUGUCUACAUCCCUCCAUAUUGCACAAUCGCGCCAUUUGGCAUCUUCGGUACUAACUGAGAAGAAAAUAACUCUAGUACUAGAUAUAUGAAACACCGUUUUCUCAGUCCAUGGUUUGGUCAUUGUAGCGUCGAAAAAAUAAUGUGACAUGCACUAUCAUAUAAGAAUCCGAACUAUACUAGUUCAAACUUGGGAAUAAAAGACAAACACAUGUCUUGUCUACAUAUUUAUGUUGCAUCUAUUUAUAUAUUAAAAGUAAUAUAAGGUGAACCAGGAGCAAGGUAAAUAUGCUAGAAAAUUGCACGUUAAUUAGAAAUUACUUGCCCUCGAUCUGGUAAAUCUUAACAAAUAGAAUUAUCUUGACCGUUAGAUUUAUAUAACAUAUAUAAUGCUCUGGGCCUCCAACGACUGUACGUGACACAUCUGAACGAACAUAUGGUAAAGAAAAUAUAUUUGGUAAAUGGUGGGCCUGUUUAAAAAGAGAACUCACGUACAUGCACCAACUAAGAAAAACACAUACAUGUAAACGGGAAAAGGAUGAGAUUUUCUCACGUACGUGCUCCCUGGCUCCACCCCGUUGAAAAAAUAUACAUCUGGAGGCCACUUUGUUUCCUCAUCAAAAAAACUUACGUUAAAAAGAUUGCAUGCAUCCCAGGGAAAAUAGUCAAGAAGAAGUCGGACUUUUCCUUACAAAAACAAGGAACGUGUUAAGUUGACUUCAAAGAAAAAAGGAACAUGUUAAGUUAAAAAAAAACAAGAAACCUGUUAAGUUAGAAAAAAACAAGGAACGUGUUGUCCAAGGAAAGAUAUGUGUCAAAUCUUACAAAAAAAAAGAAUACACACACGUACGUUCAUGCACUUGGAAAAUAGAAAAAAAGGAACAUCACGUAUGUAUACACUUCGGAAACUCAUUACAUGACCAUGUCUGAUAUACUCCUCUAAUGCUUAAUAUUAGUGCCUAAUAAUUUAUAUUUAAAAUUUAAUUUACUGAUCAAAUAUCCCCACUGUUUAAAUUUUAAUUUGGCACAUUGUUUGGCUAUAGUAUGAACCUGAAUUUCCUCUUAUUAUUAUAUAUCAUGGUAAUAAUCCAAAGGCGACUAAUCUGCACCGGCGCACCGGCGCAAUCAAUUCGGCUGGACACAGCGCGGCCGUUUGAUUAGAUUGCAUUUAACCAUCAGAUCUGGAAUCGUUUUCUUUCCAAUUAAACGGAUUCAACCAAACAGCAGAGGGGAAAACAAAGCAGCGCCGCCGCCAACACUAGCCAUGGACGACCGAUGUAGCAAAACCUUGAAGAACCGCCGCCGGUCGCCACCCUCGCCUCUGGUCGCUGCCCUCGCCGUCGGUCACCGCCGGUCGCCGCCCUCGCCGCCUGCGUUUCUCAUCGGCUUCAUGCAUGCAACAACAUGCACUCGUGGUUGCAGGCUUGCAUCUCCGGCUCCGGGGACAUGGCCGCAUCUCCGGUAGCGCCGGCCGCCGGCCGCAGCACCUGUCGUUGUGGUCGCGCUGUACCUCGCCGUGUGCCCUCCCGAGGCUCUUGCUGGUUCCAACAAAAAACGAUACCUGUUGUAGCAAAAAAGUAUCGCUUCCAGCAAAAAAGCUUACCGCUACAGCCCGCCAUCGUCAUUGUAGCAAAAAUGUUAACCCGAUGUAGCUUCUGUGGUUGCCGACUGCAGCAAAAAAUGACAUGGCUGUAGCAAAACACAAAAGAAAAACACUGGCCGGCCGCUGUGUAUGGUGGUAACAAACCCUAUAGCCGGUGGUAGCGAAAAACUUCAUAGUGUGCUGCAAAAAAAUGUUGUCACCCGUCGUCGAGGUUGCAUCAUCUUCAUGAAUUAUGCCGCAAAAAAACGUUGUCGCCGGUAGUAGCAAAUGAAGCCGCCGGUAGUAGCAAAACAAGACACUGGUUCCAGCCAAAAAAAAAAUCAGCGACAGAACCUUUGGUUGGUUCCAACAAAAAAACUUGUCGGUUGUAACAUCCCUCGCCGCCGGAUGUAGCAUCUCCCGGGGCUGGUUGCAACACUCCAUAAAAAAAGUUGUCUAUGAGCGCAUCCAUGGUGACUGCUGCACCGUCAGCAAUGAGGGGAAGAGGAGGCAAUGAAAAUCAUUCGAGUCAUAGCUCCACAGGACGCGGCUGCAGCAUGGGGAGUCCAAAAAUCUGUCACAAGCAACAUGCGCCGCGCCAUCCUCCUGCGCAGGAGAGAGAAGAAAAAGGAAUAAGAGGAAGAAGAAAGGAAACAGGAGAAAGAAAAAAGAAAGGAUUGGUGGUUGGCUCAGGCAAUUAGUCAAGCGAGGGGCACGCGGGGCCGCAGGACACAGCGCAAUCGAACGAAGCGCGCGCGUCCGGGCGAAGACUCGGCCGGACUGCCGUCUGGAAACGUUUCCCUAAUCCAAAGGCUUUAUCUGAAUGACAAGUCGUCUGGGUUACCGGCUAACUAGAAAAAAGAUAAAUAUGCUAGAGAAUUCCAUAAUAAUUAGAAAUAUCUAGCCUUUAAUUAUGUAAACCAGAAAAUCACAACCGUUGGAUUUACUUUAAAGGUAAAUUUCUAUAAAUUCCCACCAUUGCCAGUAUGUAGAAACAUGUGCUGCUUCAAUUCUCCCAUAAUCACCAAUCAAUCAACAACACAAAACAUACCUCAGUUAAAAAAACUGAACAAAAAAAAGAAAAAAAGAAGAAAGGACAAGAUACACGCAUGUACACGACAGCCUUGGCUUGAAACACAUCAGUAGAUCAAGUGUCCGCCUCCCUUACACGUACGUCCCAUGAGGUUUACUAGCCUACCGCCGCCGCAUCAUGCCAUCCUCUCCUUUCAGCUCCCAUGCUCUCCAGCACCCUCAUUGCGGCGCCACUACUCGCCUAGGGAUAUUGCUGCUCAGACCGUGGAGCUUAACCACAUCAGCAUCAGCACGUAUGGGCCUCAUUAUACUGCAGCACGUAUUGCGCCCCCUUAAGUCCAGGUCUGUUUGCUGGCACAUAUGCUUUGGAAAUAGGCCACUAUGUUUGUACUUCAAAAUUGUUUCUGUAUUCUUGAGUGGUACAUCCUUUUAAGCGCCAGUUUUUUAUGUUAAUUCAUGCUGACAACACUUAACCUAGCCUUUCAUGUUCACGUACUAAAUACAGGAGCAAGUAAAAACAACAGACCACCUAAUUGCUCUGCAUGUACUACAUAGGAAAAUUUGUCAUGUUCUACGAUCGCACCAUCCCACCCUUCUCUCUUGGUAUGGGCGCCAAUUGAGGGAUUGAUAAAACUGAAACGAAGACGUCACAGGGCUGGAAGUACCGCUAGCCUGGUUUGCACUGCAACCUACCCAACGCCAUCAGAAACUAGCAACUGAGUCAGGUGUUGAUCGAUUCUCUCAAAUUGCUCUCAUGUAAGUACUACCCCUUGCAUGUGCGUACAUACCUUUGUUGCAUUCUCAAACAGAUAGAACAUGUUUGAUCGGUGCAUGGCUAUUUUUCAUCACAUGACAUCCAGAUAACAAGCAUGAAAGGACUACAUUGGAGAUCAAAAAAUAUUGGUUCCUGGCUAGAGUACCACUACCUAUGGACUUGUCUCCAUAGAAUUUGUUCCCAAGAUGUUAUUUUAAUUAAUCUCUUUAGCUUUCUUCCAUUGCAAACGGUGAUGUGCAUCAUGGUAUAUACGUGACCAUCUUGCACAUGUAUACACAAGAGGCUCAGAUGGAGGUGCUGGAUUCUGGACGAGGGAAUAUGAAGCAGGAGUGAGCGAAGAGUAAAUAAUGGUGGGAGUACCGAUUGGUGUUAUGAAGAAAAAUGCCAUCCAAAGAUUGAUUAGUGUCAUGGAAGAUUAAUUUCUGAAUGCGAAUAUAUAUGUUACAUUGGUUUGGAUCUUUUUGAGAUAAUUCCACCUAAAUUAGGUUCUUUCUUAUUUCAUAUGUAUACCUUAUUUCAGUAAAAGUUCACAACGAACUUAGUAGGACAAAUAUAAUUUUGUUUGUUCUUUCUGUUGUCCGCCACCAAAGCUCAAUUUGAACUCUCUAGAAAUGGACAAUGAUUUAUGCAUUCUAUAUCUUCUUGAUUGAUUAGCCAUGACAAGGAAAUAAAAGGAUUGACUGAUAUAGCAUAACUUUGGAACGAUUAGAGGUUACUACAAAUAAGAGUAGUGUCUGUUGGAAUUUUGCUAGUAGGCCUUUGGCCCAAAGCCCAACUAAAAUUCUGAAAUUCUCUUGGCUCAUUUAUGCACACAUGUGAGUUGAGUGAGUGAGACUAAAGUUUAGUCCCACCCUGGAAGUUGAGAGAGAGUUGCACCUCUUUAUAAGGUGAGCUCUUCUACCACUUGUAUGAGCAUGAGAAGAGGAGACCUACACGCGCGCUCCUCCUCCACGCUCGCCACGCCUCGUCGCGCCGCGCCGUGCCGCGGGUUGCGGGAUUGAGCCGAGCCGAGGACGUUUUCUAUAUUUUUGCUGCUCGGGAAAAAUUAAUGAGUCAUUAAUUAAUAAUUAAUGGACACAUUAAUUACUGAACCGUUUCCGAUUUUUUUGGAUCGUGACGACUCGGACGUGGGGUUUACUCCCAGGACCUACCCGGCCCGCACUAUAUAGUCAGGAAGACGUCUACCCUAGCCGCCGCCGCUUCGUAUGGUUUCUCACCAUCGUUACAGAUCAUUGCGCCGCCAAGCAAGUUUUCUCCAUCCCUCCUUUCGGCGUGCACCGGGAGAAGGGACAGCAGACCUCCGGAACCCCGCCUCUCGUGAUCCUAUACGGGAGAGGGGCGAUCAGGUUUUUGGGGAGCGCACUCGCAUGACUGCUGGCAGCGACGACUUCGCAAACGACGACUUCUUCCCCGACCUCGGCAACCUCAUCCUCGACGACAUGGGCGACAACGUCAACGCCGGCGGUGCUACACCCACUGCACCGUAUGUUAUUCUCUCCUUCUUGUUCGAGAUCAUGGUAGAAUUCAUGUUUCUAGUAUAUGUGCCCUAGAUGUGAUCUGUUCAUCUACUAUGGUAGUUCGCAUGAUUAGUUUAAUCUCUGUUAUUGCUGUCAUGAUCUAUUUCCUAUUUAUUCGGAUUAAAUCUCGUAGUAAUUUUCUCAUUUUUCCAACAAUCCAAAAACCUGAUUAUAGGAAAUUUACUCCGAGUGGUUUUGCUGCGCAUCUGAAAGCCGCUUGCCUUUAAGGGGGCGCAAUAUAAGAGGUGGCGCACCAGAGCAGUCUACUGGUUUCAGAUCAUGGGCUGCUAUGACGCCACCAAGGGCAAGCCUGAGGGCGAUCUUAAUCCAGCACAGCUGGAAGCUUUCAAGAAGAUCAAUACCCUCUUUAAAGGCACGCUUCUGAGUGUUCUUGAUGACUCCAUUGUAGAUUCGUAUAUGUCGUUUGACAAUGGCAAGAACAUGUGGGCUACGCUCGAGGCCAAGUUUGGUGCCUCGGACGCCGGCAGCGAGUUGUACGUCAUGGAGCAAUUCUAUGACUCCAAGAUGACUGAUGGGCGCCCUGUUGUACAGCAGGCUCAUGAGAUACAGUUGCUCGCAAAAGAACUUGAGUACUUCAAGUGUGUGUUGGCGAACAAAUUUGUUGCCGGAGGCAUCAUUGCCAAGCUUCCACCUUCGUGGAACAAUUUUGCUACUUCCCUGAAACACAAGAGACAGGAGUUUUUCGUUGCGGAUCUCAUUGGUACUCUUGAUGUUGAAGAGAAGGCGAGAGCAAAGGAUACACGUGCUUGAGUUGCUAAGGGAGGUUCUAGUGCCCACAUGGUACAGAAGAAGAACUUCCAGCCCAACAAGUUCAAAAACAACAAGAACAAAACUUAGGGCAAAGGCAAGUUCGAUACAAAGAACAAGCCAUCACAUUCUACCAACUUCAAGAAGAACUCUCAUAAGAAGGGGAAGGGACUUUGCCAUGUCUAUGGUGAUCCUAAUCACUGGGCUCCGAAGUGUCCCAACCGCUUUGAGGAGCGCGAACAUGAGAAGAGCGGCAAGUCUGCUAAUGUUGUCAUCGGUGAUACUGAUAUGAAGGAAUCAGGGUACGGUAUUUUUCCUACCAUCCUUUCAGUAUUCCAAACCCCUGACUGGUUAAUUGACACCGGUGCCAAUGUACAUGUUUGUGCUGAUGCCUCCAUGUUUUCUUCUUACCAGGCCACUGGGACUUCUCCUAUGCUGAUGGGGAACGGGUCACAUGCCAUCGUUCGAGGUGUUGGUACGGUCGAUCUGAAGUUUACUUCGGGGAAGACCGUGCGUCUGAAGAACGUUCAUCAUGUGCCGUCCAUCAAUAAAAAUCUCGUUAGCGGUUCCCGUUUAUGUCGAGAUGGUUUUAAGUUGGUUUUCGAAUCCAAUAAAGUUAUAAUUUCUAAGUAUGGACAAUUUGUUGGAAAAGGCUAUGAGAGCGGAGGCUUGUUUCGCCUGUCUUUGUCAGAUAUUUGCACUAAAGUUAUUAAUAAUGUUUGCCACAACAAUGAGUCUGAUAUUUGGCAUUCACGACUUUGUCACAUUAACUUUGGUUGCAUGACGCGGCUAGCCAAUAUGAAUUUAAUUCCGAAAAUCUCUACUGUCAAAGGAUCUAAGUGCCAAGUAUGUGUGCAAGGUAAGCAACCUCGCAAGUCCCAUAAGACUGCAGAGGCAACAGACUUGGCGCCACUAGAGCUUAUACAUUCUGAUAUUUGUGAGAUGAAUGACGUGUUGACAAAAGGUGGAAAGAGAUACCUCAUGACGUUGAUUGAUGACUCCACUAGAUAUUGUUAUGUGUAUCUUAUGAAAUCAAAAGAUGAGGCUUUGGCUUUCUUCAAAAACUAUAGAGCUGAGGCAGAGAACCAACUUGAUCGAAAAAUUAAACGGCUUAGGUCCGAUCAUGGUGGAGAGUAUUUUUCCAAUGAAUUUGAUCUAUUUUGUGCGGAACAUGGUAUAAUCCAUGAGAGGAUGCCUCCCUACUCACCCCAGUCAGAUGGGGUAGCCGAAAGAAAGAACCAAACUCUAACUGAUAUGGUUAACACCAUGUUAGACACUUCGGGUCUAUCCAAGGAAUGGUGGGGGGAGGCGCUAAUGACUGCGUGUCAUGUCCUAAACCGAGUUCCCACAAAGCAUAAGACCAUGACUCCAUUUGAGGAAUGUUAAAGGAAAAGGUUGAAACUCUCUUACCUACGUACUUGGGGUUGUUUGGCGAAAGUCAAUAUACCAAUUCCCAAGAAGCGCAAGCUUGGACCAAAAAUCGUGGGUUGUGUUCUUCUUGGCUAUGCUUUUCAUAGCAUCGGCUAUAGAUUUUUGAUAAUAAAAUCUGAGGUAUCCGACAUGCAUGUUGGUACGAUUAUGGAGUCGAAUGAUGCAACUUUUUUUGAGGACAUAUUUCCUAUGAAGGAUAUGUCGAGUUCAUCAAAUCAGGAGACACCUACUCCAUCUAGUGAGGAAUUCAUUGUAAUUCCUGAACCCACCAUUGCGAUGGAACACAUUGAGAAUCCUGUUGAGGGUGACAAUGGAACUCUUGUGAGGAGUAAGAGACAUAGGACUACAAAGUCCUUUGGUGAUGAUUUCAUUGUGUACCUCGUGGAUGACACACCCAGGACUAUUUCAGAAGCCUGUGCAUCUCUUGAUGCUGACUACUGGAAGGAAGCUGUACGUAGCGAGAUGGAUUCCAUCUUAGGUAACGGAACCUGGGAGAUCACUGACCGUCCUUAUGGGUGAAAACCUGUAGGAUGUAAGUGGGUGUUCAAGAAGAAGCUUAGACCUGAUGGUACGAUUGAAAUGUACAAGGCACGGCUUGUGGCCAAGGGUUAUACCCUGAAAGAAGGUGUAGACUUCUUUGAUACUUACUCACCCGUGGCUAGACUGACCACAAUUGGGUGCUACUAUCACUUGUUGCCUCACAUGGUCUUCUCGUUCAUCAAAUGGACGUUAAGAACGCUUUCCUCAAUGGAGAGUUGAAGGAGGAAAUUUACAUGGAUCAGCCAGAUGGUUUUGUAGUACCUGGUUAGUAAGGAAAGGUGUGCAAGUUAUUAAAGUAUUUAUAUGGCCUUAAACAAGCUCCUAAAGAGUGGCAUGAGUAGUUUGAAAGAACAUUAACUGCUACCGGCUUUGUAGUAAACGAUGGUGACAAGUGCGUGUACUAUCGCUAUGGUGGGGGCGAAGGAGUUAUUCUUUGUUUGUAUGUCGACGACAUAUUGAUCUUUCGAACCAAACUUGAUUUAAUCAAGGAGGUUAAGGAUUUCUUAUCUCGCUGUUUUGAGAUGAAGGAUCUAGGAGUAGCUGAUGUUAUCUUAAACAUCAAGCUGUUGAGAGAUGAGAAUGGUGGGAUCACACUGCUUCAGUCACACUAUGUGGAAAAGGUCUUGAAUCGUUUUGGGUAUAGCGACUGCACACCUUCUCCAACCCCAUAUGAUGCUAGCAUGUUGCAUCGAAAGAAUCGACGGAUUGCUAGAGAUCAACUGAGGUAUUCUCAUAUUAUUGGCUCGCUUAUGUAUUUGGCGAGUGCCACGAGGCCAAACAUCUCGUUUGCUGUUAGCAAGCUGAGUCGGUUUGUGUCAAAACCAGGAGAUGAUCAUUGGCAUGCACUUGAGAGAGUUAUGUGCUAUUUGAAAGGCACCGCGAGCUAUGGGAUUCACUACACCGGGUAUCCAAGAGUACUGGAGGGUUAUAGUGACUCAAACUGGAUAUCUGAUGCUAAUGAGAUUAAGGCCACAAGUGGUUAUGUUUUUACACUUGGUGGUGGCGCUGUUUCUUGGAAGUCCUGCAAGCAGACCAUCUUAAUGAGGUCAACUAUGGAAGCAGAACUCACAACAUUAGAAACUGCCACUGUUCAAGCAGUGUGGCUUCAUGAGCUCUUGAUGGACUUUCCUAUGAUUGAAGAACCAAUACCCCCUAUCCCAAUGAACUGUGAUAAUCAAACUAUGAUCGUCAAGAUAAAUAGUUCUAAGGACAAUAUGAAGUCCUCAAGGCAUGUGAAGAGGAGACUGAAAUCUGUCAGAAAAUUGAGGAACUCCGGAGUUAUUACGUUGGAUUAUAUCCAAACGUCAAAAAAAUUGGCAGAUCCCUUCACAAAGGGUCUAUCACGUAAUGUGAUAGAUAAUGCAUCGAUGGAGAUGGGUCUGAGACCCACCGCAUGAGUUGUCCAUAGUGGUAACCCACUCUUUGUGAUCGGAUAUCCCGUGAAGUAUAAGUGGGAGACAAGCUGUUGGUCAGCUGGGAGGAGAGUAUCCCUAUAUUACCUGUCCCACUCCAUGAAGAUGCAAUACUCUCCUAAUCUGCAUGGCAGGUUGAUACUUAUCUUAAUGUGUUCCAAGUGGCUUAUUCGGGUAAGCAGAGAUGUUGUCCUGCAGAACAUCUUCUGAGGAACACACCUAUAUGAAUUUGACUGUUAACGUCGCAGUCUGUGAGAAUUGGGUGUUCUCUAAUAAAUUCAUGAAAAGGCCCUGGAGUAUGACGUAUACGCUCCACCCGCAGGGAAGCCUUGCGGCAGCCCAGUAUCGGUCAAGAAUUUGUGUGAAACUAGUUGCGCAGAAAAUUUGUAGUUCAAGGCAUAGUCCACUAUUCAAGUUGUGAUCUAGUGUAGCAUAAAUCUCUAAGUGGAAGUUCAACUUCACAGUCUCCACUAAGCCCCGGUAUAUAAACAAUGUUUUGGAACUAAAUGAUGAGAUGUGCCAAUGAGACUUUGUGGGGGAUUGUUGGAAUUUUGCUAGUAGGCCUUUGGCCCAAAGCCCAACUAAAAUUCUGAAAUUGUCUUGGCCCAUUCAUGCACACAUGUGAGUGGAGUGAGUGAGACUAAAGUUUAGUCCCACCCCGGAAGUUGAGAGAGAGCACCUCUUUAUAAGGUGAGCUCUUCUACCACUUGUAUGAGCAUGAGAAUAGGAGACCUACACACGCGCUCCUCCUCCUCGCUCGCCACGCCACCCCUCGUCACGACGCGCCGCGGGUUGCGGGAUUGAGCCGAGCCGAGGACAGAGCUAUGCACAUUGUCUAUUUUUUGCUACCCGAAAAAAUUAAUGAGUCAUUAAUUAAUAAUUAAUGGACACGUUAAUUACUAAACCGUUUUCGAUUCUUUUGGAUCAUGAAGACUCGGACAUGGGGUUUACUCCCACGACCUACCGGGCCCGCAUUAUAUAGUCCGGCAGACGUCUACCCUAGCUGCCGCCGCUUCAUAUGGUUUCUUACCACCGUUCCAGAUCAUUGCGCCGCCAAGCAAGUCUUCUCCAUCCGUCCCUUCGGCGUGCAUCGGGAGAAGGGACAACAGGCCUCCGGAACCCCGCCUCUCGUGAUCCUGUACGGGAGAGGGGCGAUCAGGUUUUUGGGGAGCGCACUCGCGCGACUGCUGGCAGCGACGACUUCGCGAAUGACGACUUUUUCCCUGACCUCGGCAACCUCAUCCUCGACGACAUGGGCGACAACGUCAACGCCGGCGGUGCUGCACCCGCUGCACCUUAUGUUAUUCUAUCCUUCUUGUUCGAGAUCAUGGUAGAAUUCACGUUUCUAGUAUAUGCCCUAGAUGUGAUCUGUUCAUCUACUAUGCUAGUUCGCAUGAUUAGUUUAAUAUCUGCUAUUGCUGUCAUGAUCUAUUUCCUAUUUAUUCGGAUUAAAUCUCGUAGUAAUUUGCUCAUUUUUCCAAUAGUACCAUCUAAUAGAUGAUGUAAAUCUCCUCUAGUUUGACGUUGUUGAGCUAAUUUACAAAAAAAACCUCAUCAUUAUUGGACGUCCUUAACAGCUCAAGAACAAGUUGGGGUCGAACUAAUGGAUUUUACACUUUUACAUUAAAGGUUUAGCUAAAGCUAGCAGGUGUUUUUAAACCUGAAUUUUUUUCCUCCUGAAUUUCUUUGUAUUUUCUUAUUGACACUAUUUAUACAAUCAUCUGACAAAGAUUAGCUAAAGCUGUUUGUAGAUACGUUGAAACCUGAAAAGCUUCUUUGGUUAUCCUUUUAAUAGUUCUACGUUUAUUUUCUCAUAGGUCAUAAUUCUUAUGUAAUACCAAGAUGCAUUGUGGUAGUGUACAUGUGUUAAAUUCAGGUUGUUAUUCACAAUUUGCGACAAAAUUUAGCUCACGCUACAUUCAAAUAUGUUGAAAUGUGAAAGCUUUUUUUUCUUCUCCUUUCUACACCUUGCAUCGGAUUGCAUCCCUUUAGUUAUCCAACAUUUUGUACAACAUGUAGAGAUUAGGAAGUUCAUCAUAGUUUGUUUAUUUCGGUGCUAAUAAAUGUAUGAAAUCUGCAUUUCCAAGCUACUAGGACAAGUAAAAAAUAAUAAUUUUACUAUAGGAUUCAAAAACAGCAGUUCUGAAGUGCACUUUAUUUAUUUUUGAAAGUGAUCACAUUUUGUUUCAUUUUUCUAUAGACAAAUCUACUAAUACAUACUCACGAUAAAACUAUAAAAGUUCUAGUCCGCACAUUGGGCGGGCCACCCGGCUAGUUAGUCUAAAGAUAACAAAAUGAGUCUGGAAUUUGAAUUAAAUUGAAGUAUUUUCUUGGACUUUCAAAUUGAGUUUUAUUAAAGUAGUAAGGACUAUCCACAUCCUUGGCUUGCCCCUGAUCAAUUAUUUCCAGAGAAGCAUUCAAUUCAUCAAUCAAUUACAUUGAUUUUAGUGGCUGGUACUUCUCCUCAACAUCAGUAUAUUCACCGUGGCCACUCCAAAUCGGCAAGAAUGAGGUACCAGUGCUCUGGAGCAGUGCAAGCUAAUUGCUUCUCAUCUGAAGGGGUGCGGCCGCAGGAGAGGUAUUUCUGGUGGGCCAAGGGACUAAGAAGCGACUGUGGCAGCGGUAUAGACGCCCGCAAAGCCCCAUAAUUUGUUUUUGGUUUACAGGAAAAAUGCACAUCCAUACCAGCCUGGGGAAUAUAGGACCGUAUUGGAUGGAAAACCAUGUCCGGAUGGUUGCGAGCGGUUUAAGGGUUAGCUUUUGUAACGCCCGGUUAGUUAUGCUAUAGCAAUUCCCUGCUAAUGAUGUCACGUUACCACGAUUACUGUUGUUAACCUCACAAUGAUUCAAUCCCCUUCAAAUUGAAAUUUAAAAUAAAGGCAAACAUCAAAAGUUUUCAAAUAUUAAAACUAAAAUCUUUGAGAGGUGACAAAUAAUGCAUAAGUAAUUAUGGUGGAGAAACCACACUUUAAUCAAAUGUUUAAAUACUCUAAAAUGAAAAAAAACAGUUGCUUAAACUAUUAUUUAAAUGCUUUUAAAAUAGUAAAAAUCUUCUAACUAAAUUAUUUGGGUACCAAACUUUUGGUGGCAGUGGUAUAUUUAGUACAACUAAUUUAGAUGCUAAUUAUAUAAAAAGGAAAAGCAAAAGGGGGCAACCCCUCGCUGGGCCUCGGCCUAGCUGCCACUAGGCUAGCUAGGCUGGCCCCGCCGCCUCCCUUAACCCCCCCCCCCCACUCCCCAUCGAACCCAAGCCCGAUCGCCCCACUUCCCCCANNNNNNNNNNNNNNNNNNNNNNNNNNNNNNNNNNNNNNNNNNNNNNNNNNNNNNNNNNNNNNNNNNNNNNNNNNNNNNNNNNNNNNNNNNNNNNNNNNNNNNNNNNNNNNNNNNNNNNNNNNNNNNNNNNNNNNNNNNNNNNNNNNNNNNNNNNNNNNNNNNNNNNNNNNNNNNNNNNNNNNNNNNNNNNNNNNNNNNNNNNNNNNNNNNNNNNNNNNNNNNNNNNNNNNNNNNNNNNNNNNNNNNNNNNNNNNNNNNNNNNNNNNNNNNNNUUGAUCCCAUCUGGAUCGGGGAGGGUAAUGCCCCAAUCGACCCCGUUGCCGUCGCGGGAUUGCCCGCCGACGUCGCCAGGCCUCCUCCCCGCCACCCGUCUCCGGCUCGCCUCCCCUCUCGCUCCUCUUCCCCGACCCGAUCUGGAUCGUGAACGAGCAAUGAGCUCGAAGCCCCCUUCACCGGCGCCAUCACCGUGCGCCACCACCACCGCCUGAAGACCUCACCGUCGCCGAACCUUGCGUCGCCUCCUCGUAUCCCUCCCCUACUCGCGUCCUCAAGCCAGGCCGAGCCCCUUCUCGGCAACGCCGUGAGACGCCCCCGUCUCCCUCCUCUUUCCACUGCGUUCACCGCGCCGCCCGCCGUGCCCCUCGCCGUGCGCACGCCCACCACCGCACCAGCCCCCGCUCCGCGCACGACCCUACCCGCGUCCGCGCCAUGAUCCCCUUUUCCACCCUACCUUCCUGCGCUCGCCGCGGUCCUGAUGCUCCCCCGCGCCCUCUUUUGGGGGCGCCGACUGCCCCUGUCCCACUGCUCGCCGCCGUGCCUCGCCAUCGCUCUACUGCUAAGUUAUUGCUGCGCUGCGGCCGUCGCCUCUUCCCGCUGCUCCGCCAGCGCCGAAGCUCCCGAUUGGCUCCACCACUUCUCACGUUAAACCGCCGGCCUAAAUGGCCUAACCCCCGGCUAAUGAACCCCCACUAUCCCACUGACACCGGGACCCACAUUCCCUAAUUAACCAUUUAAUAAAUUAAAACUCUUAAAUUAACAUUAGUGUAUGACAUGUGCGUCCCCUAUUAAUUUAUAAUUUUACUGCUAGUUUUAUUAGUUUCUGUUUUUUCUGCAUAUUUCUUUUGUAUUUGAACAGGCUUUAUAUAAUAAUAUUUAGCGUCUCAUACACAUAUAAAUGUAAUUAUAGCAUAUACAUACAAAUAGUCUCAUCAAAUCAUGUCAUCACCAUAAUCAUCAUCCAUCACAAAGUGAUCUCUCGUCAUCAUCUCGAAAAUAGCAAUACAAGUCUCGAUUACUUGCAACUACAUCGUCAUCCAUCUAAACAAUGAUAUACGCGAGAAGCGCUAUCACUAUGAGUGAGAGCGGAACUAUGCAGUACAUGAGUUUGUAUCCCUCUCUCACAUUAGCGUGAACCUAAACUAACUACUGGCUGUUGCUCGGAAACCGGAAACCGGUACACCUGGGCCUGACACUCCGGCCACUCGUCGUAUACUCCUGGCGUAGCACUUCUUCGCCAUCGAUGAUCUAUAAACCUACAUCGUCAGAUGAGUCGAUGAUAUGCAACAUAUAUAGUUGAGCAACAGAAAGAGACAGACUUGGCAAAAAUAGAAGCAACAUAUCAUAAGCAUAAAUAACAAAGUUCAUCGUACGCAAAAUGCCCUAACUAGAGUGAUCUUCGCUAGUCGAGGAGGACGGUUUAAUUACAUCACAAAUAAUUUUUCGUCGUGCAUAACUCAAAGUUCCGUCAUACAGAAAGUAUGAACUAAAUGGACACAUUGUCAUAUUUCAAAAAUCACUCCCACAUGUCGUGCCAUCCAUCCAAGUCAAGGAGAUAGUGCCCGAGCUUAGUGAAAGGCUUUAGGUCGAGACGCUGAGCGGCUAUGCGUGUUCGGACGUCUUCCCACGACAUUUGUCCUUCUUCAUAGAACAUCCCUGUUUUUUCGACGACCUCCUUCAUCACUGGAAGAAAAAGGGCCUGUUGUCCCGGUUCUGGAACCGGGACUAAAGGGUCGGUACUAAUGCCCUGUCCCUUUAGUCCCGGUUCAAUCCAGAACCAGGACAGUUGGGCCUCCACGUGGCCUGUGCGCGGAGCCUAGGCGGGAGACCCUUUGGUCCAAUAAGCAUCCACGCAUCAGCAUUUAUGUGGUUGGGGUUUUUGUUUUUUUUGAAGGGGGGGGCAUUGGGGGUUUUGGGGGGUUAAUUUUGGUGUUUCAUAUAUUGUGUUAGCUAGCUAUAAUUAAUAGAGAGAAUUGUCCUCUCUUAUGUCCGUGCUUGCUCGACGCUACGUACUAUACAUACGUAUAGAGAGGACUAGACACGGUAGCUAGCUAGUAAGCAAACGAAGGAAAUAGAAGAUCGUCAUGAACAUAUAUGCAUACAGAGAGAAGUAAUAUCGACCACCUCUCCUUCUCCGAGAGAUUGGUCGAACAACAAGUUCUCAUAUAUCUAUCCGACACUACCGGCUACAUAUAUACAAUAAUUAUCUCUUACAAAUAUAAUCAUACGGAUUCAGGGUCCACAUAGUAUUCUCUGUCUUCAAGGAUCACGUGGUCAAGAAAGAAUGCCGCCAAUUCCUCUUGAAUUGCUCGCAUGCGAGCUGGUGCUAGGAGUUCAUCCCGCUUCCGAAACAUCUAAUUUAAAGAAGGGGGUUAAUACAUAUAUACAUAUAUAUAUAUAUAUAUAUAUAUAUAUAUAUAUAUAUAUAUAUAUAUGAAUGAAUGAAACUCAACACGAAUGAUGGUAAUAAAAUAAAAUUGUGAAUGUUGUUAUUUACGUACUUCAUAUUGUUCGUCAGUGUAGCCCCGCUCAUAGGUCGUGUGGCGGAUGGACUCGCAAACGUAGUAUCCACAGAAAUCAUUCCUUUGUUCCUGCCACAACCACUUUAUAAGAAAUAGAGGUCAAUCAAACUGAUAAGCAAGAAUGCCAAAUGGUAUUGAUGAAACUUGUCAGGACCCCGAUUCCAAGCCACAUCGAUCUAGCCGGUAACACCUCAUAUCACUUUGCGGCCUCACGCACGAUAUUCCACGGGUGUCGCCUUACCAUGGCCCGGGACCGUUUGCGCCUUUUGGCUCACGUAUAUGAUAGUGUUGCUAGCAUCCAUAUGACAGAGAACCCGGGCCGACAUGGCUAGUCGUGAACCCAAAGUGGCACAGACCUAUGGAGACAGGCAUACAUGAAUCACAUCGAGCAUGUCGGUCAUCAGUGUGUGAUUCCGGGCUGUAGCACUGGGCUAACAGGACUCCGGGGAACCCGGGCUGUAGCAGGCUAGGCAGGACUCCGGAAGUCACCGCGUGACAUUUACCCGAAGGGACAGACAUAGGAACGAAGUGAAUCACAUGCCGGCAAGUCAAGUGUCCUGAGCAGUAGUACUGGGCUAGCAGGACUCCGGUGAACCGGGCUGUAGCGGACUACUAUGGCUCGAGGAACACUAGACUACAUUUCCCCAUAAGAAAGGCUGCCAAGGAUAAACAACUAGAUUGUCGGAUCCCACUCAUACCAAGCAUUUCAAUCAUACACACAAUAUGCCCGAUAUGAGUACAUACAACAUGGCAUCACAACAAAACUCUACAACUCAAGUACUUUAUUUAAAGGCUCUAGAGAGCCAUACAUAACAUGUUCAUACAGAUAGGGGUCACAUGACCCGACACUCAAGUCAUACAAUCAUACAAGCACAUGCGGAAGCAACCGGUCUGAGUACAGACACUAGAAAGAAAGAAGGCUCCUCGAGGCCUGUCUAUCUACAUAGGGCCCUCCAUGGCCAGGAUCACCACCUGGGUGGCUAGUCACUCGUCGAUGUCAAGGUCUACAUAGAACCCAUCGAAGGGGGCUGUGUUGUCGUCUGAAAACAGUAAUUAAGCAAACAUGAGUACAAAGGUACUCAGCAAGUCUUACAAAAGAACCUACUAUACAUGCUUAUUCUCAAGAAGGUGGUGGGGAUAUUGCAGCAAGCCAGUUUUCACUCUUGGCUAAACUAUCCUACAGAACUUCUCUAGUAAAAUAGUUUUCGCACACGAGUCCACUACUCACCAACACAAUACUCCACCGGGGAUCCUCCCUCGUCAUCCUAUGAGAGGGCCAUCCUCGGUACUCACACUUAUCUUGACUAUUUUAGUAGUAUCCAUUUAAUUGUCUAUGAACUGUAUAGGCAACCAAGUAGUCCUUUACCGCGGACGCGGCUAUUCGAAUAGUUUUAUACCCUGCAGGGGUGUACUUCGUCAUACAUGCUUUCACCACUUAUCGUCGUUUACACGACAUGUACUCGGCAACCUUCAAGCGAAAGCCCAGCGAGGGUGUCGGCCACGGCCUACCUAAACACUUAAGUCUCUAGUCCAGGUUUAUCGCCUAUCUAGGUUCCAUCCGCAGGGAGUCCGGGCGAGGUUUCCACAUACGGCCCCGAACGAUGUGAACAGGGUCCCGAGACGCCAAACGGGCGCCCGGCAUACCCGGCCAUGGUGUAUCUACCGCAACAUAGCCCACCCUUAGGGUCAGCGCUACGCACGGCCGCCAACACAUAACCUACAAACACCAGAAACUAUUUGCAACUCCUAGACAGAGUACAAGGGUGAUUAAGAAGCCGAGAGGGUCAAUUAAGGAUCCCAAUGCAUGGUAGUAGCUGAAUCUUAAAUCACACAUACCGAUCUCAGUUCUUAGGGACGGUCUCAAUGAAACAACCCACCAUGUACUCCUACAUGGCCUCUCAUCGAUACCUUUACCAAAACAUGUUCAACACAUUCCUCAUAUUACCGACAUAAUCAUAUCACCCUAGCCCAUCACCCAGAUGAACCAGACCUGACACAACUAUAAGCAUAGCAGGCAUAGCAAGGUAGGAAUCACAUACAUGGCUCAAUCAACUCCUACACAUGCUAGUGGGUUUCAUCUAGUUACUGUGGCAAUGACAGGUCAUGCAGAGGAUAAGGGUUCAACUAUCGUAGCACACAGCAGUUUGAAUCACAUUGUCUUAAUGCAGUAAACAAGAGCAGAGGCAAGAACAUGGGUUGUAUCGGAAUGAUCAAUGGGUUGCUUGACUGAUGGAGUGGUAGUGGGAUACUGCCCUUCAGUUGGAUACUCAUGAAUAUCCUCGGAGGCAGAACCUACCACGAAGAACACAUCGGAACACAAUCAACACAUGAUGAUAUGCAACAAUAUGAUGCAUGCUAUGACAUGGCAAUAUGAAUGUGUCUUGGCCUAAUGCAAGCUAAAAUAGAAAGGGAUGAACUCAUUUGAAUCAAAGAUUCAAAUAUUAGCUCAUUAAACAUGGCCUUAGUAGUGCAUUUCCUUAUUCUGCUUAAACAGCAAGGUAAACUUGUUUUUUCAUGCUUGAAACCAUUACAGAUGGAUAUAUUGAAUUUUUCUGAUAAUUUUUCAUAUAUAAAUUAUUUCAUUUGGAGUUACGGUUGAAUUUCUAUGAUUUUUAGAAGUUUCAAACAUUUUCUGGAAUUUCUUGAAUAAAAAUAAAUCCAGAAAAUGCAUUACUGCGUCAGCAUUGCAUCAUGCUGACCUCCGCAGGUCAAAGGCACCAGCCUAGGUCAAACCUGACUGGUGGGCCCCUUCUGUCAGUCUCUCAGUUAAAUAACAGGAUUAGAUUAACACUAAUUAGCUGUCAGUGGGGCCUGGGCCCACAUGUCACUGACUGAUUAAAAUAAAAUUAGUUAAAACUAAUCCUAGAUUAGUUAGCAAACCGGCCCCACCUGUCAUAGACUUAGGGGGGGUCUACCUGGGCCCACCCAGGGUCAAACUGGGUCAAACUCGCCGGCGCAGCUCGGAAAACGCCUACAGGGCACGAGCGAGGCCGUUCUUGGGCUCAUUGGAGAGCUCUUGCAGUCGCGCAUCUAGUGGCGGUGGUGGCCGGAGACGACGACGGCGAGCUCCAAGGCGGCGGCCGGAGUUCGGCCAUGUGCGGGGUGUCGGCUGUGGCGUGCAAACGUGGAAACUGAGGCACUAGCGAGGCACUACGCGAUGCGGCAAGCACGUUGCAUAGCACGGGAUAAUCAAAUGGUUGCCGGAGCGGCACCGGUGACAAGCUCGAGCGGAGACGAGCUUCGGCCAUGGUGGAACUAUGGCCUAGAGGGUGCAAACGCGUGGAAAAGAAGAGGGGAAAGGUGGCGGAGCUCACAGGGAGGUCGAUGAGCAGCUCAGUGGGCUCGGGGGCGACAGAAGUGAGGCGAAUCGAUGAGCAGCGUCCGGCGGGUACCGAGGUUGAAGACGAUCCGAUGGCGGCGAUGCAGGGCCUCCGGCGAUGCGUGGCUCGGUGGGAAGGGCGAGGGGGUGACGGAGGGCGCGACUACGGCGGUGAGACGGCGACGGGUGCGUCGGCCAUCGCGGGAGAGGGAGAGGGAGAUGAGUGGGAGAGUGAGAGAGGAUGAGAGGGGGACGUGGGGGUCGCGUGGCAUUCCCUGGACGUCUCCCGGCAUCGGCGGAAGCAGGAGGUGGCCGGCGUGUGGCCGCGGGCGCCGGCCACGCGCUCUGCGUCCUUCUGGCGCGAGGAGGACGACGACUGGCAGCGCCAGUAGGCUGGGCCGAGCCAGGUGGGCUGGCCAGCACAGGUAAGGCUCAGGUGGGCUUCUCCCUCUUUUUUUUAAUUUGUUUCUGUUUUCUAUUUAACUGUAAAUGUUGGGCUUUAUUUAAAAUACUAAAACAUUUCCAAAAAUCCUGAAAAUAAUUGUGGGCUCUGUUUGGAUUAUUUCCAAUAGCAAACAUUUAUUUGCAGAAUUAUUUGAGCAUUUAAAUGCCCAAAUUCAAAUACUUAUGAUUUAAAUCAAUGACCUUCUGUUGACCUAGAAAAGUUGUGCACCAAUUUUGCCAGAGGUUCUAACCCAAGACAAAGAGGGUGAACUUUUUAGAAGGGCAUUUCAGGUUCAUUGAAAAUAAUUUUAGUAAUCCCUAGUUGUUUCCAGGGGGGUGUUGGGGGUUUCUGCCUUCCCCAAUUCAAAUUUAAGAGGAAUUUAAACAUGAUGCACAUUCUAAUGCUUGAACUAGCUAGGGUGUGACAACUCACCCCCACUCAAAAGAAUCUCGUCCCGAGAUUUAGGAUCCUCUGGAAAGAAGGUGGGGUACUCGAGUCGAAGACGAUCCUCCCUUUCCCAAGUGGCUUCUUUCUCGGAAUGGUGUGUCCAUUGAACCUUGAGAAACUUGAUAUUAUGACGUCGAGUGGUACACUCGGCUUGAUCAAGGAUACGAACGGGAUAUUCCCGAUAAGAGAGGUUAUCUUGUAGAUCAAGCAUUUCGUGGUCCACUCCACGGAUAGGAUCCGCGAAGCAACGCCUGAGUUGUGAAACGUGGAAGACAUCAUGAACUCUGGAAAGAUGCGGAGGUAGUUCCAAUUGGUAGGCAACUUCUCCUCGUUUGGCAAGAAUGCGAAAGGGUCCAAUGUAACGAGGAGCCAAUUUGCCUUUGAUACCGAAAUGAUGGGUUCCUUUUAAUGGGGUAACCCGAAGGUAAGCCUUCUCGUCGAUUCAUAAGUCAUAGGCUUAUGUUUACGAUCAUAUUGACUCUUUUGACGAGAUUGGGCUGUUUUCAAUUUCUCACGAAUAACGCGAACCUGCUCUUCCGCUUCCUGAAUCAUAUCCGGGCCAAAGAGUUGUCUUUCCCCGGUUUCUGACCAGUUAAGAGGCGUUCGACAUUUUCGUCCAUAGAGAACUUCGAAAGGAGCUUUGCCCAAGCUAGCUUGAUAACUAUUGUUAUAAGCAAACUAUGCGAAUGGGAAGCAUUUCUCCCAACUCAUUCCGAAUGAGAUAACAGAAGCUCGGAGCAUAUCUUCUAGAAUUUGAUUGACUCGCUCUACUUGACCACUUGAUUGAGGAUGGAAGGCGGUACUAAAAGAGAGACGAGUUCCCAUAGCAUUUUGGAAACUUUCCCAAAAUCGAGAGGUGAAGAGACUCCCACGGUCUGAGUUAAUUUCCAAUGGGACACCAUGGAGAGACACUAUUCGGGAGAUGUAUAAAUCGGCUAGCUGGCUAGCAGUGAUACUCGCACGAACAGGUAGGAAAUGGGCUACUUUGGAAAGACGGUCGAUCACGACGAAGAUGGCAUUAUUCCCUCUCUUGUUCCUGGGAAACCCAGUAAUGAAAUCCAUACUGAUUUUAUCCCAUUUCCAUUCAGGAAUAGCCAAAGGUUGAAGGGUGCCAGCAGGCCGUUGAUGCCCUGCUUUAACACGAUGACAGACGUCGCAGCUAGCAAUGUAUCGAGCGAUUUCUCUCUUCAUCCUAGUACAUCAAAACCUCUGGCGUAGGUCUUGAUACAUUUUAUUGCUACCGGGAUGAAUGGUGAGAGGGGAUUCAUGAGCUUCCUUAAGGAUCAAUUGGCGUAGAUGUUGUUUCUUGGGAACCACCAAACGGUUCUCAAAGAAGACAGCACCCCGCUUAUCCAUGGAAAAACAUUUAGCAACUCCGCUAGCAAUGUUUUCCUUAAUCCGGGAUAUGCCCUUAUCAUACCGCUGGGCAGUUAUGAUCUGAUCCAUAAGGUUAGGUUUCGCCACCAGGGUGGAUAGGAAUCCUCGAGGAACAAUGUGAAGAUUAAGCUUACGGAAUUCCUCAUGGAGAAGUGGUUGACUUUGUUGUAACAUCAGGUUGUUACAAUAGGAUUUACGGCGUAGUGCAGCAGCCAUGACAUUGGCUUUGCCCGGUGUGUAGGUUAUUCCUAAGUCGUAAUCCGAGAUCAACUCAACCCAACGUCUUUGCCUGAGAUUCAAAUCUGGUUGGGUGAAGAUAUAUUUCAAGCUUUGGUGAUCGGUGAAGAUCUCGCAACGAUUAAGUGCAUGGACUACAGCUGCCAGCUCUAGAUCAUGUGUGGGAUAAUUUUCCUCAUGUGGGUGUAAUUGCCGUGAAGCGUAGGCAAUUACCUGACGAUCUUGCAUGAGUAUGCAACCUAGUCCUUGUCGCGAGGCGUCACAAUAGAUAAUAAAGUCCUUGGAUAAAUCAGGUGGUACCAGUACGGGAGCAGAUGUCAGGCGUCUUUUCAGUUCCUAAAAGCUGAACUCGCACUGUGGAGUCUACUCGAACUUUUUAUCUUUCUUGAGGAGUUUAGUUAGAGGUUUAGCAACCUUGGAGAAAUUCUCGACGAAGCGGCGGCAAUAGCUCGCUAAGCCAAGGAAGCUCCAAACUUGCUUGACCGUCUCAGGUGGAGUCUAAUCAAGGACGGCUUGAACUCGCUCGGGAUUGACGGCAAUACCCUUACCAGAGAUUACAUGGCCUAGAUAGGUUACUUCUGGCAACCAAAAUUCACACUUGGAGAAUUUGGCAUAAAGGCGAUGCUCUCGAAGUUUCAUCAAUACCAGCCUUAGAUGUUCGGCAUGUUCCUCUUCAUUCUUGGAGUAGAUUAGUAUGUCAUUGAGGUAUACUACGAUGAAUUUAUCCAAGUACUCCAUGAAAACCGAGUUCAUUAGCCGGGAGAAGGUAGCCGGGGCAUUGGUUAAACCGAAGGACAUAACGGUGUACUCGUAUUGGCCAUAACGAGUAACAAAGGCCGUUUUGGGAAUGUCCCCGUUUCUGAUUUAGAUUUGAUGGUAGCCCAACCUCAAAUCCAUCUUGGAAAAGACUGAGGAUCCAGCAAACUAAUCAUACAGAUCAUUGAUCCUGGGAAGUGGGUAUUUGUUCUUGAUGGUGACCAAGUUGAUAGGUCGGUAAUCCACAACCAUUCGAUCUGUUCCAUCCUUCUUGACGAAGAGGACGGGGCAAGCCCAAGGAGAGGAACUAGGACGGAUGAAACCCUUUUUCAAGGACUCAUCGAGUUGGUUCUCAAGCUCGGCUAGUUCUAAGGGUGCCAUCUUGUAGGGUCUUCUAGAAAUUAGAAUGGUUCCUGGAACAAGGUCUAUCACAAACUCGACAUCCCUGUCAGGUGGAACACCUGGCAGUUCUUCUGGAAAGGCAUCCGGAAAGUCUCGGACUACCGGAACAUCCUCAAGGUCUGGAAGGGGGUUGGCAUUUAGGGAGUAAAGUUGGCACUUGGCCACUCGAGUUAAGACAUUAACUGUCUUGCCCGAUGGGUGAGUAAGUUGAACGGUUCUAGUGGCACAGUCAAUCUUAGCAUAAUGAGCUGACAUCCAGUCCAUACCUAAGAUGAUGUUUAUGUCCGAGGACUUGAGAGCUAUUAAGGAUGCAAGGAAGACAAGUCUAUCGACAAGAAUUUCGUUCCCAUGGCUUACUCUAGAAGUUUGCCAUCUAGAGCCAGGGGUUUGAAUUUCCAUGGUAGAGGGCAUGUCACAGAAUGUCGUGUUGUGCAAUCGAGCAUAGUUCUCGGAUAUGAAUGAAUGAUAUGCUCCAGUAUCGAAAAGAACAGAUGCCGGAUGGCAGUUAACAAGGAGCGUACCAAGGACGACGUUGGGAUCCUCAUGAGCCUCCUCGGCUGAAACAUAGUUGACAUGGCCACGUGCAGUGGUGGCUGGCUUAGCGUAGAAUGUUUUUCCCGCGGGCUUACCACGGCCAACGGACUUUCCAGUUUGAUUGGGGUUGUUGUUCUGGGGACACUCUCGGCUAUAGUGACCCGGCUCUCCACACUUAAAGCAUGUCACCACAUUGGGGCGUGGAGCAGCAUUAGCAGCGGGGCCACCAUAGGGCUUGGGCGGUGCAAAUUGCUGGUUGGGACGUGGUGCCUCAAAGGAUGGCCUCGGGAUGAACCUGGGUGGCAGUGCCGUGCUUGGAAUCCACACCCGGCGCUUCUGAGCUCCAGAGCCGAUGAAGAGCCAAAAUCACGGGAGUGCUUGCGUGAAGUGUCAUAAUCAGUCUGGCCUUUCUCAGCACUGAUGGCUUUAUGGACCAACUUCUAAAAGGAGGUGCACUUGUGCAGACGAAGACCACGGUGAAGCUCAGGGCUAAGUCCCUUGCGGAACCUUGCCUGCUUCUUAGCAUCAGUAGAUACCUCUUCAGGGGCAUAACGUGCCAGAUUCCCAAAUUCACGACUGUAAGCAUCCACAGUCAGUCUUCCUUGGGUGAAGUUGCAGAACUCCUCCCUCUUGCGAUCCAUGAGACCUUCCGGAAUGUGAUGCUCACGGAAAGCCUCACUGAAUUCAGCCCAAGUAGUGAUUUGGCCGACCGGGCGCAUAGCUUCGAAGUUUUCCCACCAAAGGCUAGCAGGGCCUUUGAGGUGAUAGGCAGCAUAAGUAACCUUGUCGGCUUUGGCUACGUUGGCAGAACGUAGCUUGUGGGUGAUGCUGUGAAGCCAGUCAUCCACGUCGAGGGGCUCGACGGAAUGGUUAAACUUUGGUGGGUACAUCUUGAUAAAGUCAUUGAUUGACACCAACUCAUUUCGCGGGUGGCGUGCAGUGUUCUGCUCAAUCCGCUCCAGCAGGCGGUUGGUCUCACGCUUCUUUCUUUCUGCCUCCAGCAUUACUUCGGCCAGAGAAGGCGGGUGAGGCAGAUUUUCACCUCUAGCAGCACUGGCUUCCCCCUGCUCCGGGGCAACAGGGUUGCUGCGAGUAUUGACCAUCCUAGGAGAAAACAAGACAACGGUUUAGACAAGGAUGGCUCAAACUGAGCAAGGAUGUGCAGAAUGUAAUGGAUAACACGGAACACAGAGAUGUUCAUCCGUAUGUCAUGGUAAUAUAAAACUGCCAUAUAUAUACCAACGGUCAUACACAUCACACAUAGUUUAGUACAAGCCCAGGCUACAGUACAACUAUGAUGAAAGACGUUACAUCUCAUCGGAGGCAUUCCAAGCUCCUAUACAUUAUUGUCUACACCUUCGGAAUUGAUUACACGCAAAGUCAUAUUCCAAAAGUCACGCAGGACAGUGGAGAUACAACUACUACAAUACUAGUGGUACUACUACUAACUCAGACAGCUCCGUACUAGUCCUCAUAGAAGUCACCUCCAUAGCCUGGAAGUUCAACGUGACCAUCCGGGAACAGACGGUCCUGAGGAGCCUGUGGACCAUAGGGGCUUGGAUGGGGUCUUGGACCAACAAACGGUGGCCUGCGGGGACCACAGGGUGGGGUGAUGCCUCCCACAUCACGCCAAUCCACCACGUCUGGCAAAGCAGACCUCACAGGAUACAAAUCCCUUGUAUCCAUACAUCCAGCUUGCACCACAGGUGCAAACCGAGUCAAUGUGGCCCAAUGAUCAGCACGGGUAUUAAAAAGCUCCAGCCUCAAGGCCUGAUUCUCUCGGUCCUUAUAUUCGAGCAUCUCGGCAGUGGUACGAGUUAAUGAAUCCUCCUGAGUGGAGUCAGCAUAGAUAGCCUGAAGAUACCCUUGCGCUCCCGGAAGUGAAGCUAGCAUGUAUCGGAAGUCGGUGUUCCGAAGCAGGCCAGUCCGGACUCGCAUGAUUGUCAUCAUGGAAUAGGCAGCAUCCUGCACAGCCAUCUCAACAGUAACCCCGAGUCCAUAGGAACAGUGAAGGGGCUCGGUAGAUCCAGGAUAAGAAGGAAAUAUCUUGACGGUGCAGAAAUACUGGCUUUGAUUAAAGUCUCAGAAUUGCUCUUCGACGGUGUAUUCGGGAUACCAACGGUAACCCGUCUCGAUCAUGACCCGGACUAACAUAGCAGUAUGACCGGGCACGUCGAGCCACCGGGUCAGGCGAACCACUUUGUUUUGAGCACGGUUGGGCAUCUGAAAGCACAACCACAAUGCAAAGACAUCAGAAUUUCUAGGGAAAAUUGGACAGCAUAACAGCUGUAAAUGCUCAGAAAAAGAUUUGAGACAUCCACAACAGUUCGCAAUACCACUCAACAACAUCAUAUCAAGGUUCUGAUCCAAAUAGCAGCAUACUAAAAAUAGUAGAAACUGAACUGGGGCUUGUAACAACAAUCCUAUAAGCUACUACGGAUUAGUAACACGUGAACCUGAUAGAAGAAGAGAGACUAGUCCUUAACCCACAUUGAAUGAAAAGGGAAUGACUCAGAUAAGAGGCAUAGGGUAAAGGAGUAAAAGAGCCUUACGUUCCCUCCCACAAUCAAUUCCCCUACAUAUAACUAAAGCAUUUCCAGACUCGACAUCGACCAGUUUGGCUCAACGAACCUACAGGCAGUCCGGCACUGAUGCCAACGCUGUCAGGACCCCGAUUCCAAGACACAUCGAUCUAGCUGGUAACACCUCAUAUCACUUUGCGGCCUCACGCACGAUAUUCCACGGGUGUCGCCUUACCAUGGCCCGGGACCGUUUGCGCCUUUUGGCUCACGUAUAUGAUAGUGUCGCUAGCAUCCAUAUGAUAGAGAACCCGGGCCGACAUGGCUAGUCGUGAACCCAAAGAGGCACAGACCUAUGGAGACAGGCAUACAUGAAUCACAUCGAGCAUGUCGGUCAUCAGCGAGUGAUUCCGGGCUGUAGCACUGGGCUAACAGGACUCCGGGGAACCCGGGCUGUAGCAGGCUAGGCAGGACUCCGGAAGUCACCGCGUAACAUUUCCCCGAAGGGACAGACAUAGGAAUGAAGUGAAUCACAUGCCGGCAAGUCAAGUGUCCUGAGCUGUAGUGCUGGGCUAGCAGGACUCUGGUGAACCGGGCUGUAGCGGACUACUAUGGCUCAAGGAACACUAGACUACAUUUCCCCAUAAGAAAGGCUGCCAAGGAUAAACAACUAGAUUGCCGGAUCCCACUCAUACCAAGCAUUUCAAUCAUACACGCAAUAUGUCCGAUAUGAGUACAUACAACAUGGCAUCACAACAAAACUCUACAACUCAAGUACUUUAUUUAAAGGCUCUAGAGAGCCAUACAUAACAGGUUCAUACAGAUAGGGGUCACAUGACCCGACACUCAAGUCAUACAAUCAUACAAGCACAUGCGGAAGCAACCGGUCUGAGUACAGACACUAGAAAGAAAGAAGGCUCCUCGAGGCCUGUCUAUCUACAUAGGGCCCUCCAUGGCCAGGAUCACCACCUGGGUGGCUACUUACUCGUCGACGUCAAGGUCUACAUAGAACCCAUCGGAGGGGGCGGUGUUGUCGUCUGAAAACAGUAAUUAAGCAAACAUGAGUACAAAGGUACUCAGCAAGUCUUACAACAGAACCUAGUAUACAUGCUUAUACUCAAGAAGGUGGUGGGGAUAUUGCAGCAAGCCAGCUUUGACUCUUGGCUAAACUAUCCUACGGAACUUCUCUAGUAAAAUAGUUUUCGCACACGAGUCCACUACUCGCCAACACAAUACUCCACAGGGGAUCCUCCCUCGUCAUCCUAUGAGAGGGCCAUCCUCGGUACUCACACUUAUCUUGAGUAUUUUAGUAGUAUCCAUUUACUUGUCUAUGAACUGUAUAGGAAACCAAGUAGUCAUACACGCUAUUCGGAUAGUUUUAUACCCUGCAGGGGUGUACUUCGUCAUACACGCUUUCACCACUUAUCGCCGUUUACAUGACAUGUACUCGGCAACCUUCAAGCGGAAGCCCAGCGAGGGUGUCGGCCACGGCCUACCUAAACACUUAAGUCUCUAGUCCAGGUUUAUCGCCUAUCCAGGUUCCAUCCACAGGGAGUCCGGCCGAGGUUUCCACAUACGGCCCCGAACGAAGUGAACAUGGUUUCGAGACGCCAAACGGGCGCCCGGCAUACCCGGCCACGGUGUAUCUACCGCAACAUAGCCCACCCCUAGGGUCAGCGCUAUGCACGGCCGCCAACACAUAACCUACAAACACCAGAAACUAUUUGCAACUCCUGGACAGAGUACAAGGGUGAUUAAGAAGUCGAGAUGGUCAAUUAAGGAUCCCAAUGCAUGGUAGUAGUGAAUCUUAAAUCGCACAUACAGAUCUCAGUUCUUAGGGACGGUCUCAAUGAAACAACCCACCAUGUACUCCUACAUGGCCUCUCAUCGAUAUCUUUACCAAAACAUGUUCAACACAUUCCUCAUAUUACCGACAUAAUCAUAUCACCCUAGCCCAUCACCCAGAUGAACCAGACCUGACACAACUCUAAGCAUAGCAGGCAUAGCAAGGUAGGAAUUAUAUACAUGGCUCAAUCAACUCCUACACAUGCUAGUGGGUUUCAUCUAGUUACUGUGGCAAUGACAGGUCAUGCAGAGGAUAAGGGUUCAACUACUGUAGCACACAGCAGUUUGAAUCACGUUGUCUUAAUGCAGUAAACAAGAGCACAGGCGAGAACAUGGGUUGUAUCGGAAUGAUCAAUGGGUUGCUUGCUUGAUGGAGUGGUAGUGGAAUACUGCCCUUCAGUGGGAUACUCGUGAAUAUCCUCGGAGCCAGAACCUACCACGAAGAACACAUCGGAACACAAUCAACACAUGACGAUAUGCAACAAUAUGAUGCAUGCUAUGACGUAUCUUGGCCUAAUGCAAGCUAAAAUAGAAAGGGAUGAACUCAUUUGAAUCAAAAAUUCAAAUAUUAGCUCAUUAAACAUGACCUUAGUAGUGCAUUUCCUUAUUCUGCUUAAACAGCAAGGUAAACUUGUUUUGUCAUGCAUGAAACCAUUACAGAUGGAUAGAUUGAAUUUUUCUGAUAAUUUUUCAUAUAUAAAUUAUUUCAUUUGGAGUUACGGUUGAAUCUCUAUGAUUUUUAGAAGUUUUAAACAUUUUCUGGAAAUUACUGAAUAAAAAUAAAUCCAAAAAAUGCAUUACGGCGUCAGCAUUGUGUCAUGCUGACCUCAGCAGGUCAAAGGCGCCAGCCCAGGUCAAACCUGACUGGUGGGCCCCUUCUGUCAGUCUCUCAGUUAAAUAACAGGAUUAGAUUAACACUAAUUAACUGUCAGUGGGGCCUGGGCCCACAUGUCAGUGACUGAUUAAAAUAAAAUUAGUUAAAACUAAUCCUAGAUUAGUUAGCAGACCGGCCCCACCUGUCAUAGACUCAGGGGGGUCUACCUGGGCCCACCCAGGGUCAAACUGGGUCAAACUCGCCGGCGUUGAGCCGCCGGCGAGACCCGAGACAGUGGCGCAGCUCGGAAAACGCCUACAGGGCACGAGCGAGGCCGUUCUUGGGCUCGUUGGAGAGCUCUUGCAGUCGCGCAUCUAGUGCUGGUGGUGGCCGGGCCUACGGUGGCCGGAGACGACGACGGCGAGCUCCAAGGCGGCGGCCGGAGUUCGGCCAUGUGCGGGGUGUGGGCUGCGGCGUGCAAACGUGGAAACUGAGGCGCUAGCGAGGCACUACGUGAUGCGGCAAGCACGUUGCGUAGCACGGGAUGACCAAAUGGUCGCCGGAGCGGCGCUGACGACAAGCUCGAGCGGAGACGAGCUUCGGCCAUGGUGAAACUAUGGCCUAGAGGGUGCAAACGCGUGGAAAAGAAGAGGGGAAAGGUGGCGGAGCUCACAGGGAGGUCGAUGAGCAGCUCAGUGGGCUCGGGGCGACCGGAGUGAGGCGAAUCGACGAGCGGCGUCCGGCGGGUACCGAGGUUGAAGACAAUCCGAUGGCGGCGAUGCAGGGCCUUCGGCGAUGCGUGGCUCGGUGGGGAGGGCGAGGGCGUUACGGCGGAGCUUCUGGACAGGUCAGAGAGGCGAGGUGGUGAUGGAGGGCGCGACUAUGAUGGUGAGACGGCGAUUAAAAAGAAAGAUCUGGUUCACUCGUACGUGAAAAAAGUAGCAAGCGCUCGAUGCCUUCCUUUGCAUCGAUGCCAGACGCGGUGCUGGGAAUCGACAAGAUAACCGCCAAUCUACCACGAUUAAAUUCCUAGCGCCUCCUUCUAGCGCCUCCCACUGAAAAUGCCCUAAAGGUUUUGGAGGGAUUUUUUUACUGUGUCCUACUUCACGAAUCACGAGGCAAAUCAAGUAGCCGGCAUGGCCUGGCCGGUGAGUGCCAUUGCACUUACUUGCCCCAGCAAUUUUCCGCGUGCAUUGUAGAAUUCUUUCUCCGAGUCCUGUGAAUUAAAGAUGGUGCAGACAAAAAUAUAUCCUAUAUGCGUACAUGUGCAUGAUCAGAACAUGUUUUUACGUGCGUCUACUAUAAAUCAUGACCAUUUUUAACACAAAUCAUGACCAUUCAUGAUUAGUGAAUCAUACUGUCUUAACUUAUGUGAAAUCAUGUGGAGUAAUAUAAUAUAAUAUAAUAAAUAGAUAGAUCCAUGUUGUAUUAUUUUUUGUUUACAAAAAAUAUCUGUCAUUACACAUUUUGAUUUAUGCAUUUGUUUACAAAAAAAACAGUAACAUUUCAUGGUGGAAAGUUUGUAUUGUUUCAUACUGAACACCAAUGUUUUCCUGUAAAAGAAAAUAAUGCCUACGCAUAUGCUUUUAUAUUAUUAUUAUUCUUUCAAACUUAUUCAUACAGUAUUUUUGAUUGUGCAACCAUAAUUUUUAUUGUCUCUCUCGUUCCACUACAUGCUCUUACUCAAUGAUUUUUUUAUAACGGGUGUUUUUAUUAACUCAAAAUAUAGUAUCAAGCGGAUACAAAACAUAAUGAGCCACACCUGGUCUCUGCAUAACUAAGAUGCACACAGCCAAAAGCAGAUGUCUGACAAAAAUAAGAUAAGAAAAUCGACAUAUCGACAACAGUGAGUCAUAUAGUCCCGACACUAUGCCCCCGUUGAAGGACGGGGUGGAGCGAUCUGGAGAUUAUGCUGCCCUCCAUGUUGAGUAAAUACCUCCCUGGCCACUUGUUCCAAACGCAUAGACGCCGCCACGAAUAAUGGUCGGUACUCUGUUCAGUGUAGCAUACACCAUGUAGGAAGUGAGUGCUCACUCCUAGUUACUAAAUUAUGUACACACUAGUAGAAAAAGGGCCAUUUGUCCCGGUUCGUAAGGCCCAUUUGUCCCAAUUGGGGAACCGGGACUAAAGGGUCGGUACUAAAGCCCUACACCUUUAGUCCCGGUUCUUACACCAACCGAGACAGAUGGGGCUCCACGUGGCCGCUACAGCUUGCCGUGGCAGGGGGGCCUUUUGUCCCGGUUGGUAGCACCAACCGGGACCAAUAAGCUACCACGCGUCCGCAUUUGAGGGGCUAGGGUUUUUGUUUUUUUUCUGAAGGGGGGGGGGUGGGUUUGUAUGGUUAAUUUUGGGGGGUUUCACAUAUUGUGUUAGGUAGCUAAUUAAUUAAUAGAGAGAAGUGUCCUCACUUAUCUCCGUGCUUGGUCGACGCUACGUACUAUACGUAUAGAGAGGCCCUCAACACGCUAGCCAGUAAGCAAAUGAAGUAAACCAUUAAGUACAGAAGUUCGUCAUGAACAUAUGCAUACAAACAUAAGUGAUAUCGACCUCUCCUUCUCCGAGAGAUAGGUCGAACAACAAGUUUCCGUAUAUCUAUCCGGCGCUACUAGCUACAUAUAUACAAUAUUAAGAUCUCUUACAAUAUAAUCCCCUAAUUAUAUAUGAACUCAGCUUCCAGAUGGUAUUCUCCGGCUUUAUUGAUGGCGUGGUCAAGAAAGAUUCCCUCCAAUUCCUCUUGAAUUGCUUUGAUGCGAUCUUGUGGUAGGAGUUCAUCUCGCAUCUGCCACAUCUAAUUUGAAGAAGGGGGUCAAUCACCAGUAGAAUAACAACCAUUUGUCCUGGUUCAUAAGGUUAAUUUGUCCCGGUUGGGGAACCGAGACUAAAGGGUCUUUACUAAAGCCCUACACCUUUAGUCCUGGUUCUUACACCAACUGGGACAGAUGGGCCUCCAUGUGGCUGCUGCGGCGAGCCCAGGCCGGAGGUCCUUUGGUCCCGGUUAGUGGCACUGAUACGUCUCCAACGUAUCUAUAAUUUUUGAUUGCUCCAUGCUAUUAUGUUAUCUAUUUUGGAUGUUAAUGGCUUUAUUUUACACCUUUAUAUCAUUUUUGGGACUAACCUACUAAUCGGAGGCCCAACCCAAAUUGUUGUUUUCUACCUAUUUUAGGUUUUCGAAGAAAAGGAAUAUCAAACGGAGUCCAAACGGAAUGAAACCUUCGAGAACGUGAUUUUCUCAAUGAACAUGAUUCAGGAGAAUUGGAGUGUGCUCCAAGAAACAAGGGAGGAAGGCACGAGGCAGGGGGCGCGCCUACCCCCUUGGGCGCGCCCUCCACCCUCGUGGGCCCUCCGCUGCUCCACCGACGUACUUCUUCCUCCUAUAUAUAUCCACGUACCCCCAAACAUCCAGGAGCACCACGAAAACCUAAUUCCACCGCUGCAACCUUCUGUACCCGAGAGAUCCCAUCUUGGGGCCUUUUCCGGAGGUCCACCGGAGGGGGCAUCGAUCAUGGAGGGCCUCUACAUCAACUCCAUGGCCUCUCCGGUGAUGUGUGAGUAGUUUACUUCAGACCUAGGGGUCUAUAGUUAUUAGCUAGAUGGCUUCUUCUUCUCUCUUUGGAUCUCAAUACAAAGUUCUCCUCGAUUUUCUUGGAGAUCUAUUUGAUGUAACCUUCUUUUGCGGUGUGUUUGUCGAGAUCCGAUGAAUUGUGGGUUUGUGAUCCAGAUUAUCUAUGAACAAUAUUUGAUUCUCCUAUGAAUUCUAGUAUGUAUGAUUGGUUUAUCUUUGCAAGUCUCUUCGAAUUAUCAGUUUGGUUUGGCCUACUAGAUUGAUUUCUUGCAAUGGGAGAAGUGCUUAGCUUUGGGUUCAAUCUUGCAGUGUUUGAUCCCAGUGACAGAAAGGGAACCGAUACGUAUUGUAUUGUUGCCAUCGAGGAUAAAAAGAUGGGGUUUAUAUCAUAUCGCAUGAGUUUAUCCCUCUACAUCAUGUCAUCUUCCUUAAAGCAUUACUAUGUUCUCUUGAACUUAAUACUCUAGAUGCAUGCUGGAUAGCGGUCCAUGUGUCGAGUAAUAGUAGUAGAUGCAGAAUCGUUUCGGUCUACUUGUCUCGGACGUGAUGCCUAUAUACAUGAUCAUACCUAGAUAUUCUCAUAACUAUGUUCAAUUCUGUACAAUAUGGUGCACGGGGUUACAUCGGCCUGCAAAGACAUUUCUGCGAUGUGAGACAUCCGAAAAGCAACGAAAACGGGAGAUUAUACAUUUAUUGAAGAGGGCAGGUGUGACAGAUACCGUGAGGGCGUCGAGCUCAGCCAAAGACGAUGGACAGCUGAGCACGGCCUGUGUCAGAGCCGGUGCGGGAGCAGGUGCAGGUGCAGGUGCUGGUGCAACGCUAGUCGAGCUGCUCCUGAAGAAGUCAACAAUGGGAAAGUCCGCUGCAUUUUUUCUGCAUUUUGCGUGCUCCAAUUGAAAAUGGCUGGAACCAAGACAGUAGACAUAUCUGCAACCACCUGUUUUCCGGCAGCUACCGCUGUCGCGACUGUCUCAGAUGAUUUCUUCUCAACCGCAAUCUCAACCUUCUUGUCGAUGUUUUAUUCGGUUAACCUCCAUCUUUCCUUUCUCUCCUCCGUGGUCUCACGGUAGUACUUCUUCCACGUGGCCCCGUCUCCGACACCGUGAACGCGUCCAUACGACGACCGAGUCUCCACGGGGAGUCCUUUCAAUAUGUUCAAUGCCCGGUUGAAUGGAGUGUCCCACUUGGGCCUUGCCAAUGCCUCAGACGGCGAGUCGCUUUCGGCCGCAAUCUUAUGCUGCUCUCUCUACAAAAGGAACACGGAUCAUUUACAAAUAUGACUAAACGUGCAGUCGAACUGAUCAGAAACUAAAAUUACCAGCAGUCUCAUGAACUCCGUCGUGAUCGGGUCCGUCUUGAAAACCUUCUUGACUGAGUCCCAAUGGUGUCGUGCCCUGAGGACGUCAUGCUCCUACGGGACGGUGAAGUCCGCCAAGGGGUCUGGGAUGCCAGAUUUUCGCGUUUCGUGUCCUCCUUGGCCCAUAUGGACCUCUUCCUGCCGUAACCACUGCUUCCGAGGUGGUGGCGCCCCAUGUUCCUUUGUGGAAGCCCCUUCAUGUACUUCGACUUUGUUUUGGCAGCUUCGGCCUCGCAAGCCGCCUUGAAUAUUUCAAAGUGUUCUCUAGUGAUUGUCAGAUUAUCCUUUACAAUCUCGGAGUAGGGUUGAUACGUCUCCAACGUAUCUAUUAUUUUUGAUUGCUCCAUGCUAUAUUAUCUACUGUUUUGGACAUUAUUGGGCUUUAUUAUCUACUUUUAUAUUAUUUUUGGGACUAACCUAUUAACCGGAGGCCCAGCCUAGAAUUGUUGUUUUUUGACUGUUUUAGGGUUUCGAAGAAAAGGAAUAUCAAACGGAGUCCAAACGGAAUGAAACCUUCGGGAACGUGAUUUUCUGAAUGAACAAGACCCUGGAGACUUGGACCCUACGUCAAGACACAAAAGAGGAGGACACGAGGUAGGGGGCGCGCCUAACCCCCCCCCCCCCUCGAGGCACGCCCUCCACCCUCGUGGGGCCCCUGUUGCUCCACCGACGUACUCCUUCCUCCUAUAUAUACCUACGUACUUCCAAACGAUCAGAUACGGAGCCAAAACCCUAAUUCCACUGCCGCAACUUUCUGUAUCCACGAGAUCCCAUUUGGUGCCUGUUCCGGAGCUCCGCCGGAGGGGGCAUCGAUCACGGAGGGCUUCUACAUCAACACCAUAGCCUCUCCGAUGAAGUGUGAGUAGUUCACCUCAGACGUACCGGUCCAUAUUUAUUACCUAGAUGGCUUCUUCUCUCUUUUUGGAUCUCAAUACAAUGUUCUCCCCCUCUCUUGUGGAGAACUAUUCGAUGUAAUCUUGUUUUUGCAGUGUGUUUAUUGAGAUUGAUGAAUUGUGGGUUUAUGAUCAAGUCUAUGUAUGAAUAAUAUUUGAAUCUUCUCUAAAUUCUUUUAUGUAUGAUUGUUUAUCUUUGCAAGUCUCUUCGAAUUAUCAGUUUGGUUUGGCCUACUAGAUUGAUCUUUCUUACAAUGGGAGAAGUGCUUAGCUUUGGGUUCAAUCUUGCGGUGUCCUUUCCCAAUGACAGUAGGGGCAGCAAGGCAUGUAUUGUAUUGUUGCCAUCGAGGACAACAAGAUGGGGUUUUCAUCAUAUUGCAUGAGUCUAUCCCUCUACAUCAUGUCAUCUUGCUUAAGGCGUUACUCUGUUUUUAACUUAAUACUCUAGAUGCAUGCUGGAUAGCGGUCGAUGAGUGAAACCUAUGGCCCCCGGGUCUAUCUUUAUCAUAUUAAUCUCCUACUACUUAGUUAUUUCCUUUGCUUUUUCCUUUGCCUUUAUUUUACUUUUGAUCUUUAUCACAAAAAUACCAAACAUAUUAUCUUUAUCAUAUCUAUCAGAUCUCACUCUCGUAAGUGGCUGUGUAGGGAUUGACAACCCCUAUUCGCGUUGGUUGCGAGGAUUUAUUUGUUUUGUGCAAGUACGAGAGACUCGCGCGUAGCCUCCUACUGGAUUGAUACCUUGGUUCUCAAAAACUGAGGGAAAUACUUACACUACUUUGCUGCAUCAUCCUUCCUCUUCGCGGAAAACCAACGUAGUGCUCAAGAGCUGGCAAUAAGGAUUUCUGGCGCCGUUGCCGGGGAGGUCUAAGCAAAAGUCAACAUACCAAGUACCCAUCACAUACCCUUAUCUCCUGCAUUACAUUAUUUUCCAUUUGCCUCUCGUUUUCCUCUCCCCCACUUCACCCUUGCCGUUUUAUUCGCCCUCUCUCUCUCUCUCUAUCCUCCCUCUCUUUCUCUAUUUGCCUCUUUUUUCCCACUUGCUUUCUGUUUGCUUGUGUGUUAGUUGCUUGCUUGUCACGAUGGCUCAAGAUAAUACUAAAUUACGUGACUUCACCAAUACCAACAACAAUGAUUUUAUUAACACUCCGAUUGCUCCUCUUACCGAUGCUGAAUCUUGAGAAAUUAAUACUGCUUUGCUGAAUCUUGUCAUGAAAGAUCUGUUUUUCGGCCUUCCUAGUGAAGAUGCCGCUACCCACCUAAAUAGAUUCGUUGAUUUGUGUGACAUGCAAAAGAAGAAAGGUGUGGAUAAUGAUAUUGUUAAAUUGAAGCUAUUUCCUUUUUCGCUUAGAGAUCGUGCUAAAGCUUGGUUUUCGUCUUUGCCUAAAAAUACUAUUGAUUCAUGGAAUAAGUGCAAAGAUGCUUUUAUCUCUAAGUAUUUUCCUCCUGCUAAGAUCAUCUCUCUUAGAAACGAUAUUAUGAAUUUUAAGCAACUUGAUCAUGAACAUGUUGCACAAGCUUGGGAGAGAAUGAAACUAAUGAUACGUAAUUGCCCUGCCCAUGGUUUAAAUUUGUGGAUGAUUAUACCAAAUUUUUAUGCCGGAUUGAACUUUGCUUCUAGAAAUCUUUUAGAUUAGGCCGCGGGAGGCACUUUUAUGGAAAUCACUUUAGGAGAAGCUACUAAACUCCUAGAUAAUAUUAUGGUUAAUUAUUCUCAACGGCAUACCGAAAGAUCUACUAAUAAAAACGUGCAUGCGAUAGAAGAAAUUAAUGUUUCGAGUGGAAAGAUGGAUGAACUUCUGAAAUUAUUUGCUAAUAAGAGUAUUUCUUCUGAUCCUAAUGAUAUGCCCUUGUCUACUUUGAUUGAGAAUAAUAAUUAAUCUAUGGAUGUGGAUUUUGUUGGUAGGAACAAUUUUGGUAACAACGCGUACAGAGGAAAUUUCAACCCUAGGCCUUAUCCUAGUAAUCUCUCUAAUAAUUAUGGUAAUUCCUACAACAAUUCUUAUGGAAAUUAUAAUAAGAUGCCCUCUGAUUUUGGAUCUAAUAUUAGAGAAUUUAUUACUUUCCAAAAGAAUUUCAAUGCUUUGAUUGAAGAAAAAUUGCUUAAGAUUGAUGAUUUGGCUAGGAACGUUGAUAGAAUUACUCUUGAUGUUGAUUCUUUGAAACUUAGAUCUAUUCCACCUAAGCAUGAUGUCAAUGAGUCUCUCAAAGCCAUGAGAAUUUCCAUUGAUGAGUGCAAAGAAAGAACCACUAGGAUGCGUGUUAAGAAAGAUGCCUUUAUAAGAGCGUGUUCUUCUAAUUCCUAUGAAAAUAAUGAUGAAGAUCAAAAAGUUAUUGAUGUCCUCCCUAUUAAAUCUUUGUUUUGCAAUAUGAAUCUUGAUAAUCAUGGGACUGAAUAUGAUCCACCUUUACCUAGAAGGCGUUCCAAUAAUUCAGAAUUUGUUGAUCUUGAUGCUAAAAUUGAUAAAGGUGGGAUUGAAGAAAUUAAAACCCUAGAUGUUGCUAAACCCACUAUUAUGGAUUUCAAGGAACUUAACUAUGAAAACUGCCCUUUGAUUGAUUGUAUAUCCUUGUUACAAUCCGUGCUAAAUUCUCCUCAUGCUUAUAGUCAAAAUAAAGCAUUUACUAAACAUAUUGUUGAUGCCUUGAUGCAAUCUUAUGAAGAAAAACUUGAAUUGGAAGUUUCUAUCCCUAUAAAGCUUUAUGAUGAGUGGGAACCAACUAUUAAAAUUAAAAUUAAAUAUCAUGAAUGCUAUGCUUUAUGUGAUUUGUGUGCUAGUGUUUCCACGAUUCCAUAGACUUUGUGUGAUUUGUUAGGUUUCCGUGAUUUUGAUGAUUGCUCUUUAAACUUGCACCUUGCGGAUUCCACUAUUAAGAAACCUAUGGGAAGAAUUAAUGAUGUUCUUAUUGUUGCAAAUAGCAAUUAUGUGCCCGUAGAUUUUAUUGUUCUUGACAUAGAUUGCAAUCUUUCAUGUCCUAUUAUUCUUGGUAGACCUUUCCUUAGAACGACUGGUGCAAUUAUUGAUAUGAAGGAAGGAAAUAUUAGAUUCCAAUUUCCAUUAAGGAAAGGCAUGGAACACUUUCCUAGAAAGUAAAUUAAAUUACCUUAUGAAUCUAUUAUGAUAGCCACUUAUGGAUUGCCUACCAAAGAUGGCAAUACCUAGAUCUAUCCUUGCUUGUUAUGCCUAGCUAGGGGCGUUAAACGAUAGCGCUUGUUGGGAGGCAACCCAAUUUUAUUUUUAUUCCUUGAUUUUUUCUCCUGUUUAGUAAUAAAUAAUUUAUAUAGCCUCUGUUUUGGUUCUGUUCUUUGUGUUUAAUUAGUGUUUGUGCCAAGUAGAACCGUUAGGAAGACUUGGGGAAAGUCUUGUUACACUUGCUGUAAAAAACUGAAACUUCAGCGCUCACGAGAACUGCUGCCAUUUUUAUUUGGAAAGUGCUAUGUAGUUAAUUAUUUUUCAGAUGAUUAACAGAUAAAUUCCUCACGUCCAGAAAUUUAUUUUAGAAUUUUUGGGGUUCCAGCUCUUGAGCUAGCUACAGAGUACUACAGGCUGUUCUGUUUUUGAAAGAUUCUGUUUUUCGUGUGUUGUUUGCUUAUUUUGAUGAACCUAUGGCUAGUAAAAUAGUUUAUAUACCAUAGAGAAAUUGGAAUACAGUAGGUAUAACACCAAUAUAAAUAAAUAAUGAGUUCAUUACAGUACCUUGAAGUGGUCUUUUAUUUUCUUUCGCUAACGGAGCUCAUGAGAUUUUCUACUUUAAGUUUUGUGUUGUGAAGUUUUCAAGUUUUGGGUAAAGAUUUGAUGGAUUAUGGAACAAGGAGUGACAAGAGCCUAAGCUUGGGGGUUCCCAUGGCACCCCCAAGAUAAUCUAAGUACACCUAAAAACCAAAGCUUGGGGAUGCGCCGGAAGUCAUCCCCUCUUUCAUCUACUUCUAUCGGUAACUUUACUUGGAGCUAUAUUUUUAUUCGCCACAUGAUAUGUGUUUUGCUUGGAGCGUCUUGUAUUAUUUGAGUCUUUAUUUGUUAGUUUACCACAAUCAUCCUUGCUGUACACACCUUUUGAGAGAGCCAUACAUGAUUUGGAAUUUGUUAGAAUACUCUAUGUGCUUCGCUUAUAUCUUUUGAGUUAUAUAGUUUUGCUCUAGUACUUCACUUAUAUCUUUUAGAGCACGGUGGUGGAUUUGUUUUAUAGAAACAAUUGAUCUCUCAUGCUCCACUUAGAUUAUUUUGAGAUUCUUAAUAGCAUGUUAAUUUGCUUAAAAUCCUAAUAUGCUAGGUAUUCAAAGUUAGUAAAAUUUUCUUAAGAGUGUUUUGAAUACUAAGAGAAGUUUGAUGCUUGAUGAUUGUUUUGAGAUAUGGAGGUAAUAAUAUCAAAGUCGUUCUCGUUGACUAGUUGUGAAAUUGAGAAAUACUUGUGUUGAAGUUUGCAUGUCCCGUAGCACGCACGUAUGGUAAACGUUGUGUAACAAAUUUGAAACAUGAGGUGUUAUUUGAUUGUCUUCCUUGUGAGUGGCGGUCGGGGACGAGCGAUGGUCUUUUCCUACCAAUCGAUCCCCCUAGGAGCAUGCGAAUAGUACCAAGGUUUUUGAUGACUUGUAGAUUUUUGCAGUAAGUAUGUGAGUUCUUUAUGACUAAUGUUGAGUCCAUGAAUUAUACGCACUCUCACCCUUCCAUCCUUGCUAGCCUCUUCGGUACCGUGCAUUGCCCUUUCCCACAUUGAGAGUUGGAGCAAACUUCGCCAGUGCAUCCAAACCCCGUGCUAUGAUACGCUCAUUCACACAUAAACCUCCUUAUAUCUUCCUCAAAACAGCCACCAUACCUACCUAUUAUGGCAUUUCCAUAGCCAUUCCGACAUAUAUUGCCAUGCAACUUUCCACCAUUCCGUUCAUCAUGACACAUUCAUCAUUGUCAUAUUGCGUAGCAUAAUCAUGUAGUUGACAUAGUAUUUGUGGCAAGGCCACCGUUCAUAAUUCAUUCAUACAUGUCACUCUUGGUCCAUUGCAUGUCCCGGUACACCGCCGGAGGCAUUCAUAUAGAGCCAUACUUUGUUCUAGUAUCGAGUAGUAAUUAUUGAGUCGUAAAUAAAUAGAAGUGUGAUGAUCAUCAUUAAUAGAGCAUGGUCCCAAAAAGAAAAAAAAGGAAGGGCCAAAAAAAGGCCAAAUAAAAAAAUAUAAAAAAGGGGGCAAUGCUACUAUCCUUUUUUUCCAAACUUGUGCUUCCAAGUAGCACCGUAAUCUUCAAGAUAGAGAGUCUCUUGAUUUGUCACUUUCAUAUACUAGUGGGAAUUUUUCAUUAUAGAACUUGGCUUGUAUAUUCCAACAAUGGGCGUCCCCAAGUUCCCUAGGUCUUCGUGAGCAAGCAAGUUGGAUGCACACCCACUUAGUUUCUUUUGUUGAGCUUUCAUACAUUUAUAGCUCUAGUGCAUCCGUUGCAUGGCAAUUCCUACUCCUUGCAUUAACAUCAAUCAAUGGGCAUCUCCAUAGCCCAUUGAUUAGCCUCGUUGAUGUGAGACUUUCUCCUUUUUGUCUUCUCCACAUAACCCCACUCAUUAGAUUCUAUUCCACCCAUAGUGUUAUGUCCAUGGCUUGCAAUCAUAUAUUGCGUGAAAGUUUAUAGGUUUGAGAUCACUAAAGUAUGAAACAAUUGCUUGGCUUGUCAUCGGGGUUGUGCAUGAUGAGAGCAUACUUGUGUGACGAAAAUGAAGCAUGACUAAACUAUAUGAUUUUGUAGGGGUGAACUUUCUUUGGCCAUGUUAUUUUGAGAAGACACAAUUGCUCAGUUAGUAUGCUUAAAGUAUUAUUAUUUUAUGUCAAUAUGAACUUUUGUCUUGAAUGUUUCAGAUCCGAAUAUUCAUACCACAAUUAAGAAGAAUUACAUUAAAAUCAUGCCAAGUAGCACUCCACAUCAAAAAUUCUGUUUUUAUCAUUUACCUACUCGAGGACGAGCCGGAAUUAAGCUUGGGGAUGCUUGAUACAUCUCCAACGUAUCUAUAAUUUUUGAUUGCUCCAUGCUAUAUUAUCUACUGUUUUGGACAAUAUUGGGCUUUAUUAUCCACUUGUAUAUUAUUUUUGGGACUAACCUAUUAACCGGAGGCCCAGCCCAGAAUUGUUGUUUUUUGCCUGUUUUAGGGUUUCGAAGAAAAGGAAUAUCAAACGGAGUCCAAACGGAAUGAAACCUUCGGGAACGUGAUUUUCUCAACGAACAAGAUCUAGGAGACUUGGACCCUCCAUCAAGACAUAAAAGAGGAGGCCACGAGGUAGGGGGCGUNNNNNNNNNNNNNNNNNNNNNNNNNNNNNNNNNNNNNNNNNNNNNNNNNNNNNNNNNNNNNNNNNNNNNNNNNNNNNNNNNNNNNNNNNNNNNNNNNNNNNNNNNNNNNNNNNNNNNNNNNNNNNNNNNNNNNNNNNNNNNNNNNNNNNNNNNNNNNNNNNNNNNNNNNNNNNNNNNNNNNNNNNNNNNNNNNNNNNNNNNNNNNNNNNNNNNNNNNNNNNNNNNNNNNNNNNNNNNNNNNNNNNNNNNNNNNNNNNNNNNNNNNNNNNNNNNNNNNNNNNNNNNNNNNNNNNNNNNNNNNNNNNNNNNNNNNNNNNNNNNNNNNNNUGGGCCCCCCUGUUGCUCCACCGACGUACUCCUUCCUCCUAUAUAUACCUACUAUUGGGGAACGUAGCAGAAUUUUAAAAUUUUCUACGCAUACCAAGAUCAAUCUAUGGAGUCAUAUAGCAACGAGGGAGAGAGGAGUGCAUCUACAUACCCUUGUAGAUCGCGCGCGGAAGCGUUCAAGAGAACGGGGUUGAUGGAGUCGUACUCGUCGUGAUCCAAAUCACCGAUGACCAAGUGCCGAAUGGACAGCACCUCCGCGUACAACACACGUACGGUUGGGAAGACGUCUCCUCCUUCUUGAUCCAGCAAGGGGGAAGGAGAGGUUGAUGAAGAUCCAGCAGCACGACGGCGUGGUGGUGGAUGCAGCAGGAUCCCGGCAGGGCUUCGCCAAGCGCAAGCGGGGAGGAGAGGUGUUACGGAAGGAGAGGGAGGCGCCAAGAGCAAGGGUGCGGCUGCCCUCCCUCCCCCCCCUCUUUAUAUAGGGGCCUUGGGGGGGCGCCGGCCCUAGGAGAUGGAUCUCCAAGGGGGGCGAAGGCCAAGGGGUGGCUUCCCCCCCAAGCCAAGUGGGGGGCGCCCCCACCCCUAGGGUUUCCCAACCCUAGGCGCAUGGGAGGCCCAAGGGGGGCGCACCAGCCCACUAGGGGCUGGUUCUGCUCCCAAUUCAGCCCAUGGGGCCCUCCGGGAUGGGUGGCCCCACCCGGUGGACCCCCGGGACCCUUCCGGUGGUCCUGGUACAAUACCGGUGACCCCCGAAACCUUCCCGAUGGCCGAAAUUGUACUUCCUAUAUAUAAAUCUUUACCUCCGAACCAUUCCGGAACUCCUCGUGACGUACGGGAUCUCAUCCGGUACUCCGAACAUAUCCUUGGUUACUACAUACUAAUAUCUCUACAACCCUAGCGUCACCGAACCUUAAGUGUGUAGACCCUACGGGUUCGGGAGACAUGCAGACAUGACAGAGACGCCUCUCCGGUCAAUAACCAACAGCGGGAUCUGGAUACCCAUGUUGGCUCCCACGUGCUCCACGAUGAUCUCAUCGGAUGAACCACGAUGUCGAGGAUUCAAUCAAUCUGUGUAGAAUUCCCUUUGUCAAUCGGUACGUUACUUGCCCGAGACUCGAUCGUCGGUAUCCCAAUACCUCGUUCAAUCUCGUUACCAGCAAGUCACUUUACUCGUGCCGUAAUGCAUGAUCCCAUGAUCAACCACUUGGUCACAAUGAGCUCAUUAUGAUCAUGCAUUACCGAGUGGGCCCAGAGAUACCUCUCCGUCAUACGGAGUGACAAAUCCCAGUCUCGAUUCGUGCCAACCCAACAGACACUUUCGGAGAUACCUGUAAUGUACCUUUAUAGUCACCCAGUUACGUUGUGACGUUUGGCACACCCAAGGCACUCCUACGGUAUCCGGGAGUUGCCCAAUCUCAUGGUCUAAGGAAAUGAUACUUGACAUUCGGAAAAGCUACAGCAAACGAACUACACGAUCUUUGAGCUAUGCUUAGGAUUGGGUCUUGUCCAUCACAUCAUUCUCCUAAUGAUGUGAACCCGUUAUCAAUGACAUCCAAUGUCCAUAGUCAGGAAACCAUGACUAUCUUUUGAUCAACGAGCUAGUCAACUAGAGGCUCACUAGGGACGUGUUGUCGUCUAUGUAUUCACACAUGUAUUACGAUUUCCGGAUAACACAAUUAUAGCAUGAAAAAUAGACAAUUAUCAUGAACAAAGAAAUAUAAUAAUAACCAUUUUAUUAUUGCCUCUAGGGCAUAUUUCCAACAGUCUCCCACUUGCACUAGCGUCAGUAGUCUAGUUACAUUUUGAUGAAUCCAACACCCAUGAAGUUCUGGAGUUGAUCAUGUUUUGCUCUAGGGAGAGGUUUAGUCAAUGGAUCUGCCACAUUCAGGUCCGUAUGUACUUUACAAAUCUCUAUGUAUCCAUUUUGAACACUUUCAUGAAUGGAGUUGAAGUGACGCUUGAUAUGCCUGGUCUUCCUGUGAAAUCUGGGCUCCUUGGCAAGUGCAAUAGCUCCAGUGUUGUCACAGAAUAGAGUCAUCGGGCCCGGUGCAUUGGGUGUGACUCCUAGGUCGGUAAUGAACUCCUUCACCCAGAUUGCUUCUUGUGCUGCCUCCGAGGCUGCCAUGUACUCUGCUUCACAUGUAGAUCCCGCCACAACGCUUUGCUUGCAACUCCACCAGCUUACUGCCCCACCAUUCAAAAUAUACACGUAUCCGGUUUCCGACUUAGAGUCAUCCAGAUCUGUGUCGAAGCUAGCAUCAACGUAACCCUUUACGACGAGCUCUUCGUCACCUCCAUAAACGAGAAACAUAUCCUUAGUCCUUUUUAGGUACUUGAGGAUAUUCUUGACUGCUGUCUAGUGUUCCAUGCCGGGAUUACUUUGGUACCUUCCUACCAAACUUACGGCAAGGUUUUCAUCAGGUCUGGUACACAGCAUAGCAUACAUGAUAGACCCUAUGGCCGAGGCAUAGGGGAUGACACUCAUCUUUUCUCUAUCUUCUGUCGUGGUCGUGCAUUGAGCCUCGCUCAAUCUCGUACCUUGCAAUACAGGCAAGAACCCUUCUUUUACUGAUCCAUUUUGAACUUCUUCAAUAUCUUAUCAAGGUAUGUACUCUGUGAAAGACCAAUGAGGCGUCUCGAUCUAUCUCUAUAGAUCUUGAUGCCUAAUAUAUAAGCAGCUUCUCCAAGAUCCUUCAUUGAAAAACACGUGUUCAAGUAGGCCUUUAUGCUUUCCAAGAAUUCUAUAUCAUUUCCCAUCAACAAUAUGUCAUCCACAUCCAAUAUGAGAAAUGCUACAAAGCUCCCACUCACUUUCUUGUAAAUGCAGACUUCUCCAUAAGUAUGCGUAAACCCAAACGCUUUGAUCAUCUCAUCAAAACGAAUGUUCCAUCUCCGAGAUGCUUGCACCAGCCCAUAAAUCGAAUGUUGGAGCUUGUACACCUUGUCAGCAUUCUUAGGAUCGACAAAACCUUCCGGCUGCAUCAUAUACAAUUCUUCCUUAAGGAAACCAUUAAGGAAUGUUGUUUUGACGUCCAUUUGCCAUAUUCAUAAUCAUAGAAUGCGGCAAUUGCUAACAUCGUAGUCAACCCCUUGAACUUGCCGAUAACCCUUAGCGACAAGCCGAGCUUUAUAGAUGGUCACAUUACCAUCCGCGUCUGUCUUCUUCUUAAAGAUCCAUUUAUUUUCUAUGGCUCGCCGAUCAUCGGGCAAGUCAGUCAAAGUCCAUACUUUGUUUUCAUACAUGGAUCUUAUCUCGGAUUUCAUGGCUUCCAGCCAUUUGUUGGAAUUCAGGCCCGCCAUCGCUUCUUCAUAGUUCGAAGUUCACCGUUGUCUAACAACAUGAUUUCCAAGACAGGGUUGCCGUACCACUCUGGUGCGGGACGUGUCCCCGUGGACCUACGAAGUUCAGUAGCAACUUGAUCUGAAGUUUCAUGAUCAUCAUCAUCAAUUUCCUCUCUAGUCGUUGCAGGCACCUUAGGAACAUUUUCUUGAGCUGCGCCACUUACCGGUUCAAGAGGUAAUAAUACUUCAUCAAGUUCUACUUUCCUCCCACUUAUUUCUUUCGAGAGAAACUCUUUCUCUAGAAAGGACCCAUUCUUGGCAACAAAGAUCUUGCCUUCGGAUCUGAGGUAGAAGGUAUACCCAAUAGUUUCUUUAGGGUAUCCUAUGAAGACGCAUUUUUCCAAUUUGGGUUCGAGCUUUUCAGGUUGAAGUUUCCUUACAUAAGCAUCGCAUCCCCAAACUUUUAGAAAUGACAUCUUAGGUGUCUUCCCAAACCAUAAUUCAUACGGUGUCAUCUCAACGGAUUUCGACGGAGCCCUAUUUAAAGUGAAUGCGGCAGUCUCUAAAGCAUAGCCCCAAAAUGACAGCGGUAAAUCGGUAAGAGACAUCAUAGAUCGCACCAUAUCUAAUAGAGUGCGAUUAUGACAUUCCGACACACCAUUACGCUGAGGUGUUCCAGGCGGCGUGAGUUGUGAAACUAUUCCACAUUUUCUUAAGUGUGUGCCAAAUUCGUGACUCAAGUAUUCUCCCCCACGAUCUGAUCGCAAGAACUUGAUUUGCCUGUCACGUUGAUUCUCAACCUCACUUUGAAAUUCCUUGAACUUUUCAAAGGUCUCAGACUUGUGUUUCAUUAAGUAGACAUACCCAUAUCUACUCAAGUCAUCAGUGAGGGUGAGAACAUAACGAUAGCCACCGCGCCUCAACACUCAUUGGACCGCACACAUCAGUAUGUAUGAUUUCCAAUAAGUUGGUUACUCGCUCCAUUGUUCCUGAGAACGGAGUCUUGGUCAUUUUACCCAUGAGGCAUGGUUCGCACGUGUCAAAUGAUUCGUAAUCAAGAGACUUUAAAAGUCUAUCUGCAUGGAGCUUCUUCAUGCGUUUGACACCUAUGUGACCAAGGCGGCAAUGCCACAAGUAUGUGGGACUAUCAUUAUCAACCUUACAUCUUUUGGUAUUCACACUAUGAAUAUGUGUAACAUUAUGCUCGAGAUUCAUUAAGAAUAAACCAUUCACCAAUGGAGCAUGACCAUAAAACAUAUCUCUCAUAUAAAUAGAACAACCAUUAUUCUCGGAUUUAAAUGAGUAGCCAUCUCAAAUUAACCGAGAUCCUGAUACAAUGUUCAUGCUCAAAGCUGGCAGUAAAUAACAAUUAUUGAGGUUUAAAACUAAUCCCAUAGGCAAAUGUAGAGGCAGCGUGCCGACGGCGAUCACAUCAACCUUGGAACCAUUCCCGACGCACAUCGUCACCUCGUCCUUCGCCAGUCUCCGUUUAAUCCGCAGCUCCUGCUUUGAGUUACAAAUGUGAGCAACUGCACCGGUAUCAAAUACCCAGGAGCUACUACGAGUACUGGUAAGGUACACAUCAAUUACAGGUAUAUCACAUAUACCUUUAGUGUUGCCGGCCUUCUUGUCCGCUAAGUAUUUGGGGCAGUUCCGCUUCCAGUGACUACUUCCCUUGCAAUAAAAACACUCAGUCUCGAGCUUGGAUCCAUUCUUUGGCUUCUUCCCGGAAACUUGCUUAGCGGGCGCGGCAACUCCCUUGCCGUCCUUCUUGAAUUCUUCUUACCCUUGCCUUUCUUGAACUUAGUGGUUUUAUUCACCAUCAACACUUGAUGUUCCUUUUUGAUUUCCACCUCUGCUGAUUUCAGCAUUGAAUAUACCUCAGGAAUGGUCUUUUCCAUCCCCUGCAUAUUGAAGUUGAUCACAAAGCUCUUGUAGCUCGGUGGAAGCGACUGAAGGAUUCUGUCAAUGACCGCGUCAUUCGGGAGGUUAACUCCCAGCUGAGUCAAGCGGUUAUGCAACCCAGACAUUUUGAUUAUGUGCUCACUGACAGAACUAUUUUCCUCCAUCUUAUAGCUGAAGAACUUGUCGGAGACUUCAUAUCUCUCGACCCGGGCAUGAGCUUGAAAAACCAUUUUCAGCUCUUCGAACAUCUCAUAUGCUCCAUGUCUCUCAAAAUGCUUUUGGAGCCCCGGUUCUAAGCUGUAAAGCAUGCCGCACUGAACGAGGGAGUAAUCAUCAGCACGUAACUGCCAAGCGUUGAUAAUGUCUUGGUUCUCUGGGACAGGUGCGUGACCUAACGGUGCUUCUAGGACAUAAUAUUUCUUGGCAGCUACGAGGAUGAUCCUCAGGUUCCGGACCCAGUCCGUAUAGUUGCUGCCAUCGUCUUUCAGCUUGGUUUUCUCUAGGAACGCGUUGAAAUUGAGGACAACGUGGGCCAUUUGAUCUACAAGACAUAUUGUAAAGAUUUUAGACUAAGUUCAUGAUAAUUAAGUUCAUCUAAUCAAAUUAUACAAUGAACUCCCACUCAGAUAGACAUCCCUCCAGUCAUCUAAGUGAAACAUGAUCCAAGUUAACUAGGCUGUGUCGGAUCAUCACGUGAAACGGACUAGUCAACAUCGGUGAACAUCUUCAUGUUGAUCGUAUCUUCUAUACGACUCAUGCUCGACCUUUCGGUCUUCUGUGUUCCGAGGCCAUGUCUGUACAUGCUAGGCUCGUCAACUAAACCUAAGUGUAUUGCGUGUGUAAAUCUGGCUUACACCCGUUGUAUUCGAACGUUAGAAUCUAUCACACUCGAUCAUCACGUGGUGCUUCGAAACAACGAACCUUCGCAACGGUGCACAGUUAGGGGGAACACUUUCUUGAAAUUAUUUCGAGGGAUCAUCUUAUUUAAGCUACCGUCGUUCUAAGCAAAUAAGAUGUAAAACAUGAUAAACAUCACAUGCAAUCAAAUAGUGACAUGAUAUGGCCAAUAUCAUUUGCUCCUUUUGAUCUCCAUCUUUGGGGCUCCAUGAUCAUCGUUGUCACCAGCAUGACACCAUGAUCUCCAUCAUCAUGUCUUCUUGAAGUUGUCUCGUCAUCUAUUACUUCUACUACUAUGGCUAAUGCUUUAGCAAUAAAGUAAAGUAAUUACAUGACGUUUAUGUUGACACGCAGGUCAUAAAAAAAUAAAGACAACUCCUAUGGCUCCUGCCGGUUGUCAUACUCAUCGACAUGCAAGUCGUGAUUCCUAUUACAAGAACAUGAUCAAUCUCAUACAUCACAUAUAUCAUUCAUCACAUCCUUUUGGCCAUAUCACAUCAGACGGCACAUGCUGCAAAAACAAGUUAGACGUCCUCUAAUUGUUGUUGCAAGUUUUUACAUGGCUGCUAUAGGUUUCUAGCAAGAACGUGUCUUACCUACGCCAAAACCACAACGUGAUAUGCCAAUUUCUAUUUACCCUUCAUAAGGACCCUUUUCAUCGAAUCCGAUCUAACUAAAGUGGGAGAGAUAGACACCCGCCAGCCACCUUAUGCAAGUAAUGCAUGUCAAUCGGUGGAACCAGUCUCACGUAAGCGUACGUGUAAGGUCGGUCCGGGCCGCUUCAUCCCACGAUGCCGCCGAAUCAAGAUAAGACUAGUAACGGCAAGCAAAGUGACAAUAUCCACGCCCACAACUGCUUUGUGUUCUACUCGUGCAUAGAAACUACGCAUAGACCUGGCUCAUGAUGCCACUAUUGGGGAAUGUAGCAGAAUUUUAAAAUUUUCUACGCAUCACCAAGAUCAAUCUAUGGAGUUAUCUAGCAAUGAGGAAGAGAGGAGUGCAUCUACAUACCCUUGUAGAUCGCGCGCGGAAGCGUUCAAGAGAACGGGGUUGAUGGAGUCGUACUCGUCGUGAUCCAAAUCACCGAUGACCAAGUGCCGAACGGACAGCACCUCCGCGUUCAACACACGUCCGGUUGGGAAGACGUCUCCUCCUUCUUGAUCCAGCAAGGGGGAAGGAGAGGUUGAUGAAGAUCCAGCAGCACGACGGCGUGGUGGUGGAUGCAACAGGAUCCCGGCAGGGCUUCGCCAAGCGCAAGCGGGGAGGAGAGGUGUUACGGAGGGAGAGAGAGGCGCCAAGAGCAAGGGUGCGGCUGCCUUCCCUCCCCCCUCUUUAUAUAGGGGCCAUGGCGGGCGCCGGCCCUAGGAGAUGGAUCUCCAAGGGGGGCGAAGGCCAAGGGGUGGCUCCCCCCCCCAAGCCAAGUGGGGGGCGCCCCCACCCCUAGGGUUUCCCAACCCUAGGCGCAGGGGAGGCCCAAGGGGGCGCACCAGCCCACUAGGGGCUGGUUCCCCUCCCAAUUCAGCCCAUGGGGCCCUCCGGGAUGGGUGGCCCCACCCGGUGGACCCCCGGGACCCUUCCGGUGGUCCCGAUACAAUACCGGUUACCCCCGAAACCUUCCCGAUGGCCGAAACUGUACUUCCUAUAUAUAAAUCUUUACCUCCAAACCAUUUCAGAACUCCUCGUGACGCCCGGGAUCUCAUCCGGGACUCCGAACAACUUUCGGCUUACUACAUACUAAUAUCUAUACAACCCUAGCGUCACCGAACCUUAAGUGUGUAGACCCUACGGGUUUCGGAGACAUGCAGACAUGACUGAGACGCCUCUCCAGUCAAUAACCAACAGCGGGAUCUGGAUACCCAUGUUGGCUCCCACAUGCUCCACGAUGAUCUCAUCGGAUGAACCACGAUGUCGAGCAUUCAAUCAAUCUGUAUACAAUUCCCUUUAUCAAUCAGUACGUUACUUGCCCGAGACUCGAUCGUCAGUAUCCCAAUACCUUGUUCAAUCUCGUUACCGGCAAGUCACUUUACUCAUACCAUAAUGCAUGAUCCCGUGAUCAACCACUUGGUCACAUUGAGCUCAUUAUGAUGAUGCAUUACCGAGUGGGCCCAGAGAUACCUCUUCAUCACGCGGAGUGACAAAUCCCAGUCUCGAUUCAUGCCAACCCAAUAGACACUUUCGGAGAUACCUGUAAUGUACCUUUAUAGUCACCCAGUUACGUUGUGACGUUUGGCACACCCAAGGCACUCCUACGGUAUCCGGGAGUUUCACAAUCUCAUGGUCUAAGGAAAUGAUACUUGACAUUCGGAAAAGCUACAGCAGAUGAACUACACGACCUUUGAGCUAUGCUUAGGAUUGGGUCUUGUCCAUCACAUCAUUCUCCUAAUGAUGUGAUCCCAUUAUCAAUGACAUCCAAUGUCCAUAGUCAGGAAACCAUGACUAUCUUUUGAUCAACAAGCUAGUCAACUAGAGGCUCACUAGGGACGUGUUGUGGUCUAUGUAUUCACACAUGUAUUACGAUUUCCGGAUAACACAAUUAUAGCAUGAACAAUAGACAAUUAUCAUGAACAAAGAAAUAUAAUAAUAACCAUUUUAUUAUUGCCUCUAGGGCAUAUUUCCAACACCUACGUACCCCCAAACGAUCAUAUACGGAGCCAAAACCCUAAUUCCACCGCCGCAACUUUCUGUAUCCACGAGAUCCCAUCUUGGGGCCUGUUCCGGAGCUCCGCCAGAGGGGGCAUCGAUCACGGAGGGCUUCUACAUCAACACCAUAGCCUCUCUGAUGAAGUGUGAGUAGUUCACCUCAGACCUACGGUUCCAUAGUUAUUAGCUAGAUGGCUUCUUCUCUCUUUUUGGAUCUCAAUACAAUGUUCUCCCCAUCUCUUGUGGAGAACUAUUCGAUGUAAUCUUCUUUUUGCGGUGUGUUUGUUGAGACCGAUGAAUUGUGGGUUUAUGAUCAAGUCUAUCUAUGAAUAAUAUUUGAAUCUUCUCUGAAUUGUUUUAUGUAUGAUAGGUUAUCUUUGCAAGUCUCUUCGAAUUAUCAGUUUGGUUUGGCCUACUAGAUUGAUCUUUCUUGCAAUGGGAGAAGUGCUUAGCUUUGGGUUCAAUCUUGCGGUGUCCUUUCCCAGUGACAGUAGGGGCAGCAAGGCACGUAUUAUAUUGUUGCCAUCGAGGACAACAAGAUGGAGUUUUCAUCAUAUUGCAUGAGUCUAUCCCUCUACAUCAUGUCAUCUUGCUUAAGGCGUUAAUCUGUUUUUAACUUAAUACUCUAGAUGCUUGCUGGAUAGCGAUCGAUUAGUGGAGUAAUAGUAGUAGAUGCAGGCAGGAGUCGGUCUACUUGUCUCGGACGUGAUGCCUAUAUACAUGAUCAUACCUAGAUAUUCUCAUAACUAUGCUCAAUUCUGUCAAUUGCUCAACAAUAAUUUGUUCACCCACCGUAGAAUAUUUAUGCUCUCGAGAGAAGCCACUAGUGAAACCUAUGGCCCCGGGUCUAUCUUUAUCAUAUUAAUCUCCUACUACUUAGUUAUUUCCUUUGCUUUUUACUUUGCCUUUAUUUUACUUUGCAUCUUUAUCACAAAAAUACGAAAAAAAUUAUCUUUAUCAUAUCUAUCAAAUCUCACUCUCGUAAGUGGCCGUGUAGGAAUUGACAACCCCUAUUCGCGUUGGUUGCGAGGAUUUAUUUGUUUUGUGCAGGUACGAGGGACUCGCGCGUAGCCUCCUACUGGAUUGAUACCUUGGUUCUCAAAACCUGAGGGAAAUACUUACGCUACUUUGCUGCAUCAUCCCUUCCUCUUCGGGGAAAACCAAGGCAGUGCUCAAGAGGUAGCAAGGGUUCCUUUUUGUCGACGAUCCGAUGUUUCAACCCUGUUUUCCAGGUGGCCAACGCGUCGCUAAACUUGGUGACGGCGUGUUUGUUUAUCUUCUUCAUUGCCAGGUCCUUAUCUGGAUCUUUAUUAUCCUUUUCACUGCGGUCUGGGAACAAGAUUAUCUGGUGCAGUUUCUUAAGGAGGGAGGGCCUCAUAUUAUCUAUCUUCUGUAGUUUCCCAUCGUUGAUCGUGGCAGUUGUCCGUACGAUGCAACCUAUUUGAUUGCCGUAGCACGAUCGCGCUUCCUCGGGCGCUAUUGUCUCAAAAAUACCGCCGUCCAUCUCCGUGACCGCCAGUCUACUACUCAUGAGCUGGUUUGGGCGCUGUGGCCUCUUUGCUUUCGGUUCUAGACCAGCUCCGCUAGUCUCGGCGCCUGUCUCAGUUUCAUCAUCGGUCCGCAUGUCGGUAUCAGUCCCCGAUGCGACACCACAGUUGCUGCAACAUGGGUAAGGGAGACCACGUCAGUGGUGGGGGGUCUGAAAAUCAGAACACACUUUCGCGCGUCGCGGGCCGCCUCUCAGACAGCUACUGGGGAGGCGGUGGAGUACCUGGGUGCGCGGCGAAUCCCCGGGAACUCGGUGACCAACUUCCUUCCCGUGUGGCGCAUGGAGACGACGGCGACCCCGGCGAAGAGCAGCUUAGCCGCGAGCUGCACAGCCUCGUCCACCUCCUAAGUUGGGACCUCCGCGCGAGCGUUGCGGGGCCGCCACUCGGAUGGCUUCUGGAAGGCGGUUGUACAUGGGCACAUGGUGAAUCCCGGCGAGAGCUGGCCAUUGGCGCGCGCAAGUAGACGACGAUGUCCUCGAAGAAGAGCAGCCCGGCCAGCUCGCCUCACUAUCCUUUGAUUAGAAAUGAAAGAUUGGGAAGAAGCAGACUUGAGCCUGCAGGGAAAGGAUAAGGUGACGAUGCAGUCUCCACUCGUUCGGGGCGACACUCGUACUGAAUGUAUGAGAAACGUGACGUGGCAGAGACCCCAAGAUACUCCCUCCAUUUAUUUUUAGUCUGCAUAUAAAGUUUGGUCAAAGUCAAGAUUUGUAAAUUUUAACUAACUUUAUAAUAAAAAAAUAUCAACAUUCACAAUAUGAAAUCAAUAUUACCAGAUGCGUCAUGAAAUGUAUUUCCAUACUAUAUAGUUUUGGUAUUGUAGAUGUUCAUAUUUUUUUAUAUAUAUGGGAAGUAGAGGCACUCUUCUAUAUAAUGAAGUUUAUAAUAUAUGUGCUUAUAUUGUACUAUAAUUGUUUGAAUAACUUAGCAUAUAUUCAGAUGUAUGAUAUCUGUAAUUUAAACGCUUGAAUUUUACAUAUGAAUAUUUAUUAAUAAAUAUGUACCCCUAUAAUAGCUAGGCCGUGCAGUUGCACGGGUAGAUGACUAGUGAUUACAAUCUUGCUUGUGUGCAAGUCAAGCUUAUCUAGUUUACACGUAACAACUUAUAGAACAUUACAAAAUUUAUGCUUGCUAAUAACUUCUAGAACACUACAACACUUGACAUGUAAAAGGAAUUUGAUGAGUCAUGGCCUACUAAAGCAAGUUACAUUACUAGUCUUAUCUAUCUUAACAGACCACACAAGAUUACAAACUAUGUACCGUGACAGCCAUGCUUAUCUAGUUUAUGCGUAACAAUUUGCAGAAAAUUACAAACUUAGUUUCAGAAAGAUAGGCAAUCUAGAUUAGUGUUUGAGCUGUAAAGUGAAUAAGAUGAGUCAUGCAUGUCAUCACACCUUUUUGGUGGUGGAAUGAUAGUGCAACAACAAGGAACUUUAAUGACCAGUCCAAGAAUACACUUGUAAGUAGUGCCACCAAACAGAACAUACCAAAUGAUGAUUUUGAGAAGCAUCCAAGCACUUUCCACACAAACAAAUGCCAAUUGUGAAAGAGAUCAUUCCAUGGCAGCUAUAAAUAGCCCCAUAGCAUGACGAUCAUCCUUCCUCAUCCAUCAUUCUCAUAAGUAGAGCACAUCAUUUAAGCCAAGCAAGUUGUGGUCAAUACAAAUCCACCAUGAAGACCUUUCUCAUCCUUGCCCUCCUUGCUAUCGUGGCGACCACCGCCACAACUGCAGUUAGAGUUCCAGUGCCACAAUUGCAGCCACAAAAUCCAUCUCAGCAACAGCCACAGGAGCAAGUUCCAGUGGUACAACAACAACAAUUUCUAGGGCAGCAACAACCAUUUCCACCACAACAACCAUAUCCACAGCCGCAACCAUUUCCAUCACAACAACCAUAUCUGCAGCUGCAACCAUUUCCGCAGCCGCAACUACCAUAUUCGCAGCCACAACCAUUUCAACCACAACAACCAUAUCCACAACCGCAACCACAGUAUUCGCAACCACAACAACCAAUUUCACAGCAGCAGCAGCAGCAGCAGCAGCAGCAACAACAACAACAACAACAACAACAACAACAACAACCACAACAAAUCCUUCAACAAAUUUUGCAACAACAACUGAUUCCAUGCAUGGAUGUUGUAUUGCAGCAACACAACAUAGCGCAAGGAAGAUCACAAGUUUUGCAACAAAGUACUUACCAGCUGUUGCAAGAAUUGUGUUGUCAGCACCUAUGGCAGAUCCCUGAGCAGUCGCAGUGCCAGGCCAUCCACAAUGUUGUUCAUGCUAUUAUUCUGCAUCAACAACAAAAACAACAACAACAACAACAACAACAACAACCAUCGAGUCAGGUCUCCUUCCAACAGCCUCAGCAACAAUAUCCAUUAGGCCAGGGCUCCUUCCGGCCAUCUCAGCAAAACCCACAGGCCCAGGGCUCUGUCCAGCCUCAACAACUGCCCCAGUUCGAGGAAAUAAGGAACCUAGCGCUACAGACACUACCUGCAAUUUGCAAUGUCUACAUCCCUCCAUAUUGCACCAUCGCGCCAUUUGGCAUCUUCGGUACUAACUGAGAAGAAAAUAACUCUAGUACUAGAUAUAUGAAACACCGUUUUCUCAGUCCAUGGUUUGGUCGUUGUAGCGGUGAAAAAAUAAUGUGGCAUGCACUAUCAUGUAAGAACCCAAACUAUACUAGUUCAAACUUGGGAAUAAAAGACAAACACAGGUCUUGUCUACAUAUUUAUGUCGCAUCUAUUUAUAUAUUAAAAGUAAUAUAAGGUGAACCAGGAGCAAGGUAAAUAUGCUAGAAAAUUGCACGUUAAUUAGAAAUUACUAGCCCUCAAUCCGGUAAAUCUUAACAAAUAGAAUUAUCUUGACCGUUAGAUUUAUGUAACAUAUAUAAUUCUCUGGGCCUCCAACGACUGUACGUGACACAUCUGAACGCACAUAUGUUAAAGAAAAUAUAUUUGGUAAAUGGUGGGCCUCUUUAAAAAGAGAACUCACGUACAUGCACCAACUAAGAAAAACACAUACAUGUAAACGGGAAAAGGGCUCCACCCCGUUGAAAAAAUAUACAUCUGGAGGCCACUUUGUUUCCUCAUAAAAAAAAACUUACGUUAAAAAGAUUGCAUGCAUCCCAGGGAAAAUAGUCAAGAAGAAGUCGGACUCUUCCUUACAAAAACAAGGAACGUGUUAAGUUGACUUCAAAGAAAAAAGGAACAUGUUAAGUUAAAAAAAACAAGAAACCUGUUAAGUUAGAAAAAAACAAGGAACGUGUUGUCCUAGGAAAGAUAUGUGUCAAAUCUUACAAAAAAAAGAAUACACACACGUACGUUCAUGCACUUGGAAAAUAGAAAAAAAAAGGAACAUCACGUAUGUAUACACUUCGGAAACUCAUUACAUGACCAUGUCUGAUAUACUCCUCUAAUGCUUAAUAUUAGUGCCUAAUAAUUUAUAUUUAAAAUUUAAUUUACUGAUCAAAUAUCCCCACUGUUUAAAUUUUAAUUUGGCACAUUGUUUGGCUAUAGUAUGAACCUAAAUUUCCUCUUAUUAUUAUAUAUCAUGAUAAUAAUCCAAAGGCGACUAAUCUGCGCCGGCGCACCGGCGCAAUCAAUUCGGCCCGACACAGCGCGGCCGUUUGAUUAAAUUGCAUUUAACCGUCAGAUCUAGAAUCAUUUUAUUUCCAAUUAAACGGAUUCAACCAAACAGCAGAGGGGAAAACAAAGCAGCACCGCCGCCAACACUAGUCAUGGACGACCGAUGUAGCAAAACCUUGAAGAACCGCCGCCGGUCGCCACCCUCGCCGCUGGUCGCCGCCCUCGCCGCCUGCGUUUCUCAUCGGCUUCAUGCAUGCAACAACAUGCACUCGUGAUUGCAGGCUUGCAGCUCCGGCUCCGGGGGACAUGGCCGCAUCUCCGGUAGCGCCGGCCGCCAGCCGCAGCACCUGUCGUUGUGGUCACGCUGUACCUCGCCGUGUGCCCUCCCAAGGCUCUUGCUGGUUCCAACAAAAAACGAUACCUAUUGUAGCAAAAAAGUUUAUCGCUUCCAGCAAAAAAGCUUACCGCUAUAGCCCGCCAUCAUCAUUGUAGCAAAAAUGUUAACUCGAUGUAGCUUCUGUGGUUGCCGACUGCGGCCAAAAAUGACGUGGUUGUAGCAAAACACAAAAGAAAAACGCCGGCCGUCCGCUGUGUAUGGUGGUAACAAACCCUAUAGCCGGUGGUAGCGAAAAACUUCACUGUUUGCAGCAAAAAAAUGUUGUCGCCCGUCGUCGAGGUUGCAUCAUCUUCAUGAAUUAUGUCGCAAAAAAACGUUGUCGCCGGUAGUAGCAAAUGAAGCCGCCGGUAGUAACAAAACAAGACACUGGUUCCAGCCAAAAAAAUCAGCGACAGAACCUUUUGUUGGUUCCAACAAAAAAACUUGUCGGUUGUAACAUCCCUCGCCGCCGGAUGUAGCAUCUCCCAGGGCUAGUUGCAACACUCCAUAAAAAAAGUUGUCUAUGAGCGCAUCCAUGGCAACUGCUGCACCGUCAGCAACGAGGGGAAGAGGAGGCAAUGAAAAUCGUUCGAGUCGUAGCUCCACUGGACACGGCUGCAGCAUGGGGAGUCCAAAAAUCUGUCACAAGCAAGAUGCGCCUCGCCAUCCUCCUGCGCAGGAGAGAGAAGAAAAAGGAAUAAGAGGAAGAAGAAACGAAACGGGAGAAAGAAAAAAAGAAACGAUUGGUUGUGGGCUCAGGCAAUUAGUCAAAUGAGGGGCACGCGGGGCCGUAGGAUACAGCGCAAUCGAACGAAGUGCGCGCGUCCGGCCGAAGACUCAGCUGGACUGCCGGUCCAGCUGGAAAUGUUUCCCUAAUACAAAGGCUUUUCUGAAUGACAAGUCGUCUGAGUUAUCGGCUAACUAGAAAAAAGAUAAAUAUGCUAGAUAAUUCCAUAAUAAUUAGAAAUAUCUAGCCUUUAAUUAUGUAAAUCAGAAAAUCACAACCGUUGGAUUUACUUUAAAGGUAAAUUUCUCUAAAUUCCCACCAUUGCCAGUAUGUAGAAACAUGUGCUGCUUCAAUUCUCCCUUAAUCACCAAUCAAUCAACAACUGAAAACAUACCUCAGUUAAAAAAACUGAACAAAAAAAAGAAAAAAAGAAGAAAGGACAAGAUACACGCAUGUACACGACAGCCUUGGCUUGAAACACAUCAGUAGAUCAAGUGUCCGCCUCCCUUACACAGAAUAAAUUCUAGGGAAGAAAAUAAUAGUGCAACCUAACCUUAUACGUACUAUUCUAUCCUCACGUCCCAUGAGGUUUACUAGCCUACUGCCGCCGCAUCAUGCCAUCCUCUCCUUUCAGCUCCCUCCUUGCGGCGCCACUACUCGCCUAGGGAUAUUGCUGCUCAGACCGUGGAGCUUAACCUGCUUCUUCUUCAGCAAAUAUGGAACUGCUUUAGGAUCCUUCUGACAUCAGCGCGUAUGGGCCUCAUUAUACUGCAGCUCCUGGACCUCCUACAAUUGGUUGGCUAUGGCCAGUUGAUCGAUGUGCUGAAGUCCAGGUCUGUUUGCUGGCACAUAUGCUUUGGAAAUAGGCCACUAUGUUUGUACUUCGAAAUUGUUUCUGUAUUCUUCAGUGGUACAUCCUUUUAAGCGCCAGUUUUUUAUGUUAAUUCAUGCUGACAACACUUAACCUAGCCUUUCAUGUUCACGUACUAAAUACAGGAGCAAGUAAAAACAACAGACCACCUAAUUGCUCUGCAAGUUCUACAUAGGAAAAUUUGUCAUGUUCUACGAUCGCACCAUCCCACCCUUCUCUCUUGGUAUGGGCGCCAAUUGAGGGAUUGAUAAAACUGAAACGAAGACGUCACAGGGCUGGAAGUACCGCUAGCCUGGUUCGCACUGCAACCUACCCAACGCCAUCAGAAACUAGCAACUGAGUCAGGUGUUGAUCGAUUCUCUCAAAUUGCUCUCAUGUAAGUACUACCCCUUGCAUGUGCGUACAUACCUUUGUUGCAUUCUCAAACAGAUAGAACAUGUAUGAUCGGUGCAUGGCUAUUUUUCAUCACAUGACAUCCAGAUAACAAGCAUGAAAGGACUACAUUGGAGAUCAAAAAAUAUUGGUUCCUGGCUAGAGUACCACUACCUAUGGACUUGUCUCCAUAGAAUUUGUUCCCAAGAUGUUAUUUUAAUUAACCUCUUUAGCUUUCUUCCGUUGCAAACGGUGAUGUGCAUCAUGGUAUAUACGUGACCAUCUUGCACAUGUAUACACAAGAGGCUCAGACGGAGGUGCUGGAUUCUGGACGAGGGAAUAUGAAGCAGGAGUGAGCGAAGAGUAAAUAAUGGUGGGAGUACCGAUUGGUGUUAUGAAGAAAAAUGCCAUCCAAAGAUUGAUUAGUGUCAUGGAAGAUUAAUUUCUGAAUGCGAAUAUAUAUGUUACAUUGGUUUGGAUCUUUUUGAGAUAAUUGCACCUAAAUUAGGUUCUUUCUUAUUUCAUAUGUAUACCUUAUUUCAGUAAAAGUUCACAACGAACUUAGUAGGACAAAUAUAAUUUUGUUUGUUCUUUCUGUUGUCCGCCACCAAAGCUCAGUUUGAACUCUCUAGAAAUGGACAAUGAUUUAUGCAUUCUAUAUCUUCUUGAUUGAUUAGCCAUGACAAGGAAAUAAAAGGAUUGACUGAUAUAGCAUAACUUUGGAACGAUCUGUUCGUAGAGGUUACUACAAAUUAGAGUAGUGUCUGUUGGAAUUUUGCUAGUAGGCCUUUGGCCCAAAGCCCAACUAAAAUUCUGAAAUUCUCUUCGCUCAUUCAUGCACACAUGUGAGUGGAGUGAGUGAGACUAAAGUUUAGAGAGAGUUGCACCUCUUUAUAAGGUGAGCUCUUCUACCACUUGUAUGAGCAUGAGAAGAGGAGACCUAUACACGCGCUCCUCCUCCUCGCUCACCACGUCUCGUCACGCCGCGCCGCGCCGCGGAUUGCGGGAUUGAGCCGAGCCGAGGACGUUGUCUAUAUUUUUGCUGUUUGGGAAAAAUUAAUAAGUCAUUAAUUAAUAAUUAAUGGAUGCGUUAAUUACUGAACCAUUUUCGAUUCUUUUGGAUCGUGACGACUCGGACGUGGGGUUUACUCCCACGAUCUACCCGGCCCACACUAUAUAGUCAGGCAGACGUCUACCCUAGCCGCCGCCACUUCGUAUGGUUUCUCACCACCGUUACAGAUCGUUGCGCCGCCAAGCAAGUUUUCUCCAUUCCUCCUGUCGGCAUGCACUGGGAGAAGGGACAGCAGGCCUCCGGAACCCCGCCUCUCGUGAUCCUGUACGGGAGAGGGGCGAUCAGAUUUUUGGGGAGCGCACUCGCACGACUGCUGGCAGCGACGACUUCGCAAACGACGACUUCUUCCCCGACCUCGGCAACCUCAUCCUCGACUUCUGCACCGUAUGUUAUUCUAUCCUUCUUGUUCGAGAUCGUGGUAGAAUUCAGAUUUCUAGCAUGUUCCCUAGAUGUGAUUUGUUCAUCUACUAUUCUAAUUCGCAUGAUUAGUUUAAUCUUUGCUAUUGCUGUCAUGAUCUAUUUCCUAUUUAUUCGGAUUAAAUCUCGUAGUAAUUUGCUCAUUUUUCCAACAGUGCCAUCUAAUAGAUGAUGUAAAUCUCCUCAAGUUUGACGUUGUUGAGCUAAUUUACAAAAAAAACCUCAUCAUUAUUGGAUGUCCUUAACAGCUCAAGAACAAGUUGGGGUCGAAAUAAUGGAUUUUACACUUUUACAUUAAAGGUUUAGCUAAAGCAAGCAGGUGUUUUUAAACCUGAAUUUUUUUCCUCCUGAAUUUCUUUGUAUUUUCUUAUUGACACUAUUUAUACAAUCAUCUGACAAAGAUUAGCUAAAGCUGUUUGUAGAUACGUUCAAACCUGAAAAGCUUCUUUGGUUAUCCUUUUAAUAGUUCUACGUUUAUUUUCUCAUAGGUCUUAAUUCUUAUGUAAUACCAAGAUGCAUUGUGGUAGUGUACAUGUGUUAAAUUCAGGUUGUUAUUCACAAUUUGCGACAAAAUUUAGCUCACGCUACAUUUAAAUAUGUUGAAAUGUGAAAGCUCUUUUUCUUCUCCUUUCUACACCUUGCAUCGGAUUGCAUCCCUUUAGUUAUCCAACAUUUUGUACAACAUGUAGAGAUUAGGAAGUUCAUCAUAGUUUGUCUAUUUCCGUGCUAAUAAAUGUAUGAAAUCUGCAUUUCCAAGCUACUAGGACAAGUAAAAAAUAAUAAUUUUACUAUAGGAUUCAAAAACAGCAGUUCUGAAGUGCACUUUAUUUAUUUGUGAAAGUGAUCACAUUUUGUUUCAUUUUUCUAUAGACAAAUCUACUAAUACAUACUCACGAUAAAACUAUAAAAGUUCUAGUCCGCACAUUGGGCGGGCCACCCGGCUAGUUAGUCUAAAGAUAACAAAAUGAGUCUGGAAUUUGAAUUAAAUUGAAGUAUUUUCUUGGACUAUCCACAUCCUUGGCUUGCCCCUGAUCAAUUAUUUCCAGAGAAGCAUUCAAUUCAUCAAUCAAUUACAUUGAUUUUAGUGGCUGGUACUUCUCCUCGACAUCAGUAUAUUCACCGUGGCCACUCCAAAUCGGCAAGAAUGAGGUACCAGUGCUCUGGAGCAGUGCAAGCUAAUUGCUUCUCAUGUGAAGGGGUGCGGGCGCGGGAGAGGUAUUUCUGGUGGGCCAAGGGAUAAGAAGCGACCGUGGCAGCGGUACAGACGCCCGCAAAGCCCCAUAAUUUGUUUUUGGUUUACAGGAAAAAUGCACAUCCAUACCGGCCUGGGGAAUAUAGCACUGUAUUGCAUGGAAAACCAUGUCCGGAUGGUUGUGAGCGGUUUGAGGGUUAGCUUUUGUAACGCCCGGUUAGUUAUGCUAUAGCAAUUCCCUGCUAAUGAUGUCACGUCACCACGAUUACUGUUGUUAACCUCACAAUGAUUCAAUCCCGUUCAAAUUCAAAUUUGAAAUAAAGGUAAACAUCAAAAGUUUUCAAACAUUAAAACUAAAAUCUUUGAGAGGUGACAAAUAAUGCAUAAGUAAUUAUGGUGAAGAAACCACACUUUAAUCAAAUGUUUAAAUACUCUAAAAUGAAAAAAAAACAGUGACUUAAACUAUUAUUUAAAUGCUUUUAAAAUAGUAAAAAUCUUCUAACUAAAUUAUUUGGGUACCAAACUUUUGGUGGCAGUGGUAUAUUUAGUAGAACUAAUUUAGAUGCUAAUUAUAUAAUUUACAAAAUUAGAGUAAAUUGAAAAAUAGGAUAAAACGGAAAAAGGAAAGACAAAACAAAUAAAAGCAAAAGGGGGCAACCCCUCGCUGGGCCUCGGCCUAGCUGGCCACUAGACUAGCUAGGCUGGCCCCGCCGCCUCCCUUAACCCCCCACUCCCCAUCGAACCCAAGCCCGAUCGCCCCAUUUCCCACACACCCCCUCGCUAGUCUCCCCACCUCUUGAUCCCAUCUGGAUCGGGGAGGGUAUUGCCCCCAUCAACCCCGUUGCCGUCGCCGGAUCGCCCGCCGACGUCGGCAGGCCUCCUCCCCGUCGCCCGUCUCCGGCUCACCUCCCCUCUCGCUCCUCUUCCCCGACCCGAUCUGGAUCGUGAACGAGCAAUGAGCUCGAAGCCCCCCUUCACCAGCGCCAUCACCGUGCGCCACCACCACCACCUGAAGACCUCACCGUCGCUGAACCUUGCGUCGCCUCCUUGUAUCCCUCCCCUACUCGCAUCCUCAAGCCAGGCCGAGCCCCUUCUCGGCAACGCUGUGAGACGCCCCCGUUUCCCUCCUCUUUCCACCGCGUUCACCGCGCCGCCCGCCGUGCCCCUCGCCGUGCAUGAGCCCACCACCGCACCAGCCCCCGCUCCGCGCACGACCCUACCCGCGCCCGCGCCAUGAUCCCCUUUUCCGCCCUACCUUCACGCGCUCGCCGCGAUCCCCAUGCUCCCCCGCGCCCUCUUUCGGGGGCGCCGACUGCCCCUGUCCCGGUGCUCGCCGCCGUGCCUCGCCACCGCUCUACUGCUACGUUACUACUGCGCUGCGGCCGCCGCCUCUUCCCGCUGCUCCGCUAGCGCCGAAGCUCCCGGUUGGCUCCACCACUGCUCACGUUAAACCGCCGGCCUAAAUGGCCUAACCCUCGGCUAAUGAACCCCCACUAACCCACUGACACCGGGACCCACAUUCCCUAAUUAACCAUUUAAUAAAUUAACAUUAGUGUAUGACAUGUGCGUCCCCUGUUAAUUAAUAAUUUUACUGCUAGUUUUAUUAGUUUCUGUUUUUCUGCAUAUUUCUUUUGUAUUUGAACAGGCUUUAUACAAUAAUAUUUAGCGUAUCAUACACAUACAAAUGUAAUCAUAGCAUAUACAUACAAAUAGUCUCAUCAAAUCAUGUCAUCAUCAUAAUCAUCAUCCAUCACAAAGUGGUCUCUGGUCAUCAUCUCGAAAAUAGCGAUACAAGUCUCGAUUACUUGCAACUACAUCGUCAUCCAUCUAAACAAUGAUAUACACGAGAAGAGCUCUCACUAUGAGUGAGAGCGGAACUAUGCAGUACAUGAGUUUGUAUCCCUCUCUCGCAUUAGCGUGAACCUAAACUAACGACUGGCUGUUGCUCGGAAACCGGAAACCGGUACACCUGGGCCUGACACUCCGGCCACUCAUCGUAUACUCCUGGCGUAGCACUUCUUCGCCAUCGAUGAUCUAUGCACCUGCAUCGUCACAUGAGUCGAUGAUAUGCAACAUAUAUAGUUGAGCAACAGAAAGAGACAGACUUGGCAAAAAUAGAAGCAACAUAUCACAAGUAUAAAUAACAAAGUUAAUGUUUUGCAGGAUUACAACUCAACCCAUUGCAGAUUAGAAAACAAGCCCGUAUGAAUGCACAGGCUGACGACUAGUCUAUCUAUACCUAUACCUAUACCUAUACCUAUACCUACCUAUACUAAUUACAGACUCCCAAGGAAUUCCCACGUUAAUUAGUAAUUAGGAGUCGUUAAUCUUGUGGGACCAAAUUAUUACGACAGUCCACGAUCUCUUUUCUCUCUGUGUAAAAAAAGGUCCACGAUCUCUUUUCUCGGUUGUAAAAGAUAAAGGCAACUCAGGUCCACGAUCUCUUUUCACGGUUGUGAAAGAUAAAGACAACUCCCGUCUUCUUCUAAUCUAUAGUUCUAUACCUCCACGACCCCUUUCUCUCCCCAUUUAAAAGGAACAAGCUGAACCAAUAUCUAAGCAUGCAAUUGGUUCCUGUGCGGUCUUGACCUUCCAUCCGUCCACUGCUCGAUCGGCCCUCCCUCAACUACAAGCUGACAAGCCACCAUCGCCAUCCAGCGGCACGCCACCGUUCAUGCAUGUGUUUUUGCCCUUCAAUCUGAAGGAGAUGCGUUGGCUACUCAAGUAACUCUGUUUGUUUUGUUCAAACCAAUUUCGUUAAUUCGGUUCUUUGAUUAUCUAAUUGACAUGGCCUGUGAGUUUUGUGCUAGUGAUACAGGGCCUGUCUACUAGAUUCUCUCCUUGCAACUUCUAUUGUUGUCUCGAUUUGGUGUGGUCAAGAUCCUUGCCCCACCACAAGCAGCACCUUUGCACCAUCGGGGAAAUCUGUCAUAGCAAACAGAGGUAUGUAACAUGCUUUGGUGUUUUCCUCUUUCGUUUAGAUCACUAGAGUUGCUCAACCACACCAUUCAUUGAUUAGUAGUUGGCCUGAGAAGUUGCUCGGUCACCUGCAGCGUCUGAUCCCCUUCUUGACCCUCUCCUUCUGGUCAUUAUCCACCGGCAGGUCAAUGCAAAACGGAUCGUUCGUUGCCGCCACCUUGCGGAGACCGAUGUUUGGCUGCCCUCCUGCCAUCCUGGCACUCUGGUACCGGUCACUGUGCCGUUGUUCUAGAAGAACUAUGUCACACGAAGCGAGAUAUCUUCUUACUAAUCUGGAACAUAAGUGUUUCUUCUUACUAGGAUUCGCUCACCGGUGCAUUCAUCUCUUUUUGGAAAAUACGGCCUUCAUAUUUCACACGCCUAUACAUGGGUGCUGUCCCAACAAUAAUCCAUCUAAUCCAUGAUGCACAUUCAUGAAGACUGAUGUGACUGAAUUAAUAUAUCAAUCUGGUGCUUCCGGAUCAGCACUUGAAGAAGCAACCCCUUUAGUUCAUAAAUUUAUCAUACGAAAGUCAGGGGAAAAAUCAACUAAGUCAUGUGUGCUUUUCUAAUUAAUUACUAUACACUAAUUCCAUUUUUUUCAGUAGCAGGCUAGGAUACGUGGAUUGUGGCAGCACAGAAGUAAACCGAUGAGCUACAUUGGCCGUUCACCAGUCAUCGGAUCAGAAGCCAUGUCGACCAGAGGGACGGAACAGUUCUAUAUUAGGCGAUGGAUACAUGUGGAAGCAACUAAGCAUAUGUGGAUGCAUGUGAUCGCAUAGGUAAGGCCAUAGCUGUUCAAGCCCUACAGGAUCUUUAUUGCUGGUUUUAAUUAUGAGUUUACAACACCAUCUAUACAUACUACUUAUCCAUUUAUUUCCUUACCUUCUUUGUUUCUUUCUCUCCUUGAUCCCCUGUCAAAAGGGCAUCAACAUCCAUAUGCGCAACGGCACACGCAACAAACUAUGACUUCGGUUGCACGUCCAAUGGCAACCACAGUACAUGAUGAUAUCAUGUUUGCUGCAAGACGAAGUACAAGUUCAUAAUUUGGUCUUUUGCAUGGUCCCUUAGUAAAUUAUAUUUGUCCACAUACACCACAUACAUAAAAACAGGUAGAAGCGGUUGCAUGAUGAAAAUGUCCUCUCAAUAUGCAUGCCUAUGAAUACUAUCACCAGAAAGCCAAGGACUAACAAUUAUUCAGGGGUCAAGAUUGAAGACAGACGUCCAAGAUUGGCAGUCGGCCGGCCUAAGAGGGGCAAAACCGUUGUACAUUAUAUUGUAUGGACCUAGCAAGAUCCUAAAGAUAAGUGAUAAUGGAGAUCAUGGGGGCCACCCUUAUAACCAUAUGUCCAAAUGUUCUUAUUUGUUUAUUUUUCUUUUCUCUUUUCGGAAGAAUCCAUCCUGCCUCUAUGGUCAUCCUGACCACUUCGUAUUGUUAUCUAAUCUCCUCCCUUAAUUAAUAUAAAGAAUUACCGCAGCUGAAUUCACUAAAAAAAGUAUUCAGUUUAUUUUAAUUUAUUCAACUAUUAUGGCAUAUCAAUUGGAUUGCAAGUUCUUGGCGGUUGCAUUUGAAUCAUAUUUGAUGUGCACAAAGGCUUCAGUGUCAAGGUGGUCGGACGAGUAUUUAUGUCCAUUAUAUAUGUGUUAGCUUGAGAUCAUCAGGCACCUGUUAUGCAUCUGUCCAGUUAAAAGGAUGUUCAGACUCAGGCUUGCCCUACCAUAUAUGGCUGUGACACUCUGAACCAAGCAAGUUGGUCAUAUGUGUCGAGCACUAUUAACUCUUUGGAAGAGGAUCCACCAAGUACAGGAAACAAAUCAAAUAUCUUCUUAACCUUAUCACCAGAAAAAUUAGCAAGAGAUGAAUAGUAACAUUUUAAAGAAGAAAGAUAUGUUUGAAAAGGGAUAUAUAUUAUGGCGACGAUUAGAAGAGCCCUUGACGAAUGGUGCCUAGCCUGCGAAAGUUUCUUAUGAAUAUAGUCAACACUCUAUAUCAACUGUUGUAAGAUUUUAGAAAUAUUUUUGGGGACAUAUGAUACAUGUCUAUUAUACAUAUGAUUCAACAGAAGUUUGAUUGAAUACAUAUUUAAAACGUGACUGACUUCUAUAUGGACGGAGUAUUUCACAAAGGACUCACUGCCAACUGUGUGAAUAUUCCAAGAUAGUUAGUGCACAUAAAUGUUCAAAUCCAUAGCCUGCAUAAAUAUACAAAAGCAAUGUGUUAGACCACUACACAUGCUUCUGAAAGGAGGCAAAAAAAUGUAUGCUUGAUUGAUGACCGUUCAUGCAUGAAAUUAAUUUCUGAUUUCUAAUUAUUUUGGUCAUAUAAUGGAAAUAGAGACAUUAUAAAGAUCCAACAGCAUGCUAUCACACACGUGUGAACACAGACACACACAAAUAACAUUUGCCGAGCACUCACAAAUAAAAGGUGUGGCUACUCUUGGGUGUUCUACAGCUGGCUUAAAAAAACACGUAUGAAACAUGAUCCCCAAAAAUCUGAAAUUCGCAACAUAUGAAAAUCCACCCUCAAACAUAUUUCUGGUGUCUCAAUUCUUUUAGUUUCAGAUGGUAUGUCCAGCCAAAGUAGUUGUACACAUACAUUACUAUGUUCUAUUAUUUGAGAUUCUAAGACAACAUUUAGUAACUAGCCCGUGCGAUGCACGGGUUCACGACUAGUAUAUAUAAAGCUUAAUGGUGCCUAAGAAAGCUCGCACAAUUUUACAGUGGCUGUGGAGAUGUGUUGCCAAACUGAGACAUAAGAUUUUCGUUUGGCAUCCAGAGUUGCAGACCGCUUGUGUUAUCCUUAAUCCAUGGCCACUCUAAUUUUUCCGGCUGGGCCUUCCCUGUGGUACGGCAGCAAGGCUUGCGUGUGUAUAUGUUUCCUUUAACUACCACUAGCACAUAUGCCCGUGCGUGCGUUGCAAGGGGAGAGAUAAUGGCGUAUCCACCAAUAUAUCUAGCAGCAUGACCCAACAACAUCCGAAUGAUGUCACCCGACGACGGCAGGAAGGCACACACAGAGGUCUAGUAAAAACUCAACAAUUGUACGGGCAUGGUUAAUUCGCGUGAAUUCAAGGGUGUGAGAUUAGUUAGUGUUGGUCCCACAAUUGAAUUCGGGGGCUGAUUAGUUAGUGUGGGCCCACCCUUGAAUUCACCGGGGGAGACAAAAUAAUUAGGGUGAGGAGAGAUUUACGGGGCUUGGUCCCCAGAUGCGUUGCGGCAGUCAUUAUUCGAGCAUUGCAAUGCUCGCACGUGAGGAGCUCUUUUUCCAAUUGUAUAUUGAGAAGCAUUGCUACAGAUACAAUGUUUUUGAUACGUUUUUGUACGAUGAUCCUGAUCUUAAAGGGCCUUCUAAUUUUUAAAUCUUAAAGGCAUUAUUUGUAAGUUGUCGUGAAAAAAAUCUCGCUAAAAGGGUUAUGUUAGACCAUCUUCAGUACAUUAGAAAUAACGAAUUAUAAUUCCUUGGCAUUUGAACAAACAAUCCCUACUUAUUUACACAUACAAUACUUUUGGUAUGAUUUUGAAAUCUUGAAGGCAUUAUUUGUAAGUUGAAGCAAUUUUGAAAUCUCACUAAAAGGUCUGUUAGACCAUCUAUAGCUUUAGAAAUAACUAAUUAUAAUUUUGCAAAAAAAAGAAAUAACUAAUUAUAAUUCCUUAAGCAUCUGACCGAAACGACCCCGAUUUAUUGUCUGGGUAGUAAUUCCUUUGCAACAUUAUUCUCUCCUUUCUUGAAGGAACUCUUGCCUGGGUAGUAAUUCCUUUGCCCACGUAUUUGCAAGGUUAUUCUCUCCUUCAUUUUUACAGGAGCUCUCCUUCCUUAUACUAAUUGGUCAUUAUCCUCUCCUUCCUUUUUCUUUUUGCCAAACUCUCUUUCCAUAUUUAUGCCGCUAACCACGCCACUCUUUUUCCUUAUUUAUGCCCUUUGAUCACGCCACACAUCUCAUGAAAUCUAAGCCAUAUAUAUCACCCAUCUUUUUUCCUUAUUCCGGUGCUUUCCUCACAAACAGUAGUUCUCUAGGAUGCUUAACGAUUUUGAAACAGAAACAUAUAUAAAUCGGUAGAACGGGUUGUAAAGCAGCGAGGUGGUACUAAUUUAUAAAGAAACAAACCUUUUCUUUUUGUGUAAUGAUGCCUUGGUUCGGCUGGUUGCGUUGGGAAAAGGACCGGCGAAGUGGGCGAACCAAAAACGGAUAAAAUUACGGUGGUAAGAAGCGAUAGCCCUUUUAUUAGUAGGUAUGAGGAUGUCUAGGAUGUCUAGGAUGAGGAUUUACUGCACACAAGUGCGGGGGCACUCAGGUCCUGAUGCCGCCUUUUUAUUUUGGCUUCCGAUUUUCAAACUUCUAUAUCUUUUAAACAAAAAAUUCAAUUUAAGUUACGUUUUCAUAUUCGUGCUUCUCGCGGCCAGCGCUUUCAAAUAAGAUCCAUUUUGCAUACAUUUUGGUGGCUUUUGGAAACGGGCGAAUAGCUCCUAUGCGACGUUGUUGGUGUGUAUUGUCUCUCAUGCGACGUUGUUGGCUGUAAUAGCUCUCAUGCGACAUCUGCGUUGGAAAAAAUAGCUCCCAUGCGACACACCAUUUACGCGGCUAGUUGGCUGUUAGUUAGGCUGAGGUUUGGUUAGGACACUGGGGGUUAUGUGCUCUGACUGGUGGGGUCCACCUAUGGUCACGUAGACAAGAGUCAACCGUCCACGACUCGACCUGGGACUGUGUGACCGUGCUCGACUCACCCGUGCUGGACUGAGUGAGCGGUGCCGCCGUAAGCAUCUUCUCCGACAGCGGUUUCUUCUCCGCGGUGGUGGAGCGCAUUUCUCGGCAGCGGCAGAGCUAUUGCGAGGUGAGCCCGAAACCCUAGUCCCACUCCCCAGAAUUUUGGGGGAUCUGUGGCCUCAUGCUGCCCUCUGUUUCUUGGCGAUUUAGAAUCGGGCUCCAUUGGAUCCGGGGGUUGUUUCUUCUCCGUGGCCCGGUGGUGGAGCGCCUAUCUCUGUAGCGGCUAUUGCGAGUGAGUAUUUUCCAAACACUACUCGCAUUCCACUAAAUUUUGGAUAAAUCUGUGGCCUCAUGCUGCCCCUAUUUCUUGGCGUUUUAGAAUCUCGAUUGGAUAGGAGAUGGAGCGAGGGCUGGAUGAGAUGGAGCGAGGAGACAGUGCUUCAAAUCGGUAAUGCCACACUCUUUUCUUGGCGAUUUAGAAUCGAACUCGAUUUGGUAGUGACUGCCGCCGCUGCCUGCCAUUGACAAAACAGGGGAGGUUCAAGUUCUGCCACCACAUUCACAAUUAUAGUGGAAUUUUUUCCCUGUAAAGCCAAGCUCAGUGAUGGCAGUGUCCAAGACAUUGAUAGAGAUACCACCGUGAGGUUCGAUGUCGAAUUUGCAGAUGUUGAUCCCCAGGAAUUGGAGAGCAUGAAGGAGAAGGCCGUGGGCAAUUUGGUGGAGAGAAUUGGGGAGAAUAUUGUUUGGGGUCCAGAACAAGAGGUAUGUCUGCAACGUUUCGAUAACUAUAAUGGUGAAUAUGUGAGAAUUGAAGAUGGAGAAUCCAUGGUUGCUGAAAUUGAUCAGCAAGAAGGGUGGGCAACUAAACAAGUAACAUUUUAUGCAGAGCUAAUUGAUCUACAAACUCAUUCCAGAGUUGGUUAUGUGCAAUCAAAGAGGGCUGCACAGAUGGAAGAUGAUGAGUGGGUUUCACAAAAGAAGAUGUUGGCAUUGUUGACUGAACCGACUGUAGUAGCUGAAGAUACAGGGAUUGAUGCAGAUGGAGAGGAGGGAACCCAUGGUGCUAGGAAGAUUGUUGUUGACUGGAAUGUAGUAGAGUUGAAUGAAAAAACAGAUUUGGUCAUUACACCAAUAUCUGACAUUGAUAUGGCCGAAAUGUUUGGCAUUCAAGUUGAUGACAAAGAUAAGGAGAAGGAUGACAGUUCUUUGCCUGCUGAAGGAACAUAGGCCCUAGAAAUGCAAAUGAGGAUGAAGAACAGCUGAUGAGAGAGGCUGCAGAUGAUGUGGAUGAUGCAGAUGAUAAUGAGUUGGUUUGUUUGUAUGACAAAGAGAACCCAGUUAUUGAGGUGGGAAAGUUGUGGCCAAGCAUGAAGGAGUUUAGGAUGUCUUUCAGGACCUAUGCAGUGAAAAAGAGUUUGAUGCCAAGACUAUGUGGACUGAUUGAAAGAAAUUUUAUGCUCGGUGCAAAGGUUAUGAUGGUGGUGGCAAUCCUUGCAAAUGGUACUUGUCUGCCAGACUACAACCUGAUUGAAGUACAGUAAGGGUAAAUCAAAUACCACACCAGCAUACAUGUAUGACCACUUCACAGAGAGUUUCAAAGAUGACAUCACAGCUUUGGGUUACAGAGAAGAUUACUCCUAUUUUAGCCAAGACUCCAAACACUACUGCAAAGAGGCUUAAAGUUGACUUGGAGAAGCUGUACCCCAUCCAGCUGCAAUAUACCACAGUGUGGAAAGCAAAACAAAGGGCCAUGAAAUCAUUGUAUGGUGACUGGGCAAAUACAUUUAGGAUGUUGUAUAGUUUUAAAGCAGAGGUGGAGAAGAGGUCACCUGGGAGUGUGGUGGAGAUAGAUACAGAGGUAACAGAGGAUGUCAUGGUUUUAUUCAGCAAGUUUUUUAUGUGUUUGAAGCCAUGCAUAGAUGGAUUCAAAGCAGGUUGUCGUCCAUAUUUGAGCAUAGACUCAUCUUUUUUGACUGGAAAGUGGAAUGGUCAGUUGGCUGCAUGCAAUGCUCUAGAUGGACGCAACUGGAUGUUCCCAAUUGCAAUAGGAAUGUUUCAAUCAGAGACAGAGGCAUCAUGGAUAUGGUUCAUGAUGCAACUGAAAAGAUGUAUAGGGCCAGUUUCUCCUUUAGCCAUCCACACAGAUGCAUGUAAAGGGUUCGAAAAUGCAGUAAAAAAUGUUGUCCCCCAUGCUGAGCAGAGGGAGUGCUUUGGACAUAUGUGGAUGAAUCUGAUAAAAAAAUUAGAGGAGAUGAAUUUGGGCGCAUGUGGCCAGCAGCAAGAUCCUACACCAGACAGACACAUUCCUAUCACCUUGGUAAGAUAUUGGCAUCAUGUAGUGAUAAUGAAUUUGCUUCAUGGUUGAACACCCGCCAUUCUCUGUUGUGGUAUAGAUCAGGUUUUAAUACUGCCAUAAAAUGUGAUAAUAUCAAUAACAACUUGGCAGAAAGUUUUAACAACAAAGUGAAGGAUUUGAAAGACUUGCCUGUGCAUGACAUGGUGGACCAAAUAAGGAUCAUGAUCAUGCGUUUGUGGGAGUUGAGAGGAAAAAUUGCUAAUAUUUUGGAAGGGGACAAGCUUCCAGCAGUGGUACAAUAGGUGGUCAACAGGAGUAGAAAUCUUUCACAUCUAUCUGUUGAGAAAUCUUCCUUGUGGGGUGCUGAAGUUAGAGAUACAAAGAGUGGCAAGAGGCAUGUGGUAAAUACUGAGUUGCAUGAGUGUACUUGCCGAGAGUGGCAACACACUGGAAAACCAUGUGAGCAUGCCAUACUUUUUUUGGCAUCUAAACCCAGGUUAAAUAUGCACCCAUAUUUGCAUGAGUAUUAUUCAGUACAAAAAUUCAAAGCUGCAUAUGCAAGUCCAAUUCCUGCACUGACUGACCAAUCUCAGUGGCCUGAGGUGGAAAUAGAAUUUACCUUGUGUCCCCUGUCACUAGAAGAAAGGCUGGGAGGCCUAAACAGAGCAGAUUCAAAGCUUGGUUUGAGAAAGGUGGUUGUAGUAAGAAGGGGAAAAAAGAAAAGAAAAAGAAUGAUAAGCCCAAAAGGGCUCAAAAAGGUAAGAAAAAUAGGUGCAAGUUGUGUGAGGUACUUGGGCACAGAAUUGGUUCAUCCAAGUGCAUCUAUACUCCUCAGAGGACAAAGUAUGUUCAUGUUACUGUUUUUACAAGUUUUUGAUUUUGUUACUUGUUCUAGUAUCUAACCAAGUCAAAUGCUUUAUUUUUUAGGAGGAAGCGUGCAGAAAAAGCCCCACCUCUUGUUGUUGAACAAUGCUGGCCAGUGAAAAAAGCAAGACUCAAUGGCUAUAUAGAAGGAAGAGCACUAAGCAGAUAAUGUUUGGUGACAAAGAUAUGGAGCUAACUGAAACUGUUACUGCUGAACAUGAGCUAAGUGUUUCUGUUUUGGACGAUGUGAUGCAUACUGAAUCUGUUUUGCAGACGCUAGGGCAAUCUGAAACUGUUGCAGAUGAAGCAACGGUUGUGCUGCCAUGCGAAUCUGCUUUGACAACUGUGUUGCCAUGUUUGGAGGUUGUGCUGCCAAGUGUUGAGUUGCAAACUGAAGUAGUUGAACAAUUUGUGCCAUCUACUCAAUCUGCAGAAGUGCAAACUGAAGAAGUGCAAACUGAAGAAGUGGGACAUGGUCAGGUGAAAAAGUUGAGGGGGCCUAGUGGAGUUUGCAAGGGGCCAAAAAGCAAGAGCAUCAACAUCAACAAACUAUGCGCCGUGGAACCAAACGAUGGAAAAAAGCAGAAGAAAUCGAGUGGUAGAAAGAAGCAAAAGAAAUAGAGUCGAAAUCAUUCAAAUUUGAUGUGAAAACUUAAGUUUGUUGUCAUUUGAUGUGAAAACUUAUGUUCUUUCAUGUGAAAACUUAUGUGCUAUGAUGUUGAUUUGACUUGAAAUAAAAUUCAAAUUUGAACCGACAUUCAAAUUUGAACCUAUCUCCAAAUUUUUUUGAGUUCAUUUGUUUGUUCUGUGAUGUUGCAUCGUUUUAUGUACUACUAUGCACUUUGUGAAGUCCAACUCAUAGUCACUGAAAAUGCUGUACAAACAGGCUCCAAAGUAAGGGAAAACGGCCCCAUUUCUAAGCAAGUUUUUUUCGAUCUUCUCAAAAUCACCCAAAAAAGAUUUUCUUAGCUUAUAUUAUACCUAUAUAGGAUCAAUACAAAGUCUCACCUUUUUUGAAUAAGUAUUCAUAUUAUUUAAUUUAUUUUUGAAAAAACACCCUUUAAUACAAAGUCAGCAAUAAAACAAGUUUAAAAAUUUUAAAUGCAAAAAUAACUUCAGAUCCUCCUUAGUCACUCUAAAAUGAAGCUAAGGUGAUGUUUUUUGAUUUUUUUGCAUUUUCAAAACCUCAAACCCUCUUCUCACUCCUUUGAACUCUAUGCAACCUCAGUCGAGAUAGUCCAAUUUGUGAAGGUUUUUUCAUGCAAAGAUCAUUAGAUCAAGUUUAUCAUUUUAUAUCAUAACUAUGUAACAUAAAAAGGCUAUAUGCGCAGGUUUUUCAUUUUUUAGAUUUUUUUGAAUUAGUUAUACACAUUUGAAUGUUCGGUCAAACCUUUCAAAACCCCGUUGACUGCCUCAAAACCCCAUGUAACCCUAGCGCCAAACGUCCACCGUCGAUCUAACCCUAACGCCAAACUGCGGCCGUCGGAUGGGACUUCUAGAAGGAUUCCGCGGGGGCGAUCCAUGGGCUCCAAUCUGAUUGGCCAUUGUUUUUUCUCUCUGACGAACAGAUAACGUUGAGCGGGGGAGCAUCUAAGUGACCGUUGGGCCGAGUGGAUUGGGCCUGGCAAAGCCUGGCGUGCGUGCACACGGCUGUUGAGAGGGGGGAUGGGCUGCAUGCGAGCGGGUCAAUGACAUGUGGGCCAUCCUUGUCCCAUGCAUGCCAUGCAACGUCGCAGCCUAGCUAUUCUUUGCUCGUGAAAGCCUAGCCAUUUGCAUGCGGGCUUGCAUGCACGCAUCGACGCAGAGUACGGCAAGGGUGCAGCGUAUAGGUACGUCGCAUCUAAGCUAUUUUAACAAAUGCAUGUUUGAACGAGAUGGACGCGUCGGUGGUGCAGCUCCUUUUUCAGUGUCACGCGCGGAUGAACGGGCCUGUUUCCCAUGCGGCAUCACCGCCGAUGCAAGUGCCCGUGCCUCUUUGGAUGCUCUGGCCGCCGUUUUUUGAAUUAAUGCCCGCAAUUACUUAUGCCAUGCGAACGGAGAAGAGAAAAAGAUCGAGAAGGGGCACCGUGUACACAUUGACCAUGGUUGCAAUGCGGCUAUAAAAGGGCACCAUUUCCUCAUCCUCUCACACUCAUCUCUCAAGCCUCCUCCCCUUCUUCUUUUCGAGCCAAAUCCACCACUCGAGCCACCAUGCAGUUCAACGGCCCUACCUACCGUCGCCCUUGCACCGUGCCGGAGAGGCAGUACCCAGCCGGAGUCGUCGUGGAGAACAGCCUGAGGGUGUGGGCCAUCUCUAGGUGGAGGGGCCCUAGAGAGUUGGCUCGCUUCUUCCUCCAAGCUGGCUACCGCCACCUCCCUCCGGGCACUCCGCCCAUGUUCCACCUCCACGAGCAGUACGAUGGCAAUGCCGGCCCCGACGGCUUCGUCAUCGGCCUCUAUGUCACCUUCACCAACCCCUACGACGCUCACCACCUCCCCGGGGAGGUGUUCUGGUGUGGAUGCGAGUUUAUCGCGUUCACGACCUACAACAUCUUCACCAACUUCCACCACAUCUUCCCUCACCACAACGGCAUGCACACCCUCCCCUAUCAGAUGCCGGAGGACGACGAGUGAGGGGCCCAAGGAGGAGGGUCCAAGGAGUGGCAAGGAGGAGGGGCCAAGGAGUUGUUCAAGCGGCGAGUCUUCUAUCUAUCUAGUUUGGGGCUCUAGUUUGUGUUUGUGUUGGUUCGGGCGUGUGUGCCCGUGUCUUUUAUAUAUCUAGUUUUAAUUAUUUUACUUUCAUGUUUUAUGAACUAUAUGUAGUGGGGGGAUGCCCCUCUAUAAGUUUUAUCUAUCUAUGCUACUAGGGUACCCGAUGCCCCUCUAUCUAUCUAUAUGUUUUUUCGGUCCUAAAGUUUCUCCAUUGCAUUUUAUUUAUGUGGCCAUGUGUACUAAAAAACAAUUGAUCUGGUAUCUAAAAUGUACGUUACCAAGAAAUUGACAAUAAAGAUUAUAUACUGUACUACAUAAUCAUACAGUUGGUAUACAAUGCAUUUGAAGACAAUGGGCAAGAAAAAUGCUAAUUAUCUGGUGCUGGUGACAUGCGUAAGUGUUGUCUGAUGUUUAAAUCAUGCUUGCUAUGUCAUUUUUUGCUGCCAAACAUGGCAUUAGCGAGAAAGGUCAUUUGGGCACUGAAUGUAUUAAAGUAUACACCAUAUAUAAAAAUGUCUAGCCAAAAGAUUUGGGUGUACAACUGUACACCAAUGACCAAGUAUGGAUCCGCCCCUGGUUGUAAGGGGAUGCCCCUCUAUGUUGUAAGGAGAUGCUACUAGGGGCACACUAGAUGUCUUCUUUUUUUGAGAGAGGCACAACCUUUUUCGGUUGAAACACACGAGUAAAAACUUUGAAAACACCAUAGCACAAGUAAAAAAAUAUAUUAAGAAAUGGUGCUUGGUUGAAAUAAACUAGAACCAAACAAUUGCAACUUUCUUGGUUCACAAAGACUGCUCAAAUAAUUAUCUCAAAUAGCUUAUGCAUAAAAAUAUCUCAAAUAAUUAUUAGAUGAGUUAUCUCAAAAAAGGUGACUGCAGGAAACUUAAAAUUUGUGAAAUGAUCUAAAGCCGAAAAGAUAUAUCGAUGAAUUAUCUCAAAUAGCUUAUGCAUAAAAAUAUCUCAAAUAAUUAUUAGAUGAGUUAUCUCAAAAAAGGUGACUGCAGGAAACUUAAAAUUUGUGAAAUGAUCUAAAGCCGAAAAGAUAUAUCGAUGUCAAUGACCGUGUGCACUUUUUUUGCACUCCUUUUAUCAAUGGGCCUGGAUAUGUUCUAUUCGGCCCUGCCUAACUUCUAUAUGGGCCUGGCCUUUUCGGGCAACUAUGGACGAACCUUUUUUUUCCUUUUCUCCCUCUACCACUGAAACUGAAACUGAUGACGAACUGAAGAACUAAAAAACGGGGCCGAAACAGAGUGGAGAGGACAUGCUGAAUUCGUACAACGCAACACUUUUAUUCAAAUAUACAUAUCAUUAGGAUUACAAAUGAUGCCCAAUCUAUUCACUUACGACUAAUUAUCAUCACAUAAACAAAUGCGAGAGCAAUUACACAAACAUAAAAAAGUCCGGCCAUCAGCCCCAUCAAAUUGCCCUGCUUCUGCAAUUUGAUGAGUUUCUUCAUCUGCUUGUUUAGCUUCUUCAGCUCUGCCGUCACUACUGCAUCCCCCACAGUAGCCCCAAUGGAAUGGGCACAUCCAGGGGCCCCAGAUCCAGAAGCGCCCGAUCCAAACUUGCCCAACUUCUCCACCUCCAGCGGUAAAUCGAGCUCCCCUGAUGCACCCUCCAGUUGAAUCCGCUCUAUGUACUCAUUUAGCCACUCAAAAUGGGUGCAUUGCUUCAAUUUCUGAAAUUGGAAAGAUGAACCCUAAAUCCCAAAUCCGAUGAAAAAUGGGGAAAAAUUGUGAUAUGAAAUUGGGAUACAAAAACCAAAAUUGGCAUAUUGAGAAGUAAAAUCUCACCUUUCCCUGCUCUGGUUUGCUCUCGCAUUUCACGAAUUCCCGCCCAAGGUUGCCAUUCUUGUCGGUCGUUGUGACUAGCCGCUUCAGGGGUGUGAUACGUGGGCCUGCAGGGCACCUUGUCAUGGGCACUGCGCCAUAGCGCGGCCAUGAGCGGCGGGAGGCUGAAGCGGAGCUCGACAUUGCUAGGUCGCGGCCCGGAACGGCGUUGCUGCGCGUCGUCGCCGGAGAAGAAGAACAACAACGGUCGGGGAGGGGGGGUGGGGGCGGGGGCGAGGAUGGGCCACGGCUCGGGCCACGGCUCGGUGUCCUCUUGUACCAAUGCUGACCUGGAUAAGUUAGUGGGUCCCACGCAGUGGGUCCCGCUCACCUGACCAAUGCUGAGUUGGAUAAGUUAGUGGGUCCCGCGCUGUGGGUCCCGCUCACCUGAUUCGAGUUUUAAACAUGUGUCUUUGGAUUAGACAGCAGUGUCGCAUGGGAGCUAUUUUUUCCUAUGCAGAUGUCGCAUGAGAGCUAUUACAACCAACAACGUCGCAUGAGAGACAAUACACACCAACGAUGUCGCAUAGGAGCUAUUCGCCCUUUGGAAACAUUGCUAAGUUUCAUUGUUUGAAACUUAGUACGAGCGACCGAUAAAAUUUAAUUAUUUUGUGUCUACGACCAACAGGAGAAAUUGCUUAAAAUUACAUCUUUGAAACUGGUCAUUUUUUGAUGCAAAAAUGUAAGUUUCAUCAUUGAAACUUAAGGGCAUGUCCAAUGCUGGAUGCUUAUCCAGGCGCUUAUCGUGUGGAAAAAAAAAAUGCCACGAAGUUAGCUCUCGCUUGUCCAACAGCCAAUGCUAACAACGGGCGCUAACCACGGCUGGAGCUAUAGAUUAGAAAGAAAGAUCUGGUUCACUUGUACGUGAAAAAAGGAGCAAGCGCUCGAUGCCUUGCUUUGCAUCGAUGCCAGACUGAGGUGCUGGGAAUCGACAAGAUAACCGCCAAUCUACCAGGAUUAAAUUCCUAGCGCCUUCUUCUAGCGCCUCCCACUGAAAAUGCCCUAAAGGUUUUUGAGGGAUUUUUUUACUGUGUCCUACUUCACGUAUCACGAGGCAAAUCAAGUAGGCGGCAUGGCCUGGCCGGUGAGUGCCAUUGCACUUACUUGCCCCAGCGAUUUUCCGCCUGCAUUGUAGAAUUCUUUCUCCGAGUCCUGUGAAUUAAAGAUGGUGCAGACAAAAGUAUAUCCUAUAUGCGUACAUGUGCAUGAUCAGAACAUGUUUUUACGUGCGUCUACUAUAAAUCAUGACCAUUUUUAACACAAAUCAUGACCAUUCAUGAUUAGUGAAUCAUACUGUCUUAACUUAUGUGAAAUCAUGUGGAGUAAUAUAAUAUAAUAUAAUAGAUAGAUAGAUCCAUGUUGUAUCAUUACACAUUUUGAUUUAUGCAUUUGUUUACAAAAAAAACAGUAAAAUUUCAUGGUGAAAAGUUUGUAUUGUUUCAUACUGAACACCAAUGUUUUCCCGUAAAAGAAAAUAAUGCCUACGCAUAUGCUUUUAUAUUAUUAUUAUUCUUUCAAACUUAUUCAUAUAGUAUUUUUGAUUGUGCAACCAUAAUUUUUAUUAUCUCUCUUGUUCCACUACAUGCUCUUACUCAAUGAUUUUUUUAUAAUGGGUGUUUUUAUUAACUCAAAAUAUAGCAUCAAGCGGAUACAAAACAUAACGAGCCACGUCCGGUCUCUGCAUAACUAAGAUGCACACAGCCAAAAGCAGAAGUCUGACAAAAAUAAGAUAAGAAAAUCAACAUAUCGACAACAGUGAGUCAUAUAGUUCCGACACUAUGCCUCUGUUGAAGGACGGGGUGGAGCGAUCUGGAGAUUAUGCUUCCCUCCAUUUUGAGUAAAUACCUCCCUGGCCACUUGUUCCAACCGCAUAGACGCCGCCACGAAUAAUGGUUGGUACUCUGUUCGGUGUAGCAUACACCAUGUAGGAAGUGAGUGCUCACUCCUAGUUACUAAAUUAUGUACACACUAGUAGAAAAAGGGCCAUUUGUCCCGGUUCGUAAGGCCCAUUUGUCUCAGUUAGGGAACCGGGACUAAAGGGUCGGUACUAAAGCCCUACACCUUUAGUCCCGGUUCUUACACCAACCGAGACAGAUGGGGCUCCACGUGGCCGCUGCGGCUUGCCAUGGCAGGGGGGCCUUUUGUCCCGGUUGGUAGCACCAACCGGGACCAAUAAGCUACCACGCGUCAGCAUUUGAGGGGCUUGGGUUUUUGUUUUUUUCUGAAGGGGGGGAGGGGGGUUGGGGGUUUUGGGGGGUUUUGUAUGGUUAAUUUUGGGGGGUUUCAUAUAUAGUGUUAGGUAGUAAUUAAUUAAUAGAGAGAAGUGUCCUCUCUUAUCUCCGUGCUUGGUCGACGCUACGUACUAUACGUAUAGAGAGGCCCUCGACACGCUUGCCAGUAAGCAAAUGAAGGAAACCAUUAAGUACAGAAGUUCGUCAUGAACAUAUGCAUACAAACAUAAGUGAUAUCGACCUCUCCUUCUCCGAGAGAUAGGUCGAAGAACAAGUUUCCGUAUAUCUAUCCGGCGCUACUAGCUACAUAUAUACAAUAUUAAGAUCUCUUACAAUAUAAUCCCCUAAUUAUAUAUGAACUCAGCUUCCAGAUGGUAUUCUCCGGCUUUAUUGAUGACGUGGUCAAGAAAGAAUCCCUCCAAUUCCUCUUGAAUUGCUUUGAUGCGAUCUUGUGGUAGGAGUUCAUCCUGCAUCUGCCACAUCUAAUUUGAAGAAGGGGGUCAAUCACUAGUGGAAUAACAGCCAUUUGUCUAGGUUCGUAAGGCUCAUUUGUCCCGGUUGGGGAACCGAGACUAAAGGGUCGUUACUAAAGCCCUACACCUUUAGUCCCGGUUGUCGGUGUCAAAACCGGCGGAUCUCGGGUAGUGGGUCCUGAAUUGUGCGUCUAGGCCGGAUGGUAACAGGAGGCAGGGAACACGAUGUUUUACCCAGGUUCGGGCCCUCUUGAUGGAGGUAAAACCCUACGUCCUGCUUGAUUAAUAUUGAUGAUAUGGGUAGUACAAGAGUAGAUCUACCACGAGAUCAAGGAGGCUAAACCCUAGAAGCUAGCCUAUGGCAUGAUUGUUGUGUAUGGAGUUGAUUGCCUACGGACUACAACCCUCCGGUUUAUAUAGACACCGGAUAGGGUUAGGGUUACAUAGAGUCGUUUACAAUGGUAGGAGAUCUUGAAUAUCCGCAUCACCAAUCUUGCCUUCCACGCCAAGGAAAGUCCCAUCCGGACACAGGACGAAGUCUUAAAUCUUGUAUCUUCAUAGUCCAGGAGUCCGGCUGGACGUAUAGUCCGGCUACCCGAACACCCCCUAAUCCAGGACUCCCUCACCGGUUCUUACACCAACUGGGAGAGAUGGGCCUCCACGUGGCCGCUGCGGCGAGCCCAGGUAGGAGGUCCUUUGGUCCCCGUUAGUGACACUAAUACGUCUCCAACGUAUCUAUAAUUUUUGAUUGCUCCAUGCUAUUAUGUUAUCCAUUUUGGAUGUUAAUGGGCUUUAUUUUACACCUUUAUAUCAUUUUUGGGACUAACCUACUAAUCGGAGGCCUAGCCCAAAUUGCUAUUUUUUGCCUAUUUUAGGUUUUUGAAGAAGAGGAAUAUCAAACGGAGUCCAAACGGAAUGAAACCUUCGGGAACGUGAUUUUCUCAACGAACAUGAUCCAGGAGACUUGGAGUGUGCGCCAAGAAAUAAGGGAGGAAGGCACGAGGCAGGGGGGCGCGCCUACCCCCCUUGAGCAUGCCCUCCACCCUCGUGGGCCCUCCACUGCUCCACCGACGUACUUCUUCCUCCUAUAUAUAUCCACGUACCCCCCAAACAACCAGGAGCACCACGAAAACCUAAUUCCACCACCGCAACCUUCUGUACCCGAGAGAUCCCAUCUUGGGGCCUUUUCCGGAGGGGGCAUCGAUCACGGAGGGCCUCUACAUCAACUGCAUGGCCUCUCCGAUGAUGUGUAAGUAGUUUACUUCAGACCUACGGGUCCAUAGUUAUUAGCUAGAUGGCUUCUUCUCUCUCUCUUUGGAUCUUAAUACAAAGUUCUGCUCGAUUUUCUUGGAGAUCUAUUCGAUGUAAUCUUCUUUUGUGGUGUGUUUGUCGAGAUCCGAUGAAUUGUAGGUUUAUGAUCCAGAUUAUCUAUGGACAAUAUUUGAUUCUCCUCUGAAUUCUUUUAUGUAUGAUUCGUUUAUCUUUGCAAGUCUCUUCGAAUUAUCAGUUUGGUUUGGCCUACUAAAUUGAUCUUUCUUGCAAUGGGAGAAGUGCUUAGCUUUGGGUUCAAUCUUGCGGUGUUCGAUCCCAGUGACUGAAAGGGAAGCGAUAUGUAUUGUAUUGUUGCCAUCGAGGAUAAAAAGAUGGGGUUUAUAUCAUAUUGCAUGAGUUUAUCCCUCUACAUCAUGUCAUCUUCCUUAAAGCAUUACUCUGUUCUCUUGAACUUAAUACUCAAGAUGCAUGCUGGAUAGCGGUCGAUGUGUGGAGUAAUAGUAGUAGAUGCAGAAUCGUUUCGGUCUACUUGUCUGGGACCUGAUGCCUAUAUACAUGAGCAUACCUAUAUAUUCUCAUAACUAUGCUCAAUUCUAUCAAUUGCUCGACAGCAAUUCGUUUACCCACCGUAAUACUUAUGCUCUUGAGAGAAGCCACUACUGAAACCUAUGGCCUCGGGGUCUAUCUUCUAUCAUAUUAAUCCUCCAAUACUUAGUUAUUUAUAUUUCUAUCUAUUUUACUUUCCAUCUUUUAUUUCUCUUUAUCAUAAAAAUACCAAAAAUCUUAUCUUAUCAUAUCUAUCAGAUCUCACUGUUGUAAGUGACCGUGAAGGGAUUGACAACCCCUUUAUCGCGUUGGUUGCGAUGUUCUUAUUUGUUUGUGUAGGUUCGUGGGACUUGAGCGUGAUCUCCUACUGGAUUGAUACCUUGGUUCUCAAAAACUAAGGGAAAUACUUACGCUAAUUUACUUCAUCACUCUUUCCUCUUCAAGGGAAAACCAACGCAAUGCUCAAGAGGUAGUGUCGGUGUCAAAACCGGCGGAUCUCGGGUAGUGGGUCCCGAACUGUGCGUCUAGGCCGGAUGGUAACAGGUGGCAGGGAACACGAUGUUUUACCCAGGUUCGGGCCCUCUUCAUGGAGGUAAAACCCUACGUCCUACUUGAUUAAUAUUGAUGAUAUGGGUAGUACAAGGGUAGAUCUACCACAAGAUCAAGGAGGCUAAACCCUAGAAGCUAGCCUAUGGUAUGAUUGUUGUAUAUGGAGUUGAUUGCCUACGGACUACAACCCUCCGGUUUAUAUAGACACCGGAUAGGGUUAGGGUUACAUAGAGUCGGUUACAAUGGUAGGAGAUCUUGAAUAUCCGCAUCGCCAAGCUUGCCUUCCACACCAAGGAAAGUCCCGUCCGGACACGGAACGAAGUCUUCAAUCUUGUAUCUUCAGAGCCCAGGAGUCCGGCUGAAGGUAUAGUCCGGCUAUCCGAACACCCCCUAAUCCAGGACUCCCUCAGUAGCCCCUGAACCAGGCUUCAAUGACGACGAGUCCAGCGCGCAAAUUGUCUUCGGCAUUGCAAGGCGGGUUCCUCCUCCAAGUCCUUCAUAGAAGAUUGUAAGCACCAAGAGUAGUGUCCGGCUCUGCAAAAUAAGCUUCCACAUAUCGCCAUAGAGAGAAUAAUAUUAACACAAAUCAAAUCUGCUGACGUAUUCCGCAGUGCGUCAUCACACUACAGCCAAGUCCUUCACUCGAAUCGUUUUCACUUUUCCACCUCAGCGUGUUUUGCGAGGCGGUUUCCUUGGCACGUCUUGUCAAAGCAGAGAUCGUGUCCCCCUUGUUUACGGGAUUCUCGUUAAUACGGACGUGGGUAACCCAACCGCGCCACUUAUCACGGCGCUUGGGAGGCAAGCGAGUUUUACUAGGCUGGUGGGGACGCAUAGUCGCAUCCGCCCAUAUAAGGGGAUAAGGAUCCACCUUUUUACCUACGCCUUCUUCCUCCUUUGCCUAGCCAUCUUCUGCGCACCCGAGCUCUAGCGCCCCAGCCCGCGCUUCCUACCUCAACCCUCUCCAACAAUGUUCGGAGCGGGAGGCAAGUGGAUGGUCUCCUCCGUCACGGAGGGCCAUGUCAAAAGGUUAAGGAAGGCCGGAUACUUGUCCAAAGACAUCGCGCACCGGCUUCCUGAGGAGGGGCAGCUUCUCCCCACCCCAAGGCCCCAUGAGAGGGUAGUAUUUCUUCCCCACUGCCUCCGCGGACUGGGUUUUCCUCUCCACCCAUUUGUCCGCGGGCUCAUGUUCUACUAUGGCCUAGAUUUCCACGAUCUGGCCCCGUACUUCAUCCUCAAUAUCUCGGCGUUUAUCAUCGUGUGCGAGGCUUUCCUCUGCAUUCGCCCCCAUUUCGGCCUCUGGCUCACGACCUUCAACGUCAAGCCAAAGGUGGUGCGCGGUAACCAGGCGGAGUGCGGAGGUGCCAUGGCGGGCAAAAUUGCCAACGUCCUAUGGCUCGAGGGCUCCUUUGUGGAGACCUUGAAGGGGUGGCAGUCAGGGUGGUUUUACAUCACCGAGCCACGCGAUCCGAAGUGGAUCGCAGCCCCUGAAUUCCGAUCCGGACCCCCUACGCGGCUCAUGUCCUGGAAGGAGACGAGCUUGUCGUGGGGCGACGAAGGAGAGUUGACCAGACUGCAAAAAUGCAUCCAGUCCCUGGUGAACAAGCAGCUCAAGCUUGUCAACGUAAUCUAGGUCAUGCUCGUCCGCCGGAUUCUUCCGUGUCAAGAACGGGACUUCAAUUUGUGGGAGUUCAACCCGGCGCAACACCGAACUCUGAGAAGGCUCUUCAACACGACGUACGAAGAUGUCUGGAGGGGGCUAACCAAAGGCGCCGAGACUCCCACAUCCGCCUCCGAAGACCGCGGAUUCAGCUCGCAGCGUCCUGCUGGCGAGGUAAGAUAUUUCCAUCUUUUACAGGAUGUUAAGCUUUUUCAUAGUUGACUCUAUGCGGGAUCAAAACUCCCUCACCUUUGACAGGAUUGGCGGGAGAAGUCCGGACAGAUUAAAUGCCCGGCUCCCUUGCCCGAAGACCUAGCCCCUGCUCUCCUAGAGAAGCUGCUGGUUUCGGCACCUUAUGUGGUGCCGGAGAAGAGGGCCAAGAAGAAGAAGGCCACGGGGACUCGAAAGAGUUCCUGGCAUAUGGUGGUGUCGGACUCGUCGUCCGACCAGUCCGAGACGCACUCCUCCCGUGAAGACGAGGAGGAAGAGUGUCGGACUCGUCGUCCGACGAGUCCGAGACGCACUCCUCCCGUGAAGAGGAGUGGCCGGACUACGUCCCCGACGCCGACGAGGACGAAGAGGAGUGGCCAGACAGGGCCAAGCAUCCGGCGAGAUCGUAAGUGUUCGGAUACCAGAGUAACUCGUGAUAUUCCUUUUGUUGCACAGCUUUCCCUAAUGUCGGAUAUAAUCAUGCAGUCCGCCCAAGGAUGGGCUCGACGAGUCGUCGAGCGGCUCCCUGGAUUCAUCGGACGUGAAUUCAGUUCCGCCUACUGCUUCCCCCUGUGCUGCAGAUGACGCCGAAGUGGCGUCGCGACAAGCUCCGGGACGAGAGGAGGUGGUCCAGGAGGAGUCGCGAGGUGACCUCCCGGACUCCAGGAGUGAAGGGGACAAGACCCCCCUGGGAUCCAAGUUCGGCUUUAAGCCGGACACUGAGAUGGAAUCAUCAACAGUUCCGGACUGCGGUAGGCGAACUCCUACCAGGAGGAGCAAGCCUACUGAGCCGGCAUCCUCCGUCCAGCCGGAGGCGCCGGACAAUCUGCUGGAGGAGCUUAAGGGCGCCUCCACCGACGAGGAGCACCGUGCCGUCAUGAGUACGGUGAUCCAGAAGGUUCGGUCCGCCAAAAGCGGACUGACUGAAGCUUGUGCUGGCCUUCUAACAGGCUUCGAGGUAAGUAAAAAUAUGUAAAAAUAUUACCGUAUAGACAGUAGCCCCUGAUGCUCUGUUUGGCGUUUGUAAAGAAAAGCCAAAUAGAGGAUCUAUUAAAUAUCGCAGGAGUCUAACUAAAAAGGAGUCAAUAUAUGUAUGCAGGCUUCGCUGCUGGCCACCGCCGCACUGACUGCGGAGGUGGGUGCCCUGAAGGAGGGCCUCCAGCGGACCGAGCAAGAGCUCGGCCUUGCCAAACGGCAGCUCGAGGAAAAAGAAUGUAAGAGAUACCUUACAGAAAAAGUGCCUAUAAAAAGGCUUGAUUGCAAAAAGAGUAGCAGGAUUGUACUGCUUAUUGUAGGGGCCACGACUGAGGUGGCGACCUUUAAGCAGGUGUUGUCUGAGGCCGAAAAGAAAACGGCCGCGGAGCGCACCGAGCGAGACAGACUUGGGGCUCAGGUCAGCGAGGUGCAGCAAGAGCUUCAGGCUCUCAUGAAAAAACAUGAGAGUUUGAAGCUGGAGUCGAAGGCGCAAGCAUCCGAGCUUGCAACGGCCCUAGAGGCUGCCAAGUCUACCAAGGCCGAUGCCCUAAAGACCCUCCAAGAGUUGGAGGAGAUGAGGAAGAUAGCAACGGGUAAGGCAUUCUUUAUGCAAAGCAGAAAUAUAAAAGUGAACUACCUGUUACUUACCCGAAUCCGAAGCUCUCCAGGGGCAUUCGCAGAUCUUCCCUGCAGCGUAUCCGAUGCCGCCGCAUUAUACCAAGCUGAAGAGGGUAGCUCGACGGAGAAGGUGUUCUGGUUUCAGUAUUCUGAGGCCGGACACCCUGUGCCCUUGAGCAACCAGCUGAAACAGCUGGUUGAGCUCCACAAGGCGGCCAAGCAGGCCAUGAAGGGCUUCAUAGUUCGGCUGUGGCCUGGAGAGGCCCUACCUGGGAGCUAUCUCGGGCUGGUGCGGCGGCUGGUGGAGGCCUGUCCGAGGCUUGAGGUCAUCAAGUGCUCCGUCUGCAUCGAUGGUGCCCGUCGGGCCCUUGCCCGUGCAAAGGUGCACUGGGGUAAGCUGGACGGUGAGAAGCUUGUGAAGGACGGGCUGCCGCCGGGGAAGGAGCAUCGCAAGCCCGAGAACUACUACAAGGAUGUUCUUGCAGGUGCCCGCCUUAUGGCGGAUCAAUGUACCAAGGAUGUGAUAUUUGAAUGAACUCGCUCGUGUUUAUCUUGUGCGCUGAAAACUUGUUCAUAUGUGCUAAGCAAUGCUUAUUGAAUUUAAAAUAUUACUUUCUGUGCGGCCAUUUAUCAAAAAUUGAGAGAUGGCCAGUCGUCGGCUUCUGCCCCCGUGCCACUAGUGCUGGGGUGUUCGGGAUAAACCUGAGCGCUCUUUUUCCCAUAGUUGGGUCCUUCGAGGGAGGCGCUCAGCACAACGAACCAGGCAAUCGGACUAUAAUGCUUGAACACUCUCACUUAGCCAUAGAGCUCUAUAAUUUUAAAUUUCGGUGAAGCCCGUAGUUCGGAAGACCGAGUUCGGGGCGCUAUCCACGCCUUGGCCGGACAAAGCCGGCUCCUCGCUCGAAGCGGCAUAAGCCUUUAGGGACUCGAAAAACCUCUCGAACAGCGAUCGGUCUCUCGCCACAUCAUGACAGUCAGUUUUAGCUUUCUCCACUCAGGUGCUUAACCCAGGUGAACCGGGGCACAAUCGCAGUGGUUCUCCUAGUGCUACCUUAGCCGAUAGAGCGGAACGUAAGGCACCAAAACAUAGGAGCCACGCAAACCCAACUAUUGACCCAAAUCAUGAUUCGGAGCCGAUGCAUAUAGUGCUAUAAGUUCGGGGUGCCGCACUUGUGAAAGUGUACGGACUUCUCACACCAUUAUGAGCGGUACUGAAGCCCCUGGCAUGUUUGCCAUACCAUGGUGUACGGGUGCAAUCAUGUCAUUUAAUAAACAUAAAUGUGAAAAGAAGAUAAUGCAAAAAAUAGACUAGAAGCUAAGCAUUGUUUAUAGAGAGGCUAUUUAUCAAAGCCGAACGAUACAAAUAGUGCGGUAAGCAAAAGAUAUUGGACUAUUCAGUAUGUCCUGACCAGGGGCAGGCCGCGGAAUUGUAUUUAAAACAGGUAUACCGCUCGUAACAGAGACCACCUGGGAGUUCCAUAAUGCGUCAUGGCUUGUCUGCCUCCCUGGAUCUUGCAUCGUUUGUGCGGCAGUCGAAUUGCCGAACAGGUCGUCCGAAGUAUGGAGUCCUGAAAGAAGAAAAAAUUAAAAAAAGAAUCCGGCAGCCCCUAGUACGUAUUAAGCCGUAUUUUGGGCGUGUUGUUAUUGUGCCCCUUCCCCUGUGCCCAUGGUAUUUCAAGGGCGUAGUUAUGUACGUGAGGUACUGGUUUCGCUAUGUUGCGAAAGCUGGGGUUGGGGCCGCAUUGCUACGCUUGCUUAGAGUGUGCCAGGCAGUGUCUGGCUUUUUAAUGGCCGGACUGGAGAAUUGCCUGAGAAGGCUACUUUGUACCUCCGCUGCGAGAGCCGCCGUAUGCUCCUCCAUAUGGAGGGAGCGUUCGGUGUUUCCGUUGAACGUAAUUACUCCUUGAGGGCCUGGCAUCUUGAGCUUGAGAUAUGCGUAGUGCAGCACCGUGUUGAUCUUUGCGAAUGCGGUUCGUCCGAGCAGGGCAUGAUAGCCACUGCGAAACGGUACUAUAUCGAAGAUUAACUCUUCGCUUCGGAAAUUGUCCGGGGAUCGGAAGACCACAUCAAGUGUUACUGAGCAUGUACUGUUGGCUUCUACACCUGGUAUAACGCCUUUAAAGGUCGUUCUUGUGGGCUUAAUCCUUGAGGGAUCUAUGCCCAUUUUCUGCACUGUAUCCUGAUAAAGCAGGUUCAGGCUACUGCCGCCGUCCAUGAGGACUCUUGUGAGAUGAAAUCCGUCGAUGAUCGGGUCGAGAACCAAUGCGGCGAAGCCGCCAUGACGGAUGCUAGUGGGAUGGUCCCUUCGAUCGAAAGUGAUCGGGCAGGAGGGCCAUGGGUUGAACUUUGGGGCGACUGGCUCCAUCGCAUAUACGUCCCGUAGCGCAUGCUUCCGCUCCCGCAUGGGAAUGUGGGUUGCGUAUAUCAUGUUCACCGUCCACACUUGUGGGGGAAAGCCCUUCUGUCCAUUGUUGUUCGGCGGCUUGGGCUCCUCGUCGUCGCUGUGCAGCCCCUUGUCUCUGUUUUCGGCCCUUAACUUGCCUGCCUGCUUGAACACCCAACAAUCCCUGUUAGUGUGAUUGGCUAGCCUUUCGGGGGUGCCAUGUAUCUGGCACAAGCGAUCGAGUAUUCGGUCCAAACUGGACGGGCCCUGAGUAUUCUUUUUGAAUGGCAUUUUCCGCUGACCGGAUUUAUAGCCUUUGAAUCCGGCAUUGACUGCCGUGUCUUCAUUGCUGUCGCUGCUAACGCGGCGUUUUUGCUUAUUCCGAUGUGUCCUACCACUUUUGUCCUUGGUAUCCGAAUUACCAGGGUGCUUUGAUAAGUUGUUACUGCGAGCUAGCCAGCUGUCUUCUCCCGCGCAAAAGCGGGUCAUGAGUGUCGUGAGGGCUGCCAUGGAUUUCGGCUUUUCCUGUCCCAGGUGCCAGGCAAGCCACUCGUCGCAGAUGUUGUGCUUCAAGGCUGCCAGGGCCUCUGCGUCCGGACAGUCGACUAUCUGGUUUUUCUUUGUUAGGAACCGUGUCCAAAAUUGUCUGGCCGAUUCCUCUGGCUGCUGAAUUAUGUGGCUUAAGUCGUCGGCAUCCGGUGGUCACACGUAAGUGCCCUGGAAGUUGUCGAGGAAUGCGGCUUCCAGGUCCUCCCAAGAACCGAUUGAGUCUGCUGGCAAGCUGUUAAGCCAAUGCCGGGCCGGUCCUUUAAGUUUGAGCGGGAGGUAUUUGAUGGCGUGUAGAUCAUCGCCGCGUGCCAUGUGGAUGUGAAGGAGACAAUCCUCGAUCCAUACCGCCGGAUCUGUUGUGCCAUCGUAUGAUUCGAUGUUUAUGGGUUUGUAGCCCUCUGGGAUUUUAUGAUCCAUUACUUCAUUCGUGAAGCAUAGCGGGUGUGUGGCGCCUCUGUAUUGGGCUAUAUCACGACGUAGCUCGGAAGAGCUAUGUCUGUUGUGUUCGGCCCGGCCGGAUUUGUUGUAUCCAGAGUGAAGAUCAUUUUCCCGUGCCUUAGUUGAGAGGUGUCGGGGCAUGGCUUGGGUGGAGGGCCGAGACGCCUCUCUGUCGCGGCCGCGAGGUGGCCGGUCUGCCAUGUCAUGCGCUGGUGAUGUAGGUGCUUCCUCCUCUGAUCGGGGUAGCGGCCUAUGCUUCGGGUAACUCUUGGAGGGGCGUUCGAGUUCAUACUCUUCGGCCGCAAGGACUUCAGUCCAUCUGUCAGCUAGCAAAUCUUGGGCAGCUCUAAGUUGUUGCUGCUUUUUCUUGAGGCUGCUUGCCAUGGCUAAAAGCCUGCGUUUAAAAAGCUCUUGUUCGGCGGGGUCUGAUGGUAUGACGAAUUCGUCGUCAUUGAGGCUUGCCUCGUCUUCGGAGGGAGGCGUAUAGUUAUCAUCCUCGACCUUUCCGUCUGCCGCUCUCUCAUCAGGGCUGGCUUCUCCAUCUUCCUGUGCCGAAUCUUGCUGAGGUGGGUGUUCUUCGGCGCUAUCCGGGGUAGUAUUAUCUCUCAUGUCGGAAUCACCGUUUUUGCUUUGGCGGGAUUUAGAGCGGCGCCGCUGGUGCCGGCGCUUUGGCUGUUUCUUGGGGGCGUCAUCCCCCACUGUUCCAUCGCCAUCUCCAUCUUUUGGAGUAUCCACCAUAUAUAUGUCAUAUGAUAAGGUGGCCUUCCAGCGCCCUACAGGUGCUGGUUCCUGUUCGUCUCCUACAUUGUCGUCCAUGCCGUCGAUGUCUUUGGAGCUGAAGUCAACCAUGUAGGUUAGACCGUCGAUAAUGGCUACAAAGUGGGUGGUGGGUGGGCUUUGAAUUUCCUCAUCGUAUGUAUCCCACCCUCGCUGACCGUAGUCCGGCCAGGGCUCUCCUGAUAAAGAGAGAGACUUAAGAGAAUUCAGGAUGUCGCCAAAAGGCGAAUGCUGAAAGAUGUCUGUAGCGGUGAACUCCAUUAUCGGCACCCAAUCGGAUUCGAUUGGCAGGGGCGCGGGGGGUUCGGAGUCCGGGGAGGAGUCCGGAUCCUCGGAGUCACGGGUCGUGCAGAGUGCGGGGCUAGCGUUCGGCUCGAUCGCUUUCGGGAUCGCAGCCCCCGAGGUGACGUCCAACCGCUCAUCCUCGAUUGGCGCAAUAGGUUCCGAGUUAGGGGUCGGAACCGAUGCGUGUGCGGCCUCCAGGACACUGGCCGGGGGCAGAGCUAGAUCAUGCCCCUCGGGAUAGUGCGGCGUGCUUGGCCGUGGCUCGAGCCCGUCGAAGAUCAAGUCUCCGUGGAUGUCAGCCGUGUAGUUUAAGCUUCCAAACCUGACUUGAUGGCCAGGGGCGUAGCUUUCGAUCUGCUACAGGUGGCCGAGCGAAUUGGCUCAUAGAGCGAUGCCGCCGAAGACGAAGAUCUGUCCGGGGAGAAAAGUCUCACCCUGGACCGCAUCGUUGUUGAUGAUCAAAGGAGCCAUCGGGCCUAAAGGCGACGAGACAGAGGAACUCUCAAUGAAAGCACCAAUGUCAGUGUCAAAACCGGUGGAUCUCGAGUAGUGGGUCCCGAACUGUGCGUCUAGGCCGGAUGGUAAUAGGAGGCAGGGAACACGAUGUUUUAUCCAGGUUCGGGCCCUCUUGAUGGAGGUAAAACCCUACGUCCUGCUUGAUUAAUAUUGAUGAUAUGGGUAGUACAAGAGUAGAUCUACCACGAGAUCAAGGAGGCUAAACCCUAGAAGCUAGCCUAUGGUAUGAUUGUUGUAUAUGGAGUUGAUUGCCUACGGACAACAACCCUCCGGUUUAUAUAGACACCGGAUAGGGUUAGGGUUACAUAGAGUCGGUUACAAUGGUAGGAUAUCUUGAAUAUCCACAUCGCCAAGCUUGCCUUCCACGCCAAGGAAAGUCCCGUCCGGACACGGGAUGAAGUCUUCAAUCUUGUAUCUUCAUAGCCCAGGAGUCCGGCUGAAGGUAUAGUCCGGCUACCUGAACACCCCCUAAUCCAGGACUCCCUCAGGUAGCAAGAUGGAUUUCUGGCGCCAUUGCCGGGGAGAUUCGCGCCAAGUCAAGACAUACCAAGUACCCAUCACAAACCCUUAUCCCUCGCAUUACAUUAUUUUCCAUUUGCCUCUUGUUUUCCUCUCCCCCACUUCACCCUUGCCAUUUUAUGCGCCCUCUCUUUUUCCGUUCCCCUCUUUUCCACUUGCUUUGUCGUUAUGGCUAGUCCUUUAUCUACUCCUUUGUCUCCCGAGAAUGAAGUUCUUAAUUUUAAACAAAGGGAGGGAGAAAAUCUAAAAGAUGCUUGGUACAGAAUUUGCAACACACAAAUUAGAUCUACUAGGAAACAAUCUACUUUUGUUCUUCUUCACGAUUUUUAUGUAGGCAUCACACCUUGGAAUAGAUAUAUUCUUGAUGCCAUUACCGGAGGGAAUUUCUUGGGUAGCCAUACUUUUGAUUCUUAUAAUGCUAUGAUAGAUCUGUUUGGCCCACCACCUCUUUUGGUUAAUGGAACUAUUUUAACUUUGGAACAUGUGAUGCAAUGGCUUGAAAUUAGUGAAAAUAAAGUUGCCACCAUAGAGUUAAUUGAAAAUUUGGAUAGAAAGAUCCAUAACCAAAUUACCCAAUACGGAUCUAAGUUAGGAGUUGCUCUUAAAAGUUUUAAAGAAAAGGGACCUAUGGUUAAUGAAAAGAUAGAAAAGGAUUCCACUAGAAUUGAUAAAAUUGAGGAUAUUAUUACCAACCUUGGGUCUUCCUUUUCUUCUAUUAUAAAUACUCCGCCUAAUGCUAAGAUUGCCAAACUAAUGUAUGUUACAAAAAAUAAGGGUGAAACUUCUAAUAAGGAAAAUGCGGAUCUCAAAUCCAUAAGUGUUCACCCCAAUUUUCUCACUAUCCUUAAGGAACCUUUUGCUACAAAUGAUUUUCUUGAUUUCAUACCUAGGAGUUUGAUAAUUAAUAAAAACAAAGAAACUCCUAAAAGUUAUUGGUGUGUUAUUGAAGAAUCACCUUCCAAAGACGGCAAUACCUAGGUCUAUCUUCGCUUUUAUGCCUAGCUAGGGGCGUUAAACGAUAGCGCUUGUUGGGAGGCAACCCAGUUUUACUUUUAUUCCUUGAUGUUUGCUCCUAUUUAGUAAUAAAUAAUUUAUGUAGCCUAUGUUUUGGUUGUGUUUUUUGUGUUUAAUUUGUGUUUGUGCCAUGUAGAACCAUUGGGUAGACUUGGGGAAAGUCUUUUUGAUCUUGCUGUAAAAAACAGAAACGUUAGCGCUCACGAGAAUCGCUGACAUUUUUAUUUGGAAAGUGAUAUUUAGAUAAUUCUUUUUGCGGAUGAUUAAUAGAUAAAUUCCUCACGUCCAGCAAUUUAUUUUAUAAUUUUUGGGGUUACAGAAGUUCGCGUUAGGUACAGAUUACUACAGACUGUUCUGUUUUUGACAGAUUCUGUUUUUCGUGUAUUGUUUGCUUAUUUUGAUGAAUCUAUGGCUAGUCAAAGAGGUUAUAAACCGUAGAGAAGUUGGAAUACAGUAGGUUUAACACCAAUAUAAAUCAAGAUUGAGUUCAUAACAGUACCUUGAAGUGGUGUUUUGUUUUCUUUCGCUAACGGAGCUCACGAGAUUUUCUGUUUGAGUUUUUUGUUGUGAAGUUUUCAAGUUUUGGGUAAAGAUUUGAUGGAUUAUGGAACAAGGAGUGGCAAGAGCCUAAGCUUGGGGAUUCCCAUGGCACACCAAGGUAAAAUUAAAGGACACCAAAAAGCCUAAGCUUGGGGAUGCCCCGAAAGGCAUCCCCUCUUUCGUCUUCGUCUAUUGGUAACUUUACUUGGAGCUAUAUUUUUAUUCACCACAUGAUAUGUGUUUUGCUUGGAGCGUCUUGUAUGAUUUGAUUAUUUGAUUUUUAGUUUACCAAAAUCAUCCUUGCUGUACACACCUUUUGAGAGAGACUCACAUGAUUGGGAAUUUAUGAGAAUACUCUAUGUGCUUCACUUAUAUCUUUUGAGCUAUAUGGUUUUUGUUCUAGUUCUUCGCUUAUAUAUUUUAGAGAAUGGCGGUGGUUUUAUUUUAUAGAAAUAAUUGUUCUCUCAUGCUUCACUUAUAUUAUUUUGAUAGUCCUUUAGAACAACAUGGCAAUAAUAAAACUGUCAUACAAGUGCAUUGAAUACUAUGAGAAGUUUGAUACUUGAUAAUUGUUUUGAGAUAUGGAGAUGGUGAUAUUAGAGUCAUGCUAGUUGUGUAGUUGUGAAUUUGAGAAAUACUUGUGUUGAAGUUUGUGAUUCCCGUAGCAUGCACGUAUGGUGAACCGUUAUGUGACGAAGUCAGAUCAUGAUUUAUUUGUUGAUUGUCUUCCUUAUGAGUGGCGGUCGGGGAUGAGCAAUGGUCUUUUACUACCAAUCUAUCUCCCUAGGAGCAUGGGCAUAAUACUUUGCUUUGAUAACUUAUAGAUUUUUGCAAUAAGUAUGUGAGUUCUUUCUGAGCAAUGUUGAGUCCAUGGAUCAUACGCACUCUCACCCUUCCACCAUUGCUAGCCUCUCUAAUACCGUGCACUUCUCGCCGAUAUCAUACACCCACCAUAUACCAUCCUCAAAACAGCCACCAUACCUACCUAUUAUCACUAGUGCAGAACCGGGCAAUAGCACCGGUUCGUAAGGCCCUUUAGUGCCGGUUUAGGAACCGGCACUAUUAUUUCGGCACUAAACCCCCCCCCCUUUAGUACCGGUUCAGCACGAACCGGUGCUAAAGGGGUACCACGUGGCACGAGCCAGCUCCGGGGGCCGGGAGCCCUUUAGUACCGGUUGGUAAAACCAACCGGUACUAAAUGGUUGUGGGUUUUUGUUUUAUUUUGUAUUUUUCAAUUAAAUUUGUGUUAUCAAUUUAAAUUAGGAUUGUUUUACGUUAUAAUGAGUUGUAGUCGUCAUCAUCAUCAUCAUCAUCGCAUAUUAAUAAAUAAAUAAACUCUAGCUAGCUAAAAAUCAUCGUGGUCGUCUAAUUACCACUAUUUAAUCAUCAUAGUCAUUACCGCUAGCUAUGUAAUCAUCAUCAACGUUGGCUAGCUUAAAGAGGAAACAUUCACUUUGUAACAGAAGCAAAGAGAUAUCAUCAAGUUCAACAUAAUCAUCACCAACAUCGAAGUUCAGGACACGGAUCCAUGAGACGAGUACUAAUUAAGAGCAUGAAGUAGUAGCUACUGAUCCUGCUUCUCCCUCUCAGGUAGAAUAGCACAGAACAUGUAUAGCUCUCCUGAUUCAUCAUACUGAAGCAUGCAGAUGAAUCUGUCUCCUAAUCUUGGGUUGCGCUUCUCCUUACUGCCCCCUAGUACUUCUCUGCGAUCGUUAACAAUUUUGCUCCAAUCUUUCACUAUUAAGCAUUCUUCGCUUUUAGAAAUCCUGAAUGCACUCAUGUGCAAUGUAGGAAAUCUUGGUCGUAAGCUAACCAUUGACAUGCGACCUUUUGUCUCGAUCCACUAAGGCACAACUGUCAUCGGAAGUCCCUGUUGAACAACAUCGUAUAGUAAUUAAUAUACUAAGCAAUGAAAGUUUAGCUUUAAAAAUAAUGUACGCAAAAGAUGCACUAAUUAAGGACAAAUAUUUAAAAUCUUACCAUCUUUUGAUUAUAGAUGUGACCGUAGUUCAAGGCGAUCACCAUUGGUCGCACGUUUUGAGUACUAACAUUUCUAAGUUUAGAAAAAAAAUUGUCUUGACAGUAUUAAGAUCCUCAAGCCAUGAAACACAAUGACUUAUUUCCUCGCAGUUUAGUUGAGCCCCGAGGUAGUAGUAGGUCCUGUCUACCAAGCGCCGGACAUGUUUGCUUGAACCGAAAUAAGCUGACAAUACACAUCAGUUGUCAACUAUUUUUGAAUAAACUGUACGAAAGACAUAAACGUAUAUAUGCAUGCAUGGUUGAGAAAAACUCACCAAAUGGUAGAACUGGAGGCGUUUGCACAUCGACCCAGAUGUCUAUAUUACCUUCAAUAUCAUCUUCCGGACGAAUAUCAAAGGUGAUAACCAUAUCAGGCUCAAAUGCAUAAGCCUUGCAUAGUGCUUGCCAAGUUUUGCAUUCAAAAUGGGUGUAUGUGCCUCCAUUAUAUAAUUUGACGUUGAAAGUAUACCCAUGCUCCGUCUUCAAGUAAACUCUCUUUACCUCCAUAUCAUCUAUAGCACUAAAACCUAUCUUAUAUAAUACAAAAAUUCUUGUAUGGCAGGGGAUGCGCUAGUAGAAUAGUGAAAAUUUAAAAUUAUAAGUUGAAGCAAAUGAAGCAUAAGUUUUGCAUUCAAAUAAUAAUUGACAAAGUGGCUUACUGUAUCAACUUCAAAUGUCUCAUCCAGCUUGAUGUUGAAGCGCCUACCAUCAACAAGGAAAUUUUGGUCGCACAGGCCGCGCUGGUCUUCACAGUGUUCGCACAUAAUAAAAUCUUUUUAGUUGUCAGAUGACAUUUCCUAUGUUCAUAUAGGUGAAACAUUAAACACCUAUAUCUAGCCAAAUAUAUAUUCAUCUAACAUUUGACAUUAAUAUAUCUAACUAUAUAUUCAAUUGACAUUACUAUAUAUUUAACUUUUCUAUCUAAUUCAUCUAACAUUCGACAUUAAUCUAACAUUUAUAUAAACUCAAAAUAUAUAAAAAAUUAAAUAAACAGAAAAACUCAUUAACAAAUAAUAUUUUAAUUAGAUCAUCAAAUCUCAUAUACCUAAAUUUUCUUACUAAAAAUAAACUAGUUAUAUUAAUUAUUCAACUAGUUCUAAUCUNNNNNNNNNNNNNNNNNNNNNNNNNNNNNNNNNNNNNNNNNNNNNNNNNNNNNNNNNNNNNNNNNNNNNNNNNNNNNNNNNNNNNNNNNNNNNNNNNNNNNNNNNNNNNNNNNNNNNNNNNNNNNNNNNNNNNNNNNNNNNNNNNNNNNNNNNNNNNNNNNNNNNNNNNNNNNNNNNNNNNNNNNNNNNNNNNNNNNNNNNNNNNNNNNNNNNNNNNNNNNNNNNNNNNNNNNNNNNNNNNNNNNNNNNNNNNNNNNNNNNNNNNNNNNNNNNNNNNNNNNNNNNNNNNNNNNNNNNNNNNNNNNNNNNNNNNNNNNNNNNNNNNNNNNNNNNNNNNNNNNNNNNNNNNNNNNNNNNNNNNNNNNNNNNNNNNNNNNNNNNNNNNNNNNNNNNNNNNNNNNNNNNNNNNNNNNNNNNNNNNNNNNNNNNNNNNNNNNNNNNNNNNNNNNNNNNNNNNNNNNNNNNNNNNNNNNNNNNNNNNNNNNNNNNNNNNNNNNNNNNNNNNNNNNNNNNNNNNNNNNNNNNNNNNNNNNNNNNNNNNNNNNNNNNNNNNNNNNNNNNNNNNNNNNNNNNNNNNNNNNNNNNNNNNNNNNNNNNNNNNNNNNNNNNNNNNNNNNNNNNNNNNNNNNNNNNNNNNNNNNNNNNNNNNNNNNNNNNNNNNNNNNNNNNNNNNNNNNNNNNNNNNNNNNNNNNNNNNNNNNNNNNNNNNNNNNNNNNNNNNNNNNNNNNNNNNNNNNNNNNNNNNNNNNNNNNNNNNNNNNNNNNNNNNNNNNNNNNNNNNNNNNNNNNNNNNNNNNNNNNNNNNNNNNNNNNNNNNNNNNNNNNNNNNNNNNNNNNNNNNNNNNNNNNNNNNNNNNNNNNNNNNNNNNNNNNNNNNNNNNNNNNNNNNNNNNNNNNNNNNNNNNNNNNNNNNNNNNCGGCGGCGGGGACAGCGACGAUGACGACGGACGACGGUACGGGCGACGGGCGGCGACGACGGGAUCGAGCGGUCCGCGCGGCGGAGGUGGGAGACGAAGUGGGGAGUUGAAACUGAAAUUUUCGUAAGUGCUAUAUAUAUAUAUAUAUAUAUAUAUAUAUAUAUAUAUAUAUAUAUAUAUAUAUGAUUGGCCUUUAGUACCGAAUCGUGGCUCCAACCGGUACUAAAGGCCUAUUUUCGCCAGGCCAAGCGGCGGGAAACGAAGGCUUUUAGUACCGGUUGGAGCCACCAACCGGUACUAAAGGGGGGCCUUUAGUACCGGUUGGAGCCACCAACCGGUACUAAAGGCCUUGCGCUGCCACCCCAAAAUUUAGUCCCACCUCGCCCGGCGAAGGGCAGCCGCACUGGUUUAUAAACCUAGCCGCGGCUACCUCUUCGAACUCCUCUAUAUAGCAGCCUUCUGGGCCUAAUUAAUUAGGGCGCGCUGCCAUGUGAGUCUGCUGGCCCUUCUGGGCCUGCAUUUGCACACCCUAGGUCUGGUAGACCCACAGGGCAGUGCGCCAACAAAUUUUUUAUAUAGUUUUAUCUUUUCUGCAUUACUUAUUUUCUUUUAUUUAUUUUUGAGUAGUUUUUUAUAUAGUUUUUGUUUUCUGCAUUAUUUAUUUUCUUCUAUUUAUUUUUGAGUAAUUUUUUUGUAUAGUUUUUUUAUUUUCUGCAUUACUUAUUUUUGCAUAGUCCGAAACCCUGAUACUCGGAAAGAGUUUGUCCAGUUUGUACACGAAGUGCGUCCAGUUUUUGCCGUGACCCUCUCUACUCUUUCGCGCAUGCUAUGCGGGUGAUACGAUGAUACCAUGCCAAGUUUCAACAUUUUCAGGAUUCAUUUUGUAGUGAUUUUCAAUUUCACGGUCAUUUAGCUCUCUAAACAAUUAGGUAAAUGACUGAAAAACAACAAAUGAUGUCAGAACAUGUUGAAAAUUGAUGACGUCGCUUUAAAUGCUGCAUACUGAACACAAAAGAAGUCCGGAGUACAAAUAAGUUUAAAAAACAUUGAAGUGGCCAUGUAACAGAUGAGUUCUCGUCCGAAACCCUGAUACUCGGAAAGAGUAUGUCCAUUUUGUACACGAAGUGCGUCCAGUUUUUGCCGUGACCCUCUCUACUCUUUCGCGCAUGCUAUGCGGGUGAUAUGAUGAUACCAUGCCAAGUUUCAGCAUUUUCAGGAUUCAUUUUGUAGUGAUUUUCAAUUUCACGGUCAUUUAGCUCUCUAAACAAUUAGGUAAAUGACCGAAAAACAACAAAUGAUGUCAGAAUAGACUGCACUGCACAUAGCUCAGUGUAGACUACACUGCACAUAGCUCAGUGCAAUCUAUGUUAUUCCGCAAGGCUUGAAGCUAAUCAACAUGUAGAUGAGCAUUGCAAUUCUUCGUCAUUGUCUGUGCACUCACGGCUUAUAAACCGCUCAUACUGCCUCUCUCUUGGCGAGGUGGGACUAAAAACAACUUGCCAUAACCUCAUCAAUUUCCUCUUGAAGCUUGUCCUUGCCUUUUUGCUUGUAUUCUUGUGGUGGAAGAUCAUCUUGAGCUUGUGUCCCCUUGAAGGAAGUAGGAUACUUCUCUUGUUGAGGAACAAACUUUGUCUUGGGGUAUUGAUCUUCUUCCCACUCAACUCCAUUGGCAUUGAACUUUCGUUCAAAACCAACACCUUGAUUCUUCCAGUGCCUUCCUUGCUUGCGCACAAUUUCCUCGAAUUGCUUACUCCCGGCAAGGCUUUUGUACAUUCCUUUCUCUAUAAUUCCCUUCAAUAAGCUAUUUUCUUGCUCAAGUGUAACUUGGCUAAGAGAAUCAUUAGUGGAAUCAAGAGAACUACUAGAAGCAACAAUGUUAGAUCUUAUGUCACAAAAAAGAAGUCGUAUCAAACCUUUUAUGUCGGAUCUAGAACAAACCAAUCGGUAUCGCCAUCAUACAGCCCUACCGUGGCUUGUGAUGCAUAUAUAUAUGCAUAUCAAAUGCACGGUUGGGCGUAUGAUGGCGAAUCCGAAUGAUUUGUAUUCAGUCGAUGAACUGGUAGAUGUAUGCAGUCGAUGAACUGGUAGAUGUAUGUAGUCGAUGAACUGAAAGACUUAUGCAGGGAAGGCGAGAGAUGGGCUAUAUAUAGGGUCGUCUGGCUCACAAAGUGAUUGUGGUAGUUUCGAUCCAACGACUCACAUGAGCUAGGAAGAAGCACACCCUUGAUCCAACGACUCGCAAGAGCUAUAAAGAAACACACGAUCCAUGUGAUUCUUCCUGAUUGGUGGGAUGCACAUUAGUAUCGGUUUGUGCCAUGAACUGGUGCUAAAGAUUGGCAAUGAACCGGUACUAAUGGUAGCAGCCCGCCUAGCCGUUGGAAUCGGCACUAAUGGUCACAUUUGUGCCGGCUCAAAUUCAAACCGGCACUAUAAUGUGCUUCACAUUUGACUGUUUUUCUACUAGUCAAUAGAGUUUGCCAAACUUGAGUUUCCCAAGUCACUUACACAAAAAGCUAUGAUUCAUGGUUGUCAAAUCCAUAAUUUACAAACCACAACAACCUUGAGGCAUAACAAGCUUUAAAUGCUGCAUACUGAACACAAAAGAAGUCCAGAGUUUAAAUAAGUUAUUAAAAAUAAAAAAGAGGUGCAAUGCUGGUUAAUUUGCUUCAAGCUAUUCGGAAUAGUGUAGAUUGCACUAAGCCACUGCACAUAGCUCAGUGCAAUCUAUGCUAUUCCGCAAGGCUUGAAGCUAAUCAACAUGUAGGUGAGCAUUGCAACUCUUCGUCAUUGUCUGUGCACUCACGGCUUAUAAACCGCUCAUACUACCUCUCUCUUGGCGAGGUGGGACUAAAAACAUCUUGCCAUAACCUCAUUAGUACUGGUUCAUGGUACGAACCGGCACUAAAUGGUGAUGGUGGGGCCAUAGCCUGACCGCAGGCUGACACAGCCUCUUUAGUACCGGUUCGUGGCAUGAACCGGUACUAAAGGUUCGCCACGAACCGGUACUAUUGAUCGCCGCCACGAACCGGCACUAAUGUACACAUUAGUGCCGGCUCUAAUUCAAACCGGCACUAAUGUGCUUCACAUUUGACCCUUUUUCUACUAGUGUAUGGCAUUUCCAUAGCCAUUCCGAGAUAUAUUGCCAUGCAACUUUCCAUCGUUCCAUUAUUAUGACACACUUCAUCAUUGUCAUAUUUGCUUGCAUGAUCAUGUAGUUGGCAUCGUAUUUGUGCAAAGCCACCAUUCAUAAUUCUUCAUACAUGUCACUCUUGAUUCACUGCAUAUCCCGGUACACCGCCGGAGGCAUUCACAUAGAGUCAUAUUUUGUUCUAAGUAUCGAGUUGUAAUUCUUGAGUUGUAAGUAAAUAAAAGUGUGAUGAUCAUCAUUAUUAGAGAAUUGUCCCAAGUGAGGAAAGGAUGGAGACUAUGAUUCCACAACAAGUCGGCAUGAGACUCCGGACGAAAAUAAAAAAAGAGGGAAAAAAGAGAAAGGCCAUAAAAAAGAAGGCCCAAAAAAUGAGAGAAAAAGAGAGAAGGGGCAAUGUUACUAUCCUUUUUCCACACUUGUGCUUCAAAGUAGCACCAUCAUCUUCAUGAUAGAGAGUCUCCUAUGAUAUCACUUUCAUAUACUAGUGGGAAUUUUUCAUUAUAGAACUUGGCUUGUAUAUUCCAAUGAUGGGCUUCCUCAAAUUGCCCUAGGUCUUCGUGAGCAAGCAAGUUGGAUGCACACCCACUUAGUUUCUUUUGUUGAGCUUUCAUACACUUAUAGCUCUAGUGCAUCCGUUGCAUGGCAAUCCCUACUCAAUCACAUUGAUAUCUAUUAAUGGGCAUCUCCAUAGCCCGUUGAUACGCCUGUUCUGGAGCUCCGCCAGAGGGGGCAUCGAUCACGGAGGGCUUCUACAUCAACAGCAUAGCCUCUCCGAUGAAGUGUGAGUAGUUGACCUCAGACCUACGGGUCCAUAGUUAUUACCUAGAUGGCUUCUUCUCUCUUUUUGGAUCUCAAUACAAUGUUCUCCCCCUCUCUUGUGGAGAACUAUUCGAUGUAAUCUUCUUUUUGCGGUGUGUUUAUUGAGAUCGAUGAAUUGUGGGUUUAUGAUCAAGUCUAUCUAUGAAUAAUAUUUGAAUCUUCUCUGAAUUCUUUUAUGUAUGAUUGUUUAUCUUUGCAAGUCUCCUCGAAUUAUCAGUUUGGUUUGGCCUACUAGAUUGAUCUUUCUUACAAUGGGAGAAGUGCUUAGCUUUGGGUUCAAUCUUGCGGUGUCCUUUCCCAGUGACAGCAGGGGCAGCAAGGCAUGUAUUGUAUUGUUGCUAUCGAGGACAACAAGAUGAGGUUUUCAUCAUAUUGCAUGAGUCUAUCCCUCUACAUCAUGUCAUCUAGCUUAAGGCGUUACUCUGUUUUUAACUUAAUACUCUAGAUGCAUGCUGGAUAGCGGUCGAUGAGUGGAGUAAUAGUAGUAGAUGCAGGCAGGAGUCGGUCUACUUGUCUCGGACGUGAUGCCUAUAUACAUGAUCAUACCUAGAUAUUCUCAUAAAUAUGCUCAAUUAUGUCAAUUGCUCAACAGUAAUUUGUUCACCCACCAUAGAAUUAUUAUGCUCUCGAGAGAAUCUACUAGUGAAACCUAUGGCCCCCGGGUCUAUCUUUAUCAUAUUAAUCUCCUACUACUUAGUUAUUUCCUUUGCUUUUUCCUUUGCCUUUAUUUUACUUUUCAUCUUUAUCACAAAAAUACCAAACAUAUUAUCUUUAUCAUAUCUAUCAGAUCUCACUCUCAUAAGUGGCCGUGUAGGGAUUGACAACCCCUAUUCGCGUUGGUUGCGAGGAUUUAUUUGUUUUGUGCAAGUACGAGGGACUCGCGCGUAGCCUCCUACUGGAUUGAUACCCUUGGUUCUCAAACUGAGGGAAAUACUUACGCUACUUUGCUACAUCAUCCCUUCCUCUUCGGGGAAAACCAACGCAGUGCUCAAGAGGUAGCAAGAAGGAUUUCUGGUGCCAAUGCCGGGGAGGUCUACGCAAAAGUCAACAUACCAAGUACCCGUCACAUACCCUUAUCUCCCGCAUUACAUUAUUUGCCAUUUGCCUCUCGUUUUCACCUCCCCCACUUCACCCUUGCCAUUUUAUUCGCCCUCUCUCUCUCUCUAUCCUCCCUCUCUUUCUCUAUUUGCCUCUUUUUUCCCGCUUGCUUUCUGUUUGCUUGUGUGUUAGUUGCUUGCUUGUCACGAUGGCUCAAGAUAAUACUAAAUUAUGUGACUUCACCAAUACCAACAACAAUCAUUUUAUUAGCACUCCGAUUGCUCCUCUUACCGAUGCUGAAUCUUGUGAAAUUAAUACUGCUUUGCUGAAUCUUGUCAUGAAAGAUCUGUUUUCCGGCCUUCCUAGUGAACAUGCCGGUACCCACCUAAAUAGAUUCAUUGAUUUGUGUGACAUGCAAAAAAAAGAAAGGUGUGGAUAAUGAUAUUGUUAAAUUGAAGCUAUUUCCUUUUUUGCUUAGAGAUCGUGCUAAAGCUUGGUUUUCGUCUUUGCCUAAAAAUAGUAUUGAUUCAUGGAAUAAGUGCAAAGAUGCUAUUAUCUCUAAGUAUUUUCCUCCUACUAAGAUCAUCUCUCUUAGAAACAAUAUUAUGAAUUUUAAGCAACUUGAUCAUGAACAUGUUGCACAAGCUUGGGAGAGAAUGAAACUAAUGGUACGUAAUUGCCCUGCCCAUGAUUUAAAUUUGUGGAUGAUUAUACAAAAAUGUUAUGCCGGAUUGAAUUUUGCUUCUAGAAAUCUUUUAGAUUCGGCCGCGGGAGGCACUUUUAUGGAAAUCACUUUAGAAGAAUCUACUAAACUCCUAGAUAAUAUUAUGGUUAAUUAUGCUCAACGGCAUAGUAAAAUAUCUAAUAAUAAAAAGGUGCAUGCGAUACAAGAAAUUAAUGUUUUGAGUGGAAAGAUGGAUGAACUUCUGAAAUUAUUUGCUAAUAAGAGUGUUUCUUCUGAUCCUAAUGAUAUACCCUUGUCUACUUUGAUUGAGAAUAGUAAUGAAUCUAUGGAUGUGGAUUUUGUUGGUAGGAACAAUUUUGGUAACAACGCGUAUAGAGGAAAUUUCAACCCUAGGCCUUAUCCUAGUAAUCUCUCUAAUAAUUAUGGUAAUUCCUACAACAAUUCUUAUGGAAAUUAUAAUAAGAUGCCCUCUAAUUUUGAAUCUAAUAUUAAAGAAUUUAUUACUUUGCAAAAGAAUUUCAAUACCUUGAUUGAAGAAGAACCGCUAGGAUGCGUGCUAAGAAAGAUGCCUUUAUAAGAGCGUGUUCUUCUAGUUCCUAUGAAAAUAAUGAUGAAGAUCUAAAAGUUAUUGAUGUGUUCCCUAUUAAAUCUUUGUUUUUCAACAUGGAUCUUGAUAAUGAUGGGAUUGAAUAUGAUCCACCUUUACCUAUAAGGCGUUCCAAGAAUUCAGAAUUUGUUGAUCUUGAUGCUAAAAUUGAUAAAGGUGGGAUUGAAGAAAUUAAAACCCUAGAUGUUGCUAAACCCACUAUUAUGGAUUUCAAGGAAUUUAACUAUGAAAAUUGCUCUUUUAUUGAUUGUAUAUCCUUUUUACAAUCCGUGCUAAAUUCUCCUCAUGCUUAUAGUCAAAAUAAAGCGUUUACUAAACAUAUCGUUGAUGCCUUGAUGCAAUCUUAUGAAGAAAAACUUGAAUUGGAAGUUUCUAUCCCUAGAAAGCUUUAUGAUGAGUGGGAACCAACUAUUAAAAUUAAAAUUAAAUAUCAUUAAUGCUAUGCUUUAUGUGAUUUGGGUGCUAGUGUUUCCACGAUUUCAAAGACUUUGUGUGAUUUGUUAGGUUUCCGUGAUUUUGAUGAUUGCUCUUUAAACUUGCGCCUUGUGGAUUCCACUAUUAAGAAACCUAUGGGAAGAAUUAAUGAUGUUCUUAUUGAUGCAAAUAGGAAUUAUGUGCCUGUAGAUUUUAUUGUUCUUGACAUAGAUUGCAAUCUUUCAUGUCCUAUUAUUCUUGGUAGACCUUUCCUUAGAACGAUUGGUGCAAUUAUUGAUAUGAAGGAAGGAAAUAUUAGAUUCCAAUUUCCAUUAAGGAAAGUCAUGGAACACUUUACUAGAAAGUAAAUUAAAUUACCUUAUGAAUCUAUUAUGAUAGCCACUUAUGGAUUGCCUACCAAAGAUGGCAAUACCUAGAUCUAUCCUUGCUUGUUAUGCCUAGCUAGGGGCGUUAAACGAUAGCGCUUGUUGGGAGGCAACGCAAUUUUGUUUUUAUUCCUUGAUUUUUGCUCCUGUUUAGUAAUAAAUAAUUUAUCUAGCCUCUGUUUUGGUUGUGUCCUUUGUGUUUAAUUAGUGUUGGUGCCAAGUAGAACCGUUAGGAAGACUUGGGGAAAGUCUUGUUACACUUGCUGUAAAAAACAGAAACUUCAGCGCUCACGAGAACUACUGCCAUUUUUAUUUGGAAAGUUCUAUUUAGUUAAUUAUUUCUGCAGAUGAUUAAUAGAUAAAUUCCUCACGUCCAGAAAUUUAUUUUAGAAUUUUUGGGGUUCCAGCUCUUGAGCUAGGUACAGAUUACUACAGACUGUUCUGUUUUUGAAAGAUUUUGUUUUUCAUGUGUUGUUUGCUUAUUUUGAUGAACCUAUGGCUAGUAAAAUAGUUGAUAGACCAUAGAUAAGUUGGAAUACAGUAGGUAUAACACCAAUAUAAAUAAAUAAUGAGUUCAUUAUAGUACCUUGAAGUGGUCUUUUAUUUUCUUUCGCUAACGGAGCUCACGAGAUUUUCUACUUUAAGUUUUGUGUUGUGAAGUUUUCGAGUUUUGGGUAAAGAUUUGAUGGUUUAUGGAACAAGGAGUGACAAGAGCCUAAGCUUGGGGAUGCCCAUGGCACCCCCAAGAUAAUCUAAGUACACCUAAAAGCCAAAGCUUGGGGAUGCCCCGGAAGUCAUCCCCUCUUUCGUCUACUUCUAUCGGUAACUUUACUUGGAGCUAUAUUUUUAUUCGCCACAUGAUAUGUGUUUUGCUUGGAGCAUCUUGUAUUAUUUGACUCUUUAUUUGUUAGUUUACCACAAUCAUCCUUCCUGUACACACCUUUUUUAGAAUACUCUAUGUGCUUCGCUUAUAUCUUUUGAGUUAUAUAGUUUUGCUCUAGUACUUCACUUAUAUCUUUUAGAGCACGGUGGUGGAUUUGUUUUAUAAAAACUAUUGAUCUCUCAUGCUUCACUUAGAUUAUUUUGAGAUGCUUAAUAGCAUGGUAAUUUGCUUAAAAUCCUAAUAUGCUAGGUAUUCAAAGUUAGUAUAAUUUUCUUAAGAGUGUUUUGAAUACUAAGAGAAGUUUGAUGCUUGAUGAUUGUUUUGAGAUAUGGAGGUAAUAAUAUCAAAGUCGUGCUAGUUGAGUAGUUGUGAAAUUGAGAAAUACUUGUGUUGAAAUUUGCAUGUCCCGUAGCAUGCACAUAUGGUAAACGUUGUGUAACAAAUUUGAAACAUCAGGUGUUAUUUGAUUGUCUUCCUUAUGAGUGGCGGUCGGGGACGAGCGAUGGUCUUUUCCUACCAAUCUAUCCCCCUAGGAGCAUGCGCGUAGUACCGAGGUUUUUGAUCACUUGUAGAUUUUUGCAAUAAGUAUGUGAGUUCUUUAUGACUAAUGUUGAGUCCAUGAAUUAUACGCACUCUCACCCUUCCAUCCUUGCUAGCCUCUUCGGUACCGUGCAUUGCCCUUUCCCACAUUGAGUGUUGGAGCAAACUUCGCCGGUGCAUCCAAACCCCGUGAUAUGAUACGCUCUUUCACACAUAAACCUCCUUAUAUCUUCCUCAAAACAGCCACCAUACCUACCUAUUAUGGCAUUUCCAUAGCCAUUCCGACAUAUAUUGCCAUGCAACUUUCCACCAUUCCGUUCAUCAUGACACAUUCAUCAUUGUCAUAUUGCUUAGCAUAAUCAUGUUGUUGACAUAGUAUUUGUGGCAAGGCCACUGUUCAUAAUUCUUUCAUACAUGUCACUCUUGGUCCAUUGCAUAUCCCGGUACACCGCUGGAGGCAUUCAUAUAGAGUCAUACUUUGUUCUAGUAUCGAGUAGUAAUUAUUGAGUUGUAAAUAAAUAGAAGUGUGAUGAUCAUCAUUAAUAGAGCAUGGUCCCAAAGAGAGAAAAAAGGAAGGGCCAAAAAAGGCCAAAUAAAAAAUAUAAAAAAGGGGGGCAAUGCUACUAUCCUUUUUUCCACACUUGUGAUUCAAAGUAGCACUGUAAUCUUCAUGAUAGAGAGUAUCUUGAUUUGUCACUUUCAUAUACUAGUGGGAAUUUUUCAUUAUAGAACUUGGCUUGUAUAUUCCAACAAUGGGCCUCCUUAAGUGCCCUAGGUCUUCGUGAGCAAGCAAGUUGGAUGCACACCCACUUAGUUUCUUUUGUUGAGCUUUCAUACAUUUAUAGCUCUAGUGCAUCCGUUGCAUGGCAAUCCCUACUCCUUGCAUUAACAUCAAUCGAUGGGCAUCUCCAUAGCCCAUUGAUUAGCCUCGUUGAUGUGAGACUUUCUCCUUUUUGUCUUCUCCACAUAACUCCACUCAUUAUAUUCUAUUCCACCCAUAGUGUUAUGUCCAUGGCUUGCAAUCAUAUAUUGCGUGGAAGUUUAUAGGUUUGAGAUCACUAAAGUAUGAAACAAUUGCUUAGCUUGUCAUCGGGGUUGUGCAUGAUGAGAGCGUUGUUGUGUGACAAAAAUGAAGCAUGACUAAACUAUAUGAUUUUGUAGGGAUGAACUUUCUUUGGCCAUGUUAUUUUGAGAAGACAUAAUUGCUCAGUUAGUAUGCUUGAAGUAUUAUUAUUUUUAUGUCAAUAUGAACUUUUGUCUUGAAUCUUUCGGAUCUGAAUAUUCAUAUCACAAUUAAGAAGAAUUACAUUAAAAUCAUGCUAAGUAGCACUCUGCAUCAAAAAUUCUGUUUUUAUCAUUUACCUACUCGAGGACGAGCAGGAAUUAAGCUUGGGGAUGCUUGAUACGUCUCCAACGUAUCUAUAAUUUUUGAUUGCUCCAUGCUAUAUUAUCUACUGUUUUGGACAAUAUUGGGCUUUAUUAUCCACUUUUAUAUUAUUUUUGGGACUAACCUAUUAACCGGAGGCCCAGCCCAGGAUUGCUGUUUUUUGCCUAUUUUAGGGUUUCGAAGAAAAGGAAUAUCAAACGGAGUCCAAACGGAAUGAAACCUUCGGGAACGUGAUUUUCUCAACGAACAAGACCCAGGAGACUUGGACCCUCCGUCAAGACACAAAAGAGGAGGCCACGAGGUAGGGGGCGUGCCUACCCCCCGGGCGCGCCCUCCACCCUCGUGGGCCCCCUGUUGCUCCACCGACGUACUCCUUCCUCCUAUAUAUACCUACGUACCCCCAAAUGAUCAUAUACGGAGCCAAAACCCUAAUUACACCGCCGCAACAUUUUGUAUCCACGAGAUCCCAUCUUGGCGCCUGUUCCGGAGCUCCGCCGGAGGGGGCAUCGAUCAUGGAGGGCUUCUACAUCAACACCAUAGCCUCUCCGAUGAAGUGUGAGUAGUUGACCUCAGACCUACGGGUCCAUAGUUAUUACCUAGAUGGCUUCUUCUCUCUUUUUGGAUCUCAAUACAAUGUGCUCCCCCUCUCUUGUGGAGAACUAUUCGAUGUAAUCUUCUUUUUGUGGUGUGUUUGUUGAGACCGAUGAAUUUUGGGUUUAUGAUCAAGUCUAUCUAUGAAUAAUAUUUGAAUCUUCUCUGAAUUCUUUUAUGUAUGAUUGGUUAUCUUUGCAAGUCUCUUCGAAUUACCCGUUUGGUUUGGCCUACUAGAUUGAUCUUUCUUGCAAUGGGAGAAGUGCUUAGCUUUGGGUUCAAUCUUGCGGUGUCCUUUCCCAGUGACAGUAGGGGCAGCAAGGUACGUAUUGUAUUGUUGCCAUCGAGGACAACAAGAUGGGGUUUUCAUCAUAUUUUAUGAGUCUAUCCCUCUACAUCAUGUCAUCUUACUUAAGGCAUUAAUCUGUUUUUAACUUAAUACUCUAGAUGCAUGCUGGAUAGCGGUCGAUGAGUGGAGUAAUAGUAGUAGAUGCAGGCAGGAGUCGGUCUACUUGUCUCGGACGUGAUGCCUAUAUACAUGAUCAUACCUAGAUAAUCUCAUAACUAUGCUCAGUUCUGUCAAUUGCUCAAUAGUAAUUUGUUCACCCACCGUAGAAUACUUAUGCUCUUGAGAGAAGCCACUAGUGAAACCUAUGGCCCCCGGGUCUAUCUUUAUCAUAUUAAUCUCCUACUACUUAGUUAUUUCCUUUGCUUUUUUACUUUGCCUUUAUUUUACUUUGCAUCUUUAUCACAAAAAUAAAAAUAUCUUUAUCAUAUCUAUCAAAUCUCACUCUCGUAAGUGGCCGUGUAGGGAUUGACAACCCCUAUUCACGUUGGUUGCGAGGAUUUAUUUGUUUUGUGCAGGUACGAGGGACUGGCGCAUAGCCUCCUACUGGAUUGAUACCUUGGUUCUCAAAACCUAAGGGAAAUACUUACGCUACAUUGCUGCAUCAUCCCUCACUCUUCGGGGAAAACCAACGCAGUGCGCAAGAGGUAGCAAGGGUUCCUUUUUGUCGACGAUCUGAUGUUUCAACCUUGUUUUCCAGGCGGCCAACGCAUCGCUCAACUUGGUCAUGGCGUGUUUGUUUAUCUUCGUCAUUGCCAGGUCCUUAUCUGGAUCUUUAUUAUCCUUUUCAUUACGGUCCGGGAACAAGAAUAUCUGGUGCAGCUUCUUUAGGAGGGAGGGCCUCUGGUGCAGCUUCUAUAGUUUCCCAUCGUUGAUCAUGGCAGUUGUCCGUACAAUGCAACCUAUUUGAUUGCCGUAGCACGAUUGCGCUUCCUCGGGUGCUAUUGUCUCAAAAAUACCGUCGUCCAUCUCCGUGACCACCAGUCUAGUACUCAUGAGCUGGUUUAGGCGUCGUGGCCUCUUUGCUUUCGGUUCUAGACUAACUCCGCUAGUCUCGGCGCUGGUCUCAGUCUCAUCGCCGGUCUGCAUGUCGGUAUCAGUCCCUGAUGCGACAACACAGUCGCUGCAACAUGGGUAAGGGAGACCACAUCAGUGCUGGGGGGUCCGAAAAUCGGGACACACUUUCGCGCGUCGCGGGCCGCCUCUCAGACAGCUACUGGGGAGGCGGCGGAGUACCUGGGUGCGCCGCGAAUCCCCGGGAACUCGGUGACCAACUUCCUUCCCGUGUGGCGCAUGGAGACGACAGCGACCCCGGCGAAGAGUAGCUUAGCCGCGAGCUGCACAGCCUCGUCCACCUCCUAAGUUGGGACCUCCGCGCAAGCGUUGCGGGGCCGCCGCUCGGGUGGCUUCUGGAAGGCGGUUGUACAUGGGCACAGGGUGAAUCCCGACUAGAGCUGGCCAUUGGCGCGCGCAAGUAGACGACGACGUCCCCGACGAAGAGCUGCCCGGCCAGCUCGCCUCACUCUCCUUUGAUUAGAAAUGAAAGAUUGGGAAGAAGCAGACUUGAGCCUGCAGAGAAAGGAUAAGGUGACGAUGCAGUCUCCACUCGUUCGGGGCGACACGCGUACUGAAUGUAUGAGAAACGUGACGUGGCAGAGACCCCAAGAUACUCCCUCCAUUUAUUUUUAGUCUGCAUAUAAAGUUUGGUCAAAGUCAAGAUUUGUAAAUUUUAACUAACUUUAUAAUAAAAAAAUAUCAAUAUUCACAAUAUGAAAUCAAUAUUACCAGAUGCGUCAUGAAAUGUAUUUCCAUACUAUAAAGUUUUGGUAUUGUAGAGGCACUCUUCCAUAUAAUGAAGUUUAUAAUAUAUGUGCUUAUAUUGUACUACAAUUGUUUGAAUAGCUUAGCAUAUGUUCAGAUGUAUGAUAUCUGUAAUUUAAGCGCUUGAAUUUUACAUAUAAAUAUUUAUUAAUAAAUAUGUACCCCUAUAAUAGCUAGGCCGUGCAGUUGCACGGGUAGAUGACUAGUGAUUACAAUCUUGUUUGUGUGCAAGUCAAGCUUAUCUAGUUUACACGUAACAACUUGUAGAACAUUACAAAAUUUAUGCUUGCUAAUAACUUCUAGAACACUACAACACUUGACAUGUAAAAGGAAUUUGACGAGUCAUGGCCUACUAAAGCAAGUUACAUUACUAGUCUUAUCUAUCUUAACAGACCACACAAGAUUACAAACUAAGUACCGUGACAGCCAUACUUAUCUAGUUUAUGCGUAACAAUUUGCAGAAAAUUAGAAACUUAGUUUCAGAAAAAUACGCAAUCUAGAUUAGUGUUUGAGCUGUAAAGUGAAUAAGAUGAGUCAUGCAUGUUAUCACACCUUUUUGGUGGUGGAAUGAUAGUGCAACAACAAGGAACUUUAAUGACCAGUCCAAGAAUACACUUGUAAGUAGUGCCACCAAACAGAACAUUCCAAAUGAUGAUUUUUAGAAGCAUCCAAGCACUUUCCACACAAACAAAUGCCAAUUGUGAAAGAGAUCAUUCCAUGGCAGCUAUAAAUAGCCCCAUAGCAUGACGAUCAUCCUUCCUCAUCCAUCAUUCUCAUUAGUAGAGCGCAUCAUUUAAGCCAAGCAAGCUGUGGUCAAUACAAAUCCACCAUGAAGACCUUUCUCAUCCUUGCCCUCCUUGCUAUCGUGGCGACCACCGCCACAACUGCAGUUAGAGUUCCAGUGCCACAAUUGCAGCCACAAAAUCCAUCUCAGCAACAGCCACAAGAGCAAGUUCCAUUGGUACAACAACAACAAUUUCUAGGGCAGCAACAACCAUUUCCACCACAACAACCAUAUCCACAGCCGCAACCAUUUCCAUCACAACAACCAUAUCUGCAGCUGCAACCAUUUCCGCAGCCGCAACUACCAUAUUCGCAGCCACAACCAUUUCGACCACAACAACCAUAUCCACAACCGCAACCACAGUAUUCGCAACCACAAGAACCAAUUUCACAGCAGCAGCAACAACAACAACAACAACAACAAAUCCUUCAACAAAUUUUGCAACAACAACUGAUUCCAUGCAUGGAUGUUGUAUUGCAGCAACACAACAUAGCGCAUGGAAGAUCACAAGUUUUGCAACAAAGUA